rnacentral:lncRNA from 1 species
AUACUUCACCCUCAGUCCGACUGGUCACAAUUCUCAAGAACCGCUCACUUCUUCACCACGCUCAGCCCCUCCAAGGCCACCUUCACCUUGCCGUACACAUCGUCCGGAGCCGCCACAGCGCUGAUCACGUGGCACUUGCCCUGCGUAAGGUAGUGGUCCUUCACGGGCAGCGACUGAUCCAGGAAGGUGCGGAAGCGCUUGCGAAUGGUGUCGGCGUUGUCGUCGCUGCGGCCGCUGGUCUCCCCGCGCUUCAGCAGGCGCUUCUCCAUCUCCUCCUCCGGGCAGUCGAAGAACAGCACCGUCUUGCACGGCAUAAUGCUGCUCUCAAACUGCUCCGCCUGGUCCAGCGCGCGCGGAAAGCCGUCGAUGAGGAAGAACUUGCCACCGCUGGCUAUCAUGUCCCGCUUCAGCAGGUUGAGCGUGACAGCCACCGGCACGAGCUUGCCCUCCUUCAUCAGCGCCUCGCACUUCUGGCCGACCUCGCUGCCGCUCUUCACCUCAGCGCGCAGCAGGUCGCCGGCGCUGAGGUGCACGCAAUCGUAGUCGGCCUUAAUCUUGUCGCACUGCGUGCCCUUGCCGCUGCCGGGGCCACCGAGCACGAACACAAUCUGGGCAUCGGCGGGCAGGCUGCCGGGCACGGACGGCAGCGCAAUCUCCUGUGAAGGGAGCAUGGAUUAAAAAUGUUGUAAGAUAUGUGAAAAUCGGUCGUUUCACAUGCGAGUGCUGAACCCAUCAGCCGUCAACGUGAAUCCAUCAAGACAUGCAAACCGGAUCCCGGAAUGUGCAUGCAUAUGCGCGCCCAAGCACAAGCACAAGAUGCAAGCCGUUUACGGCAAACACCACGCCUAGGGACCAGAGUGCCACAAAGCCCGCCCAAGCAAAGCCCCACCCACCUCCGACUUCUUGGGUGCGCCCAUAGCGUCCAGCGCCGCCUUCACCUUGCCGUACACCUCCUUUGGGGGAGGGACAGCGCUGAUCACGUGGCACUUGCCCUGCGCAAGGUAGUGGUCCUUCACAGGCAGCGACUGAUCCAGGAAGGUGCGGAAGCGCUUGCGAAUGGUGUCGGCGUUGUCGUCGCUGCGGCCGCUGGUCUCCCCGCGCUUCAGCAGGCGCUUCUCCAUCUCCUCCUCCGGGCAGUCGAAGAACAGCACCGUCUUGCACGGCAUGAUGCUGCUCUCAAACUGCUCCGCCUGGUCCAGCGCGCGUGGAAAGCCGUCGAUGAGGAAGAACUUGCCGCCGCUGGCUAUCAUGUCCCGCUUCAGCAGGUUGAGCGUGACAGCCACCGGCACGAGCUUGCCCUCCUUCAUCAGCGCCUCGCACUUCUGGCCGACCUCGCUGCCGCUCUUCACCUCAGCGCGCAGCAGGUCGCCGGCGCUGAGGUGCACGCACUCAUACUCCUCCUUGAUCUGAUCGCAUUGCGUGCCCUUGCCGCUGCCGGGGCCGCCGAGCACGAACACGAUCUGGGCAUCGGCGGGCAGGCUGCCAGGCACAGGCGGCAGCGCAAUCUCCUGCGGGCACGUGCAGCCGAGGACAUUCAGGUUAGGACCGAAUGGCACCAGCCGCAAUCAGAUGCUACGAAACAAAAGCUAUUACUUCCAUGCGGAGAUUAAUUGGCACAGCUGCUAUCCGUUUCCCGCCCCAGCAGCCCCGCAUUAUAGUCAAAAACGCCGUACAACGCAUCCCGGCUUUCCCUUACCUCUGAAACCGCAGCAGCCGCCUUCUUCGGCGCGUGCAAGCCCUCCAACACCACCUUCACCUUGCCGUACACAUCGUCCGGAGCCGCCACAGCGCUGAUCACGUGGCACUUGCCCUGCGCAAGGUAGUGGUCCUUCACAGGCAGCGACUGCUCCAGGAAGGUGUGGAAGCGCUUGCGAAUGGUGUCGGCGUUGUCGUCGCUGCGGCCGCUGGUCUCCCCGCGCUUCAGCAGGCGCUUCUCCAUCUCCUCCUCCGGGCAGUCAAAGAACAGCACCGUCUUGCACGGCAUAAUGCUGCUCUCAAACUGCUCCGCCUGGUCCAGCGCGCGCGGAAAGCCGUCGAUGAGGAAGAACUUGCCACCGCUGGCUAUCAUGUCCCGCUUCAGCAGGUUGAGCGUGACAGCCACCGGCACGAGCUUGCCCUCCUUCAUCAGCGCCUCGCACUUCUGGCCGACCUCGCUGCCGCUCUUCACCUCAGCGCGCAGCAGGUCGCCGGCGCUGAGGUGCACGCACUCGUAGUCGGCCUUAAUCUUGUCGCAUUGCGUGCCCUUGCCGCUGCCGGGGCCGCCGAGCACGAACACGAUCUGGGCAUCGGCAGGCAGGCUGCCAGGCACAGGCGGCAGCGCGAUGUCCUGUUGCAUGAACGGAGAGCACAGAAGGAGGCAAGACGUUUCAGUUUUACAGUGACCAAACAUCCACUUGGCGCUACGGCCCGAGUGCUUCCCAAAGCACCCAUAGCAUCCUGCUGUCGCAUACAGCGCUGUGCGCAUCCCGAAAUUAAAGCCCCAACAAUUGGACAUAAGACAAGCCCAUGUCCAUUCACGACCCAAAUCUACGUGCUCAGGUCACGGCGCCGCAAAGUCCACCCAAGCAAAGCCCCACCCACCUCGGACUUCUUGGGUGCGCCCAUAGCGUCCAGCGCCGCCUUCACCUUGCCGUACACUUCCUUUGGGGGAGGGACAGCGCUGAUCACGUGGCACUUGCCCUGCGCAAGGUAGUGGUCCUUCACAGGCAGCGACUGAUCCAGGAAGGUGCGGAAGCGCUUGCGAAUGGUGUCGGCGUUGUCGUCGCUGCGGCCGCUGGUCUCCCCGCGCUUCAGCAGGCGCUUCUCCAUCUCCUCCUCCGGGCAGUCAAAGAACAGCACCGUCUUGCACGGCAUGAUGCUGCUCUCAAACUGCUCCGCCUGGUCCAGCGCGCGUGGAAAGCCGUCGAUGAGGAAGAACUUGCCGCCGCUGGCUAUCAUGUCCCGCUUCAGCAGGUUGAGCGUGACAGCCACCGGCACGAGCUUGCCCUCCUUCAUCAGCGCCUCGCACUUCUGGCCAACCUCGCUGCCGCUCUUCACCUCAGCGCGCAGCAGGUCGCCGGCGCUGAGGUGCACGCACUCAUACUCCUCCUUGAUCUGAUCGCAUUGCGUGCCCUUGCCGCUGCCGGGGCCGCCGAGCACGAACACGAUCUGGGCGUCGGCAGGCAGGCUGCCGGGCACGGGCGGCAGCGCAAACUCCUGCAUAGGGACGAAAAUGCAAUGGAAAUCAGCAAGCCGAGAUUAAUAAUCAGUGGAAACUUACGCAUCAGUACACUUGCACUUCAGUACGCAUCCUACUACCGGGAGGAUACGGUAAGGCAGGCAGGCAGAGGCCAUCGAUUUCACGCUUGCCCCAGCUUUCCGUACGAUGUACCGUAUGCUAGGUUGCUUGACCGGAACCCGUGCAAGACGCACACGGAUAUACCACCGGUGAACAGCCAUGACCGCUCACCUCCAAAGCAGCCGCAGCAGGAGUAGCCGAAACUGUCGCAGUCACGCCCGCCUUCUUCGGCGCGUGCAAGCCCUCCAGCACCACCUUCACCUUGCCGUACACAUCGUCCGGAGCCGCCACAGCGCUGAUCACGUGGCACUUGCCCUGCGUAAGGUAGUGGUCCUUCACAGGCAGCGACUGAUCCAGGAAGGUGCGGAAGCGCUUGCGAAUGGUGUCGGCGUUGUCGUCGCUGCGGCCGCUGGUCUCCCCGCGCUUCAGCAGGCGCUUCUCCAUCUCCUCCUCCGGGCAGUCGAAGAACAGCACCGUCUUGCACGGCAUGAUGCUGCUCUCAAACUGCGCCGCCUGGUCCAGCGCGCGCGGAAAGCCGUCGAUGAGGAAGAACUUGCCGCCGCUGGCUAUCAUGUCCCGCUUCAGCAGGUUAAGCGUGACAGCCACCGGCACGAGCUUGCCCUCCUUCAUCAGCGCCUCGCACUUCUGGCCGACCUCGCUGCCGCUCUUCACCUCAGCGCGCAGCAGGUCGCCGGCGCUGAGGUGCACGCACUCGUAGUCGGCCUUAAUCUUGUCGCAUUGCGUCCCCUUGCCGCUGCCGGGGCCGCCGAGCACGAACACGAUCUGGGCGUCGGCAGGCAGGUUGCCGGGCACAGGUGGCAGCGCGAUGUCCUGCAUAAAAGCAACCAAGGGAACAAACGUGCAAUCAUAAGGUGUUGGCUGUGGCGCCGACCAUGACCCAGUGCCCUUGUACACAAAGCAAUGGGGCGUGCCGUACGCGCCGCACACACAGAACAGCGGUUUGGUGGCUGGAAACAUAAGAUGCGGCACGGUAUCCCUAUCUGCAGGUCGGCUUCUCAAGUGUUCAACUUAGGCAAGACGCACCUCCGAAGCAGCCGGGGCCGCUGCAAGUGCCGUCGCCGCUGCGCUCGCCUUCUUCGGCGCGUGCAAGCCCUCCAGCACCACCUUCACCUUGCCGUACACAUCGUCCGGAGCCGCCACAGCGCUGAUCACGUGGCACUUGCCCUGCGUAAGGUAGUGGUCCUUCACGGGCAGCGACUGAUCCAGGAAGGUGUGGAAGCGCUUGCGAAUGGUGUCGGCGUUGUCGUCGCUGCGGCCGCUGGUCUCCCCGCGCUUCAGCAGGCGCUUCUCCAUCUCCUCCUCCGGGCAGUCAAAGAACAGCACCGUCUUGCACGGCAUGAUGCUGCUCUCAAACUGCUCCGCCUGGUCCAGCGCGCGUGGAAAGCCGUCGAUGAGGAAGAACUUGCCGCCGCUGGCUAUCAUGUCCCGCUUCAGCAGGUUGAGCGUGACAGCCACCGGCACGAGCUUGCCCUCCUUCAUCAGCGCCUCGCACUUCUGGCCAACCUCGCUGCCGCUCUUCACCUCAGCGCGCAGCAGGUCGCCGGCGCUGAGGUGCACGCACUCAUACUCCUCCUUGAUCUGAUCGCAUUGCGUGCCCUUGCCGCUGCCGGGGCCGCCGAGCACGAACACGAUCUGGGCGUCGGCAGGCAGGCUGCCGGGCACGGGCGGCAGCGCAAACUCCUGCAUAGGGACGAAAAUGCAAUGGAAAUCAGCAAGCCGAGAUUAAUAAUCAGUGGAAACUUACGCAUCAGUACACUUGCACUUCAGUACGCAUCCUACUACCGGGAGGAUACGGUAAGGCAGGCAGGCAGAGGCCAUCGAUUUCACGCUUGCCCCAGCUUUCCGUACGAUGUACCGUAUGCUAGGUUGCUUGACCGGAACCCGUGCAAGACGCACACGGAUAUACCACCGGUGAACAGCCAUGACCGCUCACCUCCAAAGCAGCCGCAGCAGGAGUAGCCGAAACUGUCGCAGUCACGCCCGCCUUCUUCGGCGCGUGCAAGCCCUCCAGCACCACCUUCACCUUGCCGUACACAUCGUCCGGAGCCGCCACAGCGCUGAUCACGUGGCACUUGCCCUGCGUAAGGUAGUGGUCCUUCACAGGCAGCGACUGAUCCAGGAAGGUGCGGAAGCGCUUGCGAAUGGUGUCGGCGUUGUCGUCGCUGCGGCCGCUGGUCUCCCCGCGCUUCAGCAGGCGCUUCUCCAUCUCCUCCUCCGGGCAGUCGAAGAACAGCACCGUCUUGCACGGCAUGAUGCUGCUCUCAAACUGCGCCGCCUGGUCCAGCGCGCGCGGAAAGCCGUCGAUGAGGAAGAACUUGCCGCCGCUGGCUAUCAUGUCCCGCUUCAGCAGGUUAAGCGUGACAGCCACCGGCACGAGCUUGCCCUCCUUCAUCAGCGCCUCGCACUUCUGGCCGACCUCGCUGCCGCUCUUCACCUCAGCGCGCAGCAGGUCGCCGGCGCUGAGGUGCACGCACUCGUAGUCGGCCUUAAUCUUGUCGCAUUGCGUCCCCUUGCCGCUGCCGGGGCCGCCGAGCACGAACACGAUCUGGGCGUCGGCAGGCAGGUUGCCGGGCACAGGUGGCAGCGCGAUGUCCUGCAUAAAAGCAACCAAGGGAACAAACGUGCAAUCAUAAGGUGUUGGCUGUGGCGCCGACCAUGACCCAGUGCCCUUGUACACAAAGCAAUGGGGCGUGCCGUACGCGCCGCACACACAGAACAGCGGUUUGGUGGCUGGAAACAUAAGAUGCGGCACGGUAUCCCUAUCUGCAGGUCGGCUUCUCAAGUGUUCAACUUAGGCAAGACGCACCUCCGAAGCAGCCGGGGCCGCUGCAAGUGCCGUCGCCGCUGCGCUCGCCUUCUUCGGCGCGUGCAAGCCCUCCAGCACCACCUUCACCUUGCCGUACACAUCGUCCGGAGCCGCCACAGCGCUGAUCACGUGGCACUUGCCCUGCGUAAGGUAGUGGUCCUUCACGGGCAGCGACUGAUCCAGGAAGGUGUGGAAGCGCUUGCGAAUGGUGUCGGCGUUGUCGUCGCUGCGGCCGCUGGUCUCCCCGCGCUUCAGCAGGCGCUUCUCCAUCUCCUCCUCCGGGCAGUCAAAGAACAGCACCGUCUUGCACGGCAUGAUGCUGUUCUCAAACUGCGCCGCCUGGUCCAGCGCGCGCGGAAAGCCGUCGAUGAGGAAGAACUUGCCGCCGCUGGCUAUCAUGUCCCGCUUCAGCAGGUUGAGCGUGACAGCCACCGGCACGAGCUUGCCCUCCUUCAUCAGCGCCUCGCACUUCAGGCCGACCUCACUGCCGCUCUUCACCUCAGCGCGCAGCAGGUCGCCGGCGCUGAGGUGCACGCACUCAUAGUCGGCCUUAAUCUUGUCGCAUUGCGUGCCCUUGCCGCUGCCGGGGCCGCCGAGCACGAACACGAUCUGGGCAUCGGCGGGUAGGCUGCCAGGCACGGGCGGCAGCGCAAUCUCCUGCAAGCGAGGCAAUAGAAGAAUCCAUCAGUCGUCGAUUGCUCUUGCAGCGGGUUUCAGCCCCGCGCUGCCUGCCAGUCGAACAUAAUGACAUAACAUUACGAUCAGAGCACAUAACGCCUUGGCUUGCUGUGCGACAUACCUCUGUUUGCGCUGGCGCGCUCGGCGCCUGCUGCUGAGGCUUGCUGGGUUUUCCGCCCAUCGCAGGAGAUGAUGGCUCUUUAGGCACAGCUGGCUCCGGCUUGCUCGGCUGCUCCUGCGGGUUUGAGUUUGGGGACGGGUAUGGCAUGUCCAUUCCCGUCGGAGAAAGCGAGCAACGCCCAUGCAGCUGUUACGGUCCCCGGCCGCACCGUUUUGCUAGCUCCACAGCCCAUCUGUGCUUGGGGCUGUCCAGAUGGCCCUAGCGGCCGUGGAGUGCACGCGUGCGCGAAGUCGUUUGGGCUCUAUGCGGUCAAGUUCAAGGUUUGCGUUACAGCCGCUUGUCAAAGCACAAUACAGAGUUGCUAGAGCAAGACAAGGUCAGCAACCAUGUCCUACGUUAUAGUAAGUGCGCUUCGGAGGCUUCGCAGCACCCAUCGGUCGCUCGAAGCUGAGCUCGAAUGGCAGCCCCAUUGAUGGCGCCCGGCUCCGCAUGUUUUCCCAACACCACCAGCCAAAAUCUUUUGCAUAGUCCUAAUAUCGAUGUUUAGGGCGCGAACAAAACAGUAUGAACGGACGCCGGAAACAGGUUCUGCAGUAAACGCGUUGCGCCAGCAAGUAUUCUAUAUUAUUCAUCAUGUCAACGGUCAAGGAUAAAAUAGUCAUCCUUGGACGGCCGUCCAGCGCAAGCCCGGUGAGUGAAUGCUUUUGGCACGCGUAGCAUUCGCAAAUGCGUGCUCGCCAUUGGAUGGGCGGUGCGUCCCUUUUGCAUUAUACCUGCACUACCUAUUGCUUGUUCGUCGGCGUCCGCCAGGGUCCGCGGCUUGACUGUCCACCCUGUUACCGCCUCCUGCCGUCCCUGCUUCUCUUGCUCAGGCCAACCGCGGUGGGGCAGCGUCAACCAGCGCCAGCGCCUCCACAUUGGAAAGCGCAGCAACCCAUGGCACCAAGUCUGAGCGGGCCGCAGCUGCGCUCACGCUUUGGGACAAGUGGGCAGGCGAAGCGCUGGGGCCCAUCUCAGCAGACCCCACGCAUGAGGAGCUGAGCCGCAAGAGCCGCCGCGUGCAGCGCCUGGAGCAGGAAUGCGCCGCCAUCGCAGCACGCGCACAGCGCCGCCUGGAGCUGAGCACCGCUAUUCGGUCGCAGCCCAUCAUGCUGUCCAGCGCCAGCGCCCGCGGCGCCGACGCGGGGAGCCCGGCGCUACUGAAGACCGGUUCCUUUAACCGGGAGAUGCAGUACGCGGUACGGGAGCGGCGACGCGCAGCUGCCUAUGCAGCCGUUAAGGCCGAGGGCGAGGCGGAGGUGGACGCGCUGUCGGGUGUGGUCACCGUGGGCGUGGCGUCGCCGACGGUUGUGGCGGCAGCGGGCGGGGAGCAACAGUUCUCGCGUGGCGCCUCCUUCAAGUCGCGCAACAUGCUCGACGCGCUCAUAGCAAGUCGCUCAGCAGCAGGCGGCGGCGGGGGUGGCGUACUGAUGAGCCCCGGCAGCCCAAAGAUGGGUGCCGGCGGCAGCGGCCGGCCGCGGCCGCAGUCCGCGAUGCCAAUGCGGGGCGGCGGCUCGGCGGCCGCCGGCGCGGGUGCAGGCCCCGCCAGCUUCCGCGCCUCCCGCCCACGGUCCGCUGUGCCGGGCGCCACAGGCGCGCCGGACCGGGCCGUCAGCCGCCAGGCGUCCAUGUCCGGCGGCCCUGCGACAGGGCUGCAGCGGUCGGGUAGCAUGGCAGCGCGAGCCGCUGGGCUGGUGUCGGGCCCGGUCACGUACCCCGCCUCGGUGGUGUCCGGGCCUGGCGGCGGCGGCGCGGCGUCCAUUGGCUCGGGCCUGGUAUCGCUGCCUGAGGGCAACUACCUGGCUCUGCGGCAGGAGGUGGAGGCGGUGUCGGAGCGGCUGGCGGCCACGCAGGCGGCGCUAGAGGUGCAGUCGGACACGGAGACGCAGCUGCGUGAGGCCAUUGACCUGAUGCGCGCCCGGCUGCACAGCAGCGGCGUGCGCGAGGUGGAGGCGCAGCGGCGGCUGGCGCAGCACAGCAAGCUGGAGCCGUUGUUUGACCGGUUGGCGGAGUGCUUCACGUUCAGCAACCCAGAGGAGGUGGUGGCGCGGCUGGAGUUCUUGGAGGACGACAAGUUGGGCACCUUCGAUCAGCUGCUGCGGGUGGGUGGCGCGCUUUGUACCUUGUGUGAUGUGGGGGCGUUUCCUGCGGGCAGGGGUGCUUAGGCAGUGGUUUAGGAAAGAGGGGCGUCGCAAACUGUGUGUCGGCCGGGCGAGUACGGGGCCAAGGGUUGCAGGGGAUAUGGGUCGGUGCUAUGCUCACCAUAACGAGUCGGCUUGCUUCCGUGUCUAUCCCACCCUCAGACGCAAGAGGAGGUGACACGGCUCCAGCAGCGGCUGGCGGAGGUGCAAAAGGCGGGCGAGACUGUGGCGACUCGGCUCACCACGGAGCACCUGCAGGGCAGCGCCCGCCUGCAGGAGCAGAACGAGCAGCUGCGGCAGGAGCUUGAGUCGAUGGAGGUAAGUGUCGAUGCCUAGGCGUAACAGCUCCAGCUGCGGCAUACCGUAUGAUGUGUUGGGCAAGGGCGCGUGCAUGUAUGCACGCGUUGGAGGCGCUGAACAAUUCACCCUGGUCUUCCUUGUGCUGUGUAGGGAUUGGUGCACCGCCUCACGAACCGGCAGGCGCAGCUGGUGGCGCUGCAGACAGCCGUGUUGCAUUUGUGGGGCAAGCUCUCAGACGACCCGCAUUUCGCGGCGGCGUUCGGCGGACCGGGUGCGGCGGACGCGGCGCGGGCGGCGUCGCCCACCAGUCCUAGCCCCCGAGGCCGUGGCGCAACCAGCCCCAGCCGCGUCUCAGCCAAGAGCCCCGCUCGUAGCGGCACGGGCGCAUCAGUCAUCAGCGGGGGGGCCAGCAGCUACCACGAAGAAGCAGCGAGCGUCACUAGCGGCGGCGGCAUGCUGUCCGACCCACUGUCCAUGCUCGCCAUGAUUGAGGAGUUCGUGACGGCCAAGAGCGACAAGCUGGCGAUCAAGCAGUUCACAGAGUAAGCCACCGAGCUAGCCCGUGAGCCUGUACACCAUGGCUGCUGUAGCUUUUGUGCUGCUUUACCAAAGCUUGCAUGCCCAGUCGCCUGUUUAUAUCCAAGAGCUGACGUCCGCAUGACACUGCCCGGCACGCAGGAUCCAGCGUGUGGCUAACCACGUAUGGCAGCAGCACUUCCGCAACCGCGAGGACAUUCGCGGCAAGGUGGUCCCCACGUUCGAGCAGCUGAGCAAGAUCGCGGACAAGAUGGCGGACAGGGUGCGCAACGUGCAGGACCAGGCGGGGCGCAGUCAGGAUGCGGAGAAGCAGCUCAUGAAGCAGUUGAAGCGGCUGCAGCAGCAGAAGCGGCAGCUGGAGGGCGAGCUCGCGCGCCGCGACGAGCUGGUCAAGAGCCUGAUGGGCGUGCCGCGCCGCGAGCGGCCGGCAUCAGCCACAGCCGAGCUCGGACGCAUCAUCCGCCAAGACGCAACGUCAGCGUCGCUGACCUCGCCGUCGCAGGCGGCCGGUUUGGGCUAUGGCACAUCAACGGGCGUGUCGCGGGUGCAGUCGUUGGCGAGUGGACUGGGCAGGGCGGGGCGCGGCGGGGCGGCGGUUGACGAGCCGGCGUCGCCCCCCUCGUCCAACCCGGUGCUGGCGCGAAUGAUGACGCAGCGCAUGGUGCAGCAACAGCAACAGCCGCAACAGCCGCAACAGCCGCAACAGCAGCAGCGGCUGCAAGCGCAGCCGUCUACGGCGCAGCCGCAGGCCCAGCCGUCGCGCUCACGGCCGGUGUCCGCGCCGCAGGGCGCGCAGGCCGUAGCGGCGGCACGGGCGCGCAACGCGGCGGCGGCGCUUGCGGCGCAGAACUAUCAGCCACCUGUGACGUCCGGAGGUACCCUGGCCACCCUGAUGAGCCCUGCUGUGGCGGGCCAGGUGCCGCAGGUGACAUCCGAUUUGCCCAUGGGGGUGCACUGGCAAAAGUACACUGGCAACACACAGCCGCCGGCUGGAGGCCUGUUCUAUGCGUCGGGGACGUCUGAGACGGCGCCGGAGACUGGGGGCAGUGCUGCGGGCGAUGCGCAGCCGGCACCAUCCGUGCGGUGGGCGGCGCCACAGCGCAGCGCAAUUGAGCAGGCGUUCUUGACACGGCUGGAGCGGAGGACGCGUGUCACGUAGCGUACGGUUCUUGAUGCAUGGUAUGCUGGCAUGGGGACUUGACGAGUAGCCGAGACUGCGAUGCCAGUACUGCAGCAUCAGACUGGCUUGUCUGCCCACGGUUCCGCUGUUACGCACGUCCUGGUUACGCAUGCUGCUGUUGAAGGACUGAAGCCUAAGAAGGAAUCAUUGAGCAGGUUACAGUGUCCUCCACGGUUGCGACAUGCCCCCACGUUAAUAGGGCCAUCUGCAAUACCGUAUUGUUCAGCAACGCGCCUCGCGUCCACCUCACAUAAUGUUUUGUGGGCCACAGUUGUGGCCGACGUACCCUAUUGUUGACGACGCAGCCUAUUGUUGCGCGCACACCUCACGGGCGGCCUGGUGCACCACGGUGAACCCAGCACCUUCAUUUACUCCGACGAUUUUGCAAAGGACACGGCCCACGGACAAGGCAUGGAGCCUUAUAUUGGACUACUACAGAACUACGUGCCUUGUCUGUCAAAUGAAUGUACAAUGGAUCCUAAGCCCCCAACGCCGCUGGCCCCCUGGCUUGUACCCACUAGUACUUCCCCAUGCGUCCCCCUCAGCAGCACUAUCAGCCCUCCUGCUGUCCCAAGUAUUUAUUGAGCCCGACCAUAUCGGACCAUCGUUCUCGUCCAGCCUACCAGCCGUACCUUGUGUCCCACGUUUAUUAGAUCACUCCACUGCACUUGAGAUCCGGAGCCGCCACAGAAAUCGAAAUGCAUGUCCGUAACCUCACAUUCUCUCCUCCGACCCCCAAACAUUACAGCUUGCACUCAUGAAACAUUAAAACUAAACCCGAGGCCCCACGUAGCGCCCACAACUCCUCCGGUCUGCGCCUGUGUCUCGACCUCCAACGAAGCUGACAGCGGUUGCUGCCAGCACAAACCGCACCAACGCCCAUUCCUGACCCGCACAGGCAACGUGCGACACUGGUCUAGCCCGCGGCCAUCACAGCGCAUGGUGGUGUUGCGCCGCCGCGCCUUCCAGAGCCAUGGACUGCAGGUUAGUCUGCACUUGCGUAAGGCUGGGCCGACUGGCCGACUUCUUCUUCAGCGCCAGAGCCGCCAGACCUGCGCCCAAGACCCACAGGCUCGCGGUUAUGCCGGGCAAUUGCGCAAUUGCGAGGGGACAUGGCAAAGGAAGCAAGUCAACGGUGUCAACAUCUGCACACAGGCAGCCAUAAAGCUUGAUCGCCACCAAGCAUACAGAAGUUACAAUCCCGCAGGGCCACGUGGCUUGCUAACAAGCCGCCAGGGACCCGACCCAACCGCCACAUCACUACGAUGCUAUGCUUUUACACCUUGCUCUCCCGGCGUGACCGCCUCCCAGCUCUUGUACGUGUAGCCGAUGAAAUUGGGGUCAGCCUGGGCCAGCCACUUGUUGCUGCGCCCGCUGCCACUGCGGUCGAGACCGCCGUGGUGGUGGUGCAUCUCCUCGUCAAAGUUCUCAAAGUUCUGGGUGUCCAGGUCGUGGUCAACGCGCGGCACAAACGGUGCCUGUGUCUGGUGCAGAUGCACCCAGUCCACGCCCGCGAAGAACGGAUGGCUCUGCAGGCGGAUGGACACACGCAGGAGACGGCGGAAAAGUUCCGUUCAGCGAUGCGCCCAUGAGCGUGUGUGGAAAAGUCCGACCAACGUCCAAAGGCUGGACCCGCCUCGCAGUGUCCUGGCCUGAUAGGCACGCAUGCUCACCUUAAUCUCCUCCACGCCGCCGCGCGUCCCUAUCCGCUCCUCCACGUCGCACAUGAGCCGGCAGAUGAGGUCGCGCGCCGCCGGCGAUAGCCGGGCCUCGUCCGGGAAGCGCAGGAACAUGCGCCAGUUGACAAUCUUGCGGCAUGUGGUCAGCGGCUCGUCCGAGUAGAACGGCGGGUACCCCACCUGCGGGCAUAUGCAAUAGGGUCCUGUCACGCUCUGCGCAUGCACUCGGCAAUCCCCGAGCCGUAGCUGCCCAUGCAAUUCACAGCAGCCCACGGCGCACAAGUCCGUGCGCCAAAUGUGGCUACGCCGGCAACUCACCAGCAUCUCAAACAUGAUUGCGCCCAGCGACCACCAGUCGCACUCCAUGCCGUAGCCCUUCUUCAGCAGCACCUCGGGCGCGAUGUAGUCGGGCGUGCCCACCGUCGAGAACGCCUGUGUGCAGAGGUGGACCGACGGGUGAGUUAACGGCACUAGCGUGGGCAGCAAUCUCCCAAUGGUGUUGACAGAACGGCAAUACGUACACUAGGCUAAUCGCACCAACUUUGUCACACUCUGCACGCACCAGCUGCCGCCGAUUCUUCUGCCAGUGCGCGAGCUGCUCCGCCUGUGGCCGCAACGAGGUCGACGGCAUCAACCUGCGCAGGCACAGCGAACAAGCUCACACAGCAGCUUAAGUCACGCCAUUUCCGAACCCCAAAGGCCUGUUUGCACCACUUCCAGCCUGCAGCGUGUCCGGGCAGCUGGCAGUAACGGCGGUACUCACGUGGGAUCGUUGAACUCCUCGCCCUCCGCUAGCGUGGGCAGUGCCUGCACGUCCACCGGCUUGCACAGCCCGAAGUCGCUCAGCUUGACGUGCCCGUCGCGCGUGAGCAGCAAGUUGUCCGGCUUGAUGUCGCUACAGGGGGAGCACACACAGGGAGCACAGGUGAGGAGGUGGGGAUGCAACUCACGUACGGGAUUGUCAUCGUCACUGCUUAGUAUUUAUGGACACCAACAGUCGGAACUGGGCCAGCAAGCCCUUGACCUUUAUGUCUUAUUUCAUAGCAAACACUUCUGCAGCCGCACGCACGAACGCACUCACCGGUGGAUGUAGCCGGCUUUAUGGAUGGACUCGAUGGCGAGGAUGGUCUCCGCCAUGUAAAAGCGCGUCUCCUCCUCGCUGAGGAUGUCCUUGCGCAUGAGCAGCGUCAUGGUGUCGCCGCCCGGCAGGUACUCCAUGGCCAGGUAGAGGUGGUCCUCAUCUUGGAAGCUGUAGUACAGCUUGACAAUGUAGGGGUUCUGAACCUCCGCCAGCACGUUGCGCUCCGCCUUGACGUGCUCAACCUGAAGGUAGAUGGACAUGAGCAUGAGCAGGCGGCGUGACGGGGUUGCGGGAAAUGGGCAGGGGGAGCGGGCAGGUGGUGAAGUAAGCGAGGCGGCUGACGUGAGCUUGAGUGGGAUGGUGUGCACAUUCGGUGUAUUGCCAUCGUUGCUCAAACAACCACUCGGCAGCGUUCAAACCCGGGCCGAAUCAGGUGCGGUGUAUCCCACCUGCCCGCGCUUGAGCAUCUCCGCCUUCUUCAACUUCUUCAUUGCCAUGAUCUUGCCUGUUGUCUUCUCCCGCACAAUGCGGACCUGCAAGAACGUGCGAAAGGCCCAGGCUUUGUGAGGCAUGCUGAACCUCACUCCUCGCCUGCGUGGUCUUCAAGCGAAGCUACCUUGCCGGUGGUUCCGUCCCAUGCCUCCACACGCGCGUCCCAACGCAAUAUUUUGGACACCAACUACCACGACCUGCGCCAACCCACGUUGGUAUGGCACCUGGGGCAUCACCGCGCAUGGACGUCAGAUAGUAAUGCGCCGAGCCCACUCCCCCCAUGCCAAGCAGCAAACCCAUGCCGGAACACCCACCUCGCCAAAUGCGCCACGCCCAAUAAUGCUCAACGCCUCAAAGUCCUCUGCCGUCAUGCGCUGCCGCUGCAGCCGCGUGAAGUCGCUUUCGCGCUUUUCGAGCUCGCUCAGGAUCUGCCGCUUCUGGUCCUCCGGCAGCCCCUCACGCUGCAGCUCCUGAACCACAGCGCUCCGCCUGCGGCAAGCAGCAGCGGCACGGCCAUCGCUUCACCCCACACGCUCUCACGUAACACGCUCAGACGCAAGCGUUCCGUCUGCUGAUGGCAUGCAACCGACUGUAAGGCCUAGCGGCGUCCAGAAGAGCAUCGCUGCAUAUUACGUAUGGCUGGGGGUGUCGCGCCGAUAUGUUGCACCGUAGGCAUGGAGGCCCUCAGUCCCCCCCAGCGCGUUGCCAUGCAAUAAGGGCAAGCCAGUUGGUGUCAUGCAGCGCUGGGGUGGACUGAGGGCCUGCAUGCCCUUAUUGCAUGGCAACCCGGAAGAGUGAGAAUCCACAAUAGCCGCCCGCUUGCAAGAACCACUUGUGCGUGUUUUGGGCGCCAAGCGCCAGCACGAGGCACAAAAGGUGCGUCCUGCGGACUCCCCAGCUCCCCCGCCCGCCACGCCAGACUCACCGUGCAUGGCGCUCCGCCAUGGCCUGACGCUGCGAGUUGUACAUGUUUUCAAUGUACUGUUUUGCCGCUUCAACGCGAACCCGUGUCGCCUCGCUCACGCUGGGCUGCUCUGCGCCUUGCUGACCCGCAUCCGCUGCCGUCAUAUCCUCAGUCUUCUUACGUCGUGCGCUGAAGGGUCUCUGCAGCCCCGCAAAGAGCGUGGAUGGCCCGCCCGGAGACUGCAUUUUGCUUGUAGUUUCCUGCACCUCCUCUCAAUGCCCCAAGUGUACAGCUGAGCUAGCUAAUGCUUCAGAUAGCAAGUGCUAAUCCAGAUGGUAGCGGUAACAAGGUCGCAACCAAAAACAUAGACUUCUAGAAGGCCACGCGCUUGUGCGCCUGCAUCUAAUGCGCAGUUCGAGAGAAAAGACUCCGAGCACUUAGAGUUAAGCCUAAAUGGGCCGAACAAGGGAAGACCAGGAGCUGUCAAAGCUGUAGGAAUGUUGCAACAGGUCGCCUGCGCAGCAGCUCUAUCAAAAUGUAGUCUUUCUUAAAUGUUAGCGGAUUUCUUUGAGCUACAGGUGGGGAAUAGGCAGGCGCUGCGGCUCCGUGAGGCAGACACGGUAAUCACAAUGAUGAAGAGUCCUCAACGAGCUCUCUUGGGGACAGAGUUCUCCUUAUGUACAAUAGCUGGAUUUAAAGAACAAGUCCUAAGUACAAUUACACGCUGGAGCUCUAGAAGAAAAAGACGCCCUUUCCGUCCUAACUCUUGGACCGGGCGCUAGCUUCCCGAUUUUGCUGAACCUUAUAUGAAACCUACGUUUAAUACUUAGCUGAGCAGGUGCAACGCCUGCGGAGCGGGGCAUUUGCGAACCAACUGUUCACGCGGAGUGCGCGGCUGGAGCGCCUUUGCCGCGCGUUGGCGUCGUGGCAUGAAGAAGAGGAGAUGCAGUAGCCUGAUGGCAGGCCGGCGCGCUGUGGUUGCCAACACUGCGCUGCUUGUGGCGGUGCUGGCCUUCUGUGCGCUUGGAGGCGCACAGGCCGCGUGUCGCGUACGGUUAGAGCUGGACGGGGCCGCCUCUCCGGUCGUGCUUACCGGCACAAACGCGCUCUCGCGCGUGGGCAGCACCUCUACCCCGCUCUCCUCUGACUCCAAGUUUGAGGCGAACGUACCACGAGCCUGGACGGGGUCCUUGUACGCGUAUGCGGCGUUGCUGGCCGCCUGCCCCACCGACCGCGCGGGCUGGGUUACCGCAUGGCCCCAGUUCGUGCUGACCUCCGCGACAUCACCCAGCACGUACAGCCCGCCCCUGCAGCUCUGGCCGGCGCUGCAUACUGGGAAGGUAAGGCGGCUAUCAUUUCGGUUAUGUGUAACCGUCAUGCACUCUCUUCUGUUUGGCCACAACACAAGGGUCACCAUCGGGAGGUCAGGCAACCUGUGCUUUUAGCCGAUCCCAAAUGCAGGCACGGUUUUCAUGCACACACGAUGUGCUUUGGUAGACCGGGCUGUGCCGCAGGGCGGUGCUCUUUGCGUUUUGUACACACAACUUCGUAACCCACGGCAACCCACAGAACUGCGACCGACAUUCAUCUGUGCGCUCACUGUCUCGUUGCAGACGGCGGUGGCCGGCCUGGGCGGUGCGCCCACGUACGACUACAACAUCUCGGACUUUCGAGUUGACAUGCGUGUGGAGGCUGUGGCCGGGCCUGCGUCCGCGCCCGUGCCAAGCGAGGGUUGGGUAAACUUCACUGCGGGCCCGGUGCGGACCACGCUCGUGAAUGGCUGGAUCAGCAGCAGGAACAGCGUCACCGGCGACCGCUAUGACAAGUGAGCGGGUCAACUGUGGCACCAGAUUGCACCGGGGAGGGAGCGUGUGGUCCGCAGCCUCGGUCUUUCACUUCGGGCCAGGCAGGGGAGGCUCGGGCAUUGCGGGCAUGCGGGGACGAGGGCUGCGCGGCCGCCAAUGGCGCUUUGACCACGGGCUAAUCACGCUGCUACCCCCACCCGCAGCCUGGCGAACUACACCUGCAACAUCACGUCGGCACCGCUGGGGCUGGAUGUGCGGGUGAGCACGCACGGCGCGGGGUGUGGGGCGGCGCGUCGAUACUCAUUCCAUGUGCCCAUGCUAGUGCCGGCGGGCCAUGCCGGCUGGCCAACCGGCAUCACUGCACUUGACGUGGCUACCGACAUGCACAUGGGCUCCAAUGUGUCCCUUCGCCACCUCAUCCUACCUCACCAACCCACCCACCACCCACCCGCCGGCCCUACGCAGUCGGAGGGUGGCCGCAACACGCUGUACGUGCAGUUUCCGUCCUUGCCUAUCCUGUUCCAGGCUGUGUCACAAAUUAUUGUGUUCAGCAGCCCCUACAACUCGUUCGCCAACUUGACCAUUGACGGCCGCAUCACCGCCAAGGUGCGCGCGGGAAUGCAACACAAAAGCAUGCCGCUUGUCAAAACAAGAGCAGCAGCAUGAACUGGCAAGCGCCACAUUGCUACACCGCCUCUGUAAGUAUGUUCCCACUCGUGUUGCGGCUGCAGGCGCUGCUGGAUUGCCCCACCUAUUGCGGCGACUAUGGCAGCUGCGUGCCGGGCAGCGGCAGCAGCUCCGUAUGCUCGUGCGACUGCGGCUGGACAGGUGGGCUGCGGGCUGUGGGUACGACUUAAGACGUCACGUGUAUGAGCGCCGCAUGGCGAACGCAUGGAUUUCAGGCCUGUGCGCUGACCAGGCUCUAUUCGCCCUGCUGAACGCAGUCUCGAGCAGCGGCACACAGUGCAUUGUCCCCUGGGGCUUCUGCCCCAAGCCGGGCGCUAAUGCCACCAGCGGGAGCGCGGCGAUCGUGUCUUCGCCCUCGCCCUCGCUCGUAACCAGCCCGUCGCCAGCGCCCACUUGCGUUCCGGCCAACAGCAGCAUCGGCAGUGGCGCGGGCGGCAGCGCCAACCUCCGGUCUGUGUCGCCUGUGAACGGCGCGUGCCCGCUCGGCUUUGACUGGGAUCCCUUCGGCGUCCUGUGCAACUCCUGCCCCGCGGGCUUCAGUGGCAGCGGCUGCGCCACAUGCAAUUCGGACGCGGCGUGCAAGGUGUGUGUGUGUGGGGGGGGGCGGGGGAUGUAAAGGGACAAAGCGCAAAAACCAAGUGUGUGUGUGUUUGAGAUUACGAGCAAGGAGCACUGUGUGGAUGUGUCGCAAUGGUGGGGCAGGUAUGGCACUGCAUCAAGGCCAGACUGUUUCUACUCUGCGCCCCGACGCAUGCAACUACCACAGGCAUUUCGUCCAUGGCGUGAUGCCCGUGAACCGACUUCGUGUUCCCCUGCCGUGAUGCUCUCAAUGCCAGGCCGCCUCCAAUUCCUCCACCGCUACCUGUUCGCUGAGCCCGGUGUACCGGCCACGCACCCUGAGCAAGGUGUACGCUUGCGACAUCCUGGACGCCACGGUCAGCGGCAUCCUGGGCUCCACCAUCGACUUCACGUGCAACACCACCCGCCCGGCGGCAGGUGCGCCCGCAUGCCGUCGCAGGCCGGCCAGGUCGGCACCCUGGCCGGGCAGGCGUGAGGCUCCCUUGCCAUGCCGCUUCGUGCUGCAUGCUCACGCUACCAUUCCUACCAUCGAUGUGUCAUUCCUCGCUCUCCGCAUCCUGGACCGGCCAGGUGCUGGCCCUGUACUCCUUCUGACAUGGAUCUCGGCAUCGCCGCGCACGCAGGCUCCGACAUCUCCGCUGCCACGGCGUCUGUGGAUGCUGGCCGCCUGACCACCGACACGCCUGUGGGCACCACGCCUUCCUGCAGCCUCAGGUUCCGGCUGUCGGGCAUGCCGCGUGAUGCCGCCGUCAUCUGUACCGGCUGGGCCUGCGAGUUCACCGUCAACACCACGCGCGCCUACUGCCCGCUCAUUCGCUGCGAGUGCCCCAAGGGCUGCUCCAACGGUAAGCCCGUCGCAUUGCAUGCAGCCGAGGGCAUUGCAUACGAGUCACAUCCUUCUGGGAGUGGACAUGUUUGCGGUGCGUGUGCCCUGGGCUCGGCCCCGCUUUAAGUGUGGCUGCCUUGCCUUGCAGCCGAGGGCACCAUCACUGAGGCGACGUUCAAGAACCUCAACAGCGCCGUCAGUAUUGCGUGUGGUGCGGACGCGGGGAUGGAGUCCACCUCCUCUCUUGACGGCACGUGAGUGUGGCAAGGCGCUUCGACCCGCGGGCUGUUGCAUCUGCAUCGUCUCUUGCCCUUUGGGAUUGCAUCGUCACCUCAUUUGGUGCGGCUCAUGGCGAUGAUUCCCUCAACACGCCGUGGCACGUCCGUUCCCCUCCCUCACAGUACGGGCUGCAAGCUCGAGCUGACGGGCCUGCCCAUCACAGCCAUCCCCACAAGCUGCAAGACCGCCGAGUGCAUUGACCCGGUCAACGGGGUAAUUACUGUGACGUUAGGUGCGUGAGGCGUCCCGCCGCAAGAAGCUCCUGAUCCAGCAUCCACCGAACGAUCUGGGCUUUGCCUUUCCCAGCUGACGGCCUCCGCUUACGCCACGUGUUUGCCCUGCACCUGCCCUUUUUACUGCACCCUGGCAGAGGCGGAGGAGUCGCAGCCCCCAUUGGCGGUGGCGCCUAUCAUCGCCUGGGUGCCCAGCAUGGUCUUGGCGCUGGUGGCGCUGACUGCAGGGCUCGCGGUCGCCGCCUUCGUACGCGCCUCCGCACCCGCCGGCGUCCAUUUGGCCGCUGGGCCGCAAGCGGCUGGCGCGGCGUCAGCCGGCCCCGUUGCGGAGGGCGCGGAGCAGCAGGCGGCCAGCGCGGACCCCGCAGCCGAGAGCGCCUCGGCGCCGGCGGACGUGGAGGCAGGCAGCUCACAACACCGUAACGGGGUGGACCCCCCCGUGCUGCCGGCAAUGCUGCCAUCGGUCCUACCCGCGCUCAAGACUAGCCCUAGCCAGCAGCAACAGCAACCCCAGCAGCAGCUGCUCCCGGGGCAGCUGGUGACCCCGGCGUGCGGCACGCCCCGGCGAGACGCAGCCGGGUCUGUGUCGGAGUUGCAUGAGCACGCCCCGCACGGCCACAGCCCCGCAGGCGACCAAACGGGCAGCAGCAGCGUGGGUAACAGUGCCAGCAGCAAGCUGACUGGCAGCACUGCCGGCGGCGUGGGCCGCGCGCUGGUGGCGCUGCCGACGGGGGCUGAGUCGAGCGCUAAGGAGACGCGGGCAGUUACGGGUGGAGCUCAAGACGUCAGCAGCGAGCCGGCAUCAACAACGCGGGCGGUCGCGGGCGAUUAUGUACUGGUAAAGGAGCUCAGGUGCGCGCGGCUAUGCAGGCAUGCGUGCCUCUCCUACAGUCAACUUCGUGCUGCCAGAAUGGACGCCUUGCAUGCUGGGCUGGCCCUUUACCUGACACGCAGCCUGACACCCCACCUCAUUAACCACCUGUCCACGCAGCUGGCACGGUUUGACGGUGGCGACGCAGCCGCAACGCUCCUGGCUGCGGCCCUGGCACGUGCGGCCCUCGGUGACGCUUUUGGAGAACGUGUCAGGCCGCGCCGUGGCCGGCGAGGUGCGCACUGCGAGACCCCCAUCGGACCACUUAGUCUAGAACUAUCUUUUUUGAGAAUGUGCAUUCAGGGGCAGCUCAGCCCCAGUAUCGCGGUGGCCUCGUGUGUGUGGUGGUUGACAAGCCACUGGCUGGCGAACCGCCAUGCACCCGGCCCUUCCCUCGGCCGAACCCGCAACCCAACCCUUGCCUCCCCACCUGCUCCUUGCAGGUGCUGGGCAUCCUGGGCCCCAGCGGCAGCGGCAAGACCACGUUGCUGAGCACGCUUGCAGGGCUGGUAGGUCCGGGCCUGCACUGGCGCGUGGGCGGCUGCGUGGCGCUGGACGGGCGGCGCGUGGCGGCGGCGCGGCACCUGGCGGCGCUGGUGGGGCACGUGCCGCAGCACGACCUGUUGGCGCGCUCGCUCACCGUGGCGGAGUGCGUGGCAGCCAGUGCUGUGCUGCGCAUGAGCAGCGGCGAGGUGGCCAUGGGGCGGCGGCACAUGGAGGUGCGGCUGGGUCGCGGGGGGCUGGGGGUCUGCAGGCUUAGUCUGUGGGGUCUGGGGCCGGCACCAACGGGCGGCGGGAACACGCCGGCUGCCGCGUGGUUGUUGCGUCGUACCCAGCGUGCUAGGCUCCAGUGUGAGCUGCCCGUAUUGCUGACUUUCGCGAACCCAUGGCAACACGCGAUUGCAAUACGCAGGCUCGCAUCCAGGAGGUGCUUGCGGAGCUGGGCAUACAGCACCUGGCCACCCGCGUCGUCUGGCACGGCGGAGGCGGCAUGACGCUCACCGGCGGCGGCGGCAGCGGGGGCGGCGGCGGCGGCACGCUGUCCGGCGGCGAGCGGCUGCGCGUGGCCGCCGCGCUGGAGCUGGUGACAGACCCGCCGCUGCUGCUGCUGGAUGAGCCGCUGUCCGGCCUGGACUCAGCGACGGCGCGCGCCACCAUGGCGGUACUGCACGGCGUGGCGGCGGGCGGCGUCGCCGGCGGCGGCGGCAUGGCUGGCGGCGGCGGCAGGUCGCGCGCGCCACGCGUGGUGGUCAUGUCGCUACACCAGCCGUCAGAGGCGCUGUUCGCGGCGCUGGACAGUGUGCUGCUCAUGGCGGCGGGGCGCGUGGCUUACUUUGGGCCGCCGGGCGGCGCGGCGGCGGCGCUGUCGGCGGCCGGCGUGCCGCUGCCGCCGCCGGGUCUGCCGCUGGCGGACCACCUGCUGGACCUGGUGGUGCCGGGCGAGCACCAGAAGCCCUGGGGCCUGGGCGACAGCGAGGUGCGGCGGCGCUUGCAGGAACACUGGGGCUCCAGCGCAGUGGCACAGGGCCUGGCGGCGGCUGCGCCGCCGCCUACGGCGCUGGCGCGCUCCGCGCGCGGCGGCGCCGAUGCUGCCGCGGGCGAGGGUGCGGGCGAGGGUGACUAUGUGCGGCGGCUGCUGCGUGAGCGCGCCGGCGGCAGCGGCUUCGGCGCCAGCGCGCGGCGGUUGUGGCUGGAGCUGGGCGUGCUGACGUGGCGCGCGGGGCUGGACGCGCUGCGCAACCCGUCCAUGCUGCUGCUGCACCUGGUGGUGACUGGCAGCAUUGGGCUGGUGGUGGGCGGCGUGUUCGCGGACACCGACUUGAACGUGUCGGGUGAGUCGCCAGGUGCUCUCCAGUGGAGUGGACUGGAGUAGAGUGGAGUGGAGGAGAACUGCGUCCGGGGAGUGCGCCCUCCGGUUUGGGGGUCAGGGGGCUAAGGUGCUGAGGGCCGAGCUGCGCAUGGCCGGCGGGCAUGCUGCCGCUCGAAACGUCGUGGUAUAACCCUUUUCGUAAUAACGCAGUCGAGUAUAGGACCUGAUCUGAGACCUACGCGUCGGCUCCUGCCUUGCAGGCGCCCAGAACCGUGUGGGCGCCAUCUUCUUCGCGGUGAUGCUGCUGGCGUGCUUCGCCACCAGCGCCGUAGACGGCGUGUUCCCGGAGCGCGCCAUCGUUGACCGGGACCUGCUGCGCCGCUCAUACGGCAUCACGUGAGCAGGGCGUGUGCCGUGUGCUGGGGGGUGGACAAAGUCCGGUAGAGGUAACGGGGAAGACUUCUGAGGUUACCUCGCUGCCAGUUUAUUGCCCCCCGCCUAACUAGUCAUGCCCAUACUGCCCCCCACUGCUGCGCCUCGCCUGCAGGCCGUACCUGGCCUCCCGCCUGGUGCUGGAUGGUGUGCUGCUGCGCGCGCUGCCGGCCUGGUGCUUUGGCCUUCCAUUCUACUUGUGAGUGCUGCGGCAAACAGUGCCAGCCUGUGACGGUGGAGCCGUAAGUAGCCCUAUCGUAUACGGUCAGGCUUUGCAAUGUACAACAACGCGGGGAUAAUGGAAGCACAUACGCUUUCUGCCAUUCUUGUAUACCGCUGCGCUGAGCCGCUGACUGCGUUCUUUCGCACGUGGGUGUUCUUCCGCCUGUCGCUUCUGCAGCCUGAUGGGGCUGCGAGACCAGGCCGCCGCGUUCUUCACCUUCAUGGGCACCUUCGUCACCAUGUCCUGCCUGUCAGGUAGGCGCGGGUGCACCGGCUCCCCUCGCCUGCACCGUCCCAUGUGCUGCGUGUGUCGAACACAGCUAGCAGUCAGUUGCCGGGUCGCAUCAGGAGUCGGGCAUCACCUGUCCCGCCGCACGCGCUACCCAACACCACACGCGCACCGAACCCAGCUCUCACCAUCCCUGCCCUUACCGCCGCACCCGCCGCACACCGCCCUGCCCUCACCGCCCCGCCCCACCCCACCCCUCAACAGGCGCCACUUGCAUCGGCCUGAGCUUCAUGCUGUCGUCGCCCGGAAAGACCGUGCUGGUCAUGAACCUGCUGCUGCUGGUGUGCGCGCUGUUUUCCGGCUUCCUCGCCAACAAGGACAGCAUCGUGCCCUGGCUGCGCUGGCUGGUGUACGUCAGCCCCAUCCGGUGCGUGCCGGCCACAGGCAGAGGCACGGGGCUGUGGUGCUGUGUAUGUUGAGCGGCCCGGGCCAUGUGUGGGGCGCUAGAGGGGGGUGGGAGGGAUGUGCACACUCGGCAGGGCACCGUCGGUUCACGUGCGCACGUUAUCAGCCCUCGGGCGUUCAUGCGGGCAACGUAAGGCGUGGCGGCAUAACCCGCUUUCAUCCGAGCUCCCUCGACGCUGCUCCAUCCUGAUAUGUCCGCUAACCUGGCCCUGCCCAACCCCUGCCACUUCUUCCCCCCCUCCUGCAGCUUCUCGUGGGAGGCUCUGGUCAUCAACGAGCUGUCGCCGCUGGUGCUCAACUUCUCCUCGCCGGACCUGCCUCAGGGCCUGCCCGCCGUCAAGGGCACGCUGUUCUUGUCGCUGUUGGGUGUGAACAGCGACAUGCUCAACACCGACCUCAUAGUGCUGGGCUGCAUCUACGCCAUCAUUGUGCUCAUCGCCUUUGCAGCGGCGGGCCUGCGCCUGGUGAACCUGCGCGGCAGCUGGAAAUGAACCCAACUCAAGUCCUGAAGCGGGCAUAGGCAACAUAUCUAGAAGAUUGCGUUUUGGGGUUUUAAAGGGCGCAGGGGGUUGCUAGCUAGUCUCAAUAUAGCUAGUCGCUAUCCCAAUUUAUGUUCAAGCCGUUGCACCAUGCGGGUGGUACCCUUCACUCUCCCCGAGCCAUUUCUUUCACAGUCGUAUGUCCGGUCUUCAGGUGCGAGCUGGGAUUGCCCCCUCGUGCCGGGGUGACUUACUUUCGUGGGUUAGUCCUGUGCCAUGCGGCGUAGUGGGCUGGAUUCCCAGUUGCCGAAGUACUAUUUGCAUAGGGUACUGCUCCGGGUGCAUUUGCAGGCUGGGUUGCACAUGUGCGAAGGGGAUGCGGCCACCCAAUGUCAAGCAGUGCGGUGCAAAUUGCACCUGAACAGUACCCGAAUGUGUGAUUGGAACCUUGGCGAAACAAACCGAGUCUGCAUGCAUGGGGGUGUUGGGCAAGUGUUGGGGUGUCUGCUGCCGACAGCGGCAUUGGAGUGAGGGAUUAGGCGUUGCCUGAUGAUGACACGUUUAAUGCGUGAGUGUGUCGUCGGUGCACCUGGUCUAUUGAGGGGGACAGGAAGGUUUGUGUUAACUCACAUAUCUUGUCCUGCUUGUGAAAGUAAGGAGGGUGCGGAACCUUUACUCCUGCCUUAGUAUCACCUGUCCGGGGCUGAACGGUGCUGUACGCGCUCGCCAGGUUGAAGCCAUGUUCGGGGCAAGAAUGUGUCAUCGGUGUCGCAGUGUUAGUCUUAAAAGCAUUCUCGAUAAUGGGUGCACCUGGUCAUUCAGAAGGAUGGGAACCAGGGGAGGGUUGUUUUCGCGCACUGUGGGCUUGAUUGUGAGCCAGAAACCGAAACCAACGUGGCGACGGACUUGAAGCUCUGCAGGGAGGGGGUACACAAGGCAGCAGUGCUGCAGAAGGGGCCCUUUUGUCCACUUAAUCCAUUGCUUUAUCCUGACCACCAAGGGUUGGGCAGGGGGCUGAAGGCGGGGAAAGGGCGCUGACGGGGGGGGCUGACACAGGCGGGCGGGGACUGGCGGGGAAAUGGGGCCGCAGUGUGUCUCCAUCCCGCUUUUAUUGACGAGUGUUGCGUAACUAAUGCGGGCGCGGCAUAGGGGCGCGGCAUAGGGGCGCGGCAUAUCUACACCGAAAACGACCUGCCAUGCGCGCUACACCUACACAGUGCCAACGGAGCCACGUAUAAGUCCAUGAAGUGCUGUUGAAAGUGUCAGGCACUUGAUCCUCAUUUGAGUCUCCGAGUUCUGUGAGCCAGUCAUUACCAAAUCAAGGACGCCAUGACUUUCUAGCUGCCGCACCGCCGUGUCAGCGCGCUGCACUUCCUAGCCACCAGGACGUGCAGGCGGCACGCAACAUGCUGUGGCUGAUGCAGCAUCAGUACUACGGUUCACCCCGGCCGCAGUACCUGUGCCGCCAGCCCGGCCGGCAGCCGGCGGCAGGUGGCGGUGGUCAGGGGAGGGUGGCGGUGGUGCUGGCGGUGGUACUUCCCCGUCGGCGGCUGAGGUUUGCUCAGGCAGAUGGUUCCAAUCCCUGCCACCCAAACCCAAUCCCUGAAAGCCUGGUUCCCAUCCCUACCGCCCCUAACCCAAUCCGUUAGUGGGGGUCCAGUCUGUGCACUUUCCGGUGCAGACGCGGGUAUUUGUCUGGCUUUCAGAUACAGCUACGGUAUACCGGUAUGCUGAUGGUUACGCCGUCGCGGGUGAUCGUCAAGCGCCUAGCAAGAAAAUUGGUUGUCUGCCGCUGUGCCACAAGCAGAUGCCGUUCUGCUGCUUUGCUGCUUGUCCCUGUGCCACCCAAAGGGUCCCCCCACCCCAUCCAACAAAAACAGAUCCUUCAAACAGGGCAGCUUCAGACGGGGCUCCGAAGGCAUCCACAGCCCCCAUCGCCCCGUACUGUGCCACCGCACGGCCAGCGCCGGUUAGUUCAGUGUCUCUCCAACCAUAGGAGAAGCACCUCCCUUGUCCGCGCCGACCGCCAGCACACGCUCACCACCGUAUCCACAACGGCAGUGCACCGUGCCUGGCUUCUCGUCCACGCCUCGGCACUCGGACAUGCCACAACCAUAGUGGCCCACCGCGAGUCCUCGGCCUGAUUCCCCCGAACGUCACGUCAUCGUACAGAGGCGAGCCGCAUCCACAGUGGCAUCACCCCCGCACCCAUCCGUGCAAGUCCCUCCACGCCACAGCGCGGAUGCGCACCACAUCCACAGUGGUAACGCAUCGCCCGGGCCACAUCAUUACCACACCGCAGCACCCGGCUGUCGUCAUAUCCAUAAUGACGAGCCGAGAGCGCCGGUCCAACAAACUCUUGUACACCGGGGAGCAGCGCCGUGGCACACCAUAUCCACAAUGAUAUGCCAUUGCAGACUGUCCCGCCCACGCGCCGCCAACACGUACCAUAUCCAUGAAUGGAUUCGUGCUGAAGGCGCGAGCAAGCUAAUGAAAAAAUGAAAUCAAUUGGAGCCAUGCCCGCUGCUGGCUGCUGGCGCUGUUUAUAUACCAAUCACGUAUAAAUCACAGCUUAGUACAUGUUUGUCGCUAGUCCAGGUUUGAUGUUUUAAUCCCUAGUCCCUACAUCUGCUCUCGCAUGGUGGCCAGUUCCAAGACCGUUCCAUCGCUUAGUUCGCAUGCAUAGUCUCUCACCAAAGUUAAAUCAGCAACCUCGUCACUCGAACGCUGUACAGCGUGUGCACACCCGGUCGCAAGACAGCAACCCUGGGCGCGCAAGCACACAUCACGCCAGUAAAGGACUCGAACACAUGAAGACAACCAACCCACCGCCAUCGAAUCCACACCGAUGGAAGCGUGUUGGGUACUAAUGCAACAACAAGCUGCCGUUGAAUCCACAUCAACGACAGCUUGCUCGUACAAACUGCAAAAUAUAAGGGAAGAUACCAUUGAAUCCACAUCAAUGGCAGCUUACCAUGAACGCGCCGCACAACAACAUUAUAACCUGCCUAUCUAUCGCAUCGUGAUUUGUAGUAUGCAGUGCUAGUCAUGGCUUCUGCUGCUGUUCUUCCGUCGUGCUUAGGCUGCCGCCCGCGCCAGCGCUUGCUGCGCCUGCAACGCGGCCAGGAAAGCCUGCAGCUGCACCGCCGGCUGUAUCGCAGGGGCAGCUGGGCGCGGCGCCGCUGCCGCGGGUGCGACGGCAGCCGCUGCACCCUGGCGCGCCGCGGAUAUAAGGCUGGCAAGUGCCGCAAUACCGGCUGCUGAGGCUGCUGCCUGCCCGGUCGCCAUUGCGGCGGGCGCGGCACAGCUAUUGAUGUGCUGCUCCACGGCGUGCAGCAGCGCCACCCAGUCGGGGAUGAAUGGGUAAGCCGCGCUUGUUAGCUUCGCCACCUGGAGCGGCGUGAGCACGCUGCGGUCACAGAAAACAGCGAGAAGGACAAAGUUAGAAAGCAGACACAGGAAAAAACGAAGCCGCACCCGGCCAAUCACCUUCACAUCGACAAGCGUGCCGCAUACAACAAAGAUUCUGCGGUAAUCGCCUAAACGACAGGGGGGCCACAUACAACAAAGAAUUGCAGUGGUACAACGACAUACCUAGUGCGCACGUAGUCUGACAGGUCGCGGCAGGCCGCGUGCUCCUUCUCAACCGUGCGCGCCAGCUGCUGCACCAGCUCGUCCUGCCCAGCACAUGCUGCGACGCCCGGUUGCGGUGUCGCUCGCAGCGCCAGCUGUGCGGCGACUUGCCCACGCUGCUGCACCAGCGACGCCACGUUAUCGUGGUGGUACGCUGACAGCACGGCGAGCUCCGACACCUGCUGCUGGCUGAGCUGGAGCGAGCGGGCGCACGUCAGCCAGAAGCUCUCGUUGGGGCGCUCGGGCAGGCCGGACUCGACGCUCGUGUACCUGUAAAAAACGAGAGACACGCAGAACCUCAGAAUCUGCCCAAUGCUGCAUACAACGGCUGACGAAAUGUCAUGUCGACUUUGAGCAGCAACUCUACCGGCCUCGUAUAUGCCCAGAAAUCCUGCGCAGCCCUUCCUCCAUGCACUCACAUGCUGUCCAGCAGGCUUGACGGCGCCAGCAGAGCCAGCUUGUCCAUGAAGCAGCCAAGCCGCUGUACGUAGUUCUCCAACCGCACUGCGGGCACGCUGCCGGGCCCGUGCACCUCGGCGCCAGUCACUAGCACGCCCAGCUGCAUGCAGACAUGCCGCCACAGGCCACGAAACUGGUCCGGGGUUGCGUGCCGCAGCUCCUCCACGGUGGCGGCGGUGAGCGGGGCGGCCUCGCAGUCAAUGCCGGGGCACAGCGCCAGCAGGGAAGCGGCGUGAUUCUGGUGCUGCACGCCGCACGGAGCAGUGCCGCAGGAAGGACGCGGCGAGCACUGGCGCGCCAGUCCUCGCCCAAAGCCGAGGCCAGCACCGCAAGUUGACACGGAGCUGAACGCGGCGAGGCCCAUGAAGACGUCAGUGUCGCGGCCGUUGCAGGCCGCGGCGUGCCGGUUGCCGCUGCGGGCGCUCUCGUCGACUGAGCAGGCUGUAGAGGCGCAAGGCCCGCCGGACGACGUUGCCACCUGCUCCUGACGCGCCUCAUCGGCAGCCGGUGCGGCGCCCGGCCAGGAGCCUCCGCUCUCGCCCGAGGGGGUGGGUGACAGCGGCGCGUACACAGGCCGAUCGUGUGCAGCAUCCGCAGCGGCUGGCGCCGAAACCGUCGGCUGCAUGGUUGCCGUGAGCUUGUUAACGGCCUCCUCGCGCAGCGGCACCACGCGCUCCAGCACCUGUGAAAUGUUGCAAGGAGCGGGGGAGUCAAGGGUCACCACUGCUGCGGCCGCUGUAUACGAGGACCAGGAGGAGUGGGUAACUUCAAGCAAUUGUCGUCUUUACUUCUCUUUCCAAACUGAGGAGCGACGAGGCACCCGUCAGAAUCACCACAAGUUGCGCGCCGCAUUCGCUCACCUUAAGCUUGUUUUUGAGGAAGGCAUUCUCCGACGUCAGGUUGCGGUGCUGCUGUGUUAGCUCGUCAAGCUUCUGCUGCAGGUCGGGCAGCCGCGGGAAGGGCUUCCGGCCGCGCUUUCCAGGCCGAGAGGGCUGUUGAGAAGCAAUUGCCGCCAGCGCUUGAGACAGCGAGCCCGUGGACUGUCCCGUCGACGGCGAAGGCUCCGCGGCCUGCUGUUGGCCGGGCACCGCGGCGAGCUGCGAACACUGCUGCUGUUGCGCGGCGAUCGCCUGGAUUAGUGUCAAAGCGGCCUGAGAAGCCGUCGCUUGCUGCUCUGCCUGAAUCGCUAGACUGUUGGCUACAUGUGUGGUAGUUGGUGAGGGUGGCGUGGGGCUGCAGGUGGCAGUCGGGGAGGAGUCGGCUGAAGCCGAAUCAGUUUCCCUCGCGGCGCAGUCAAAGCUGCUGUGGCUGUGGCUGGGGCUCCAGUCGUCCAGGCCCUGCAGGCCCUGGUCUCCCUCCAGCACCUGGCAUGCCCAGUCGCAGAGGAAGUCGUCUGCGAGGUCCGUCAUGAUCGCAGAAUUUGUGGUUGCUGCGCCAAUUUCGAUGAUACUGAAACUGACUGCGCGCUUCUGACUGCCACCUGCUGAGCCCUCACUGUUUAGUCUACGAAUAGUGCAGUGUUGUGCGCGUUUGCCAGAACAAGUAUGCGGCCCCCAUCGCGAGGCAGUACGGCACCAAUUAUGUUUUAUUUCGCCUUCACCUUUUCGCCCAAUGUGCUCUGCCAGUGCAGAAAGCUGUGGUGGCUCUUCACGGCUGGAGCGCGAAAGCUGCAGAGUUCAGGGCCGGCUGUCUGCAGGAAUGGCGCUGGCGCCCUUCCAGAGACUUGCGAACGGCGCUGCUACCCAUGAUGUAACUGUGCCAUCAAGCAAAUGGCUAGCCGGAGGCGGACAUGGAAGGAACCGGAGGGGGGAUGUUGGCAGGCUGGGAUGGUGUGAUUAGGAUGGAAAGCGCAGGGCCACAAGCGCCCUGAGAAGCGCAGGGGGUGCCUAUGUCUGCGCAAUAAGAUUUACUCCCGGUUAGGUGCACAGAUCCAGGCAACGCGCAUGCGAAGGCGCCAAGAACGAUUGGGGGCGCGGGUCAGGUUAGGGGUGGUCUCGCCCCUUCAGUCUGCCGCGGCAUCAAUGUUCCCGCUAGUGCCUGCCUCACUGUGCACCCACUUUACAAAUGUAAGAUACCAUGGCUCUCCGCCAAGCCAUCGAGAUGCCGCAUAGCUAGCUGCUGGACACUUGAAGGGGCCAUGCCCGGCCCAAGGGUCUGCAUUACAACGUACUCUGGUCACCCUGCGCUUUUCGUUUCCUUGAAGCAUUGUCGAUAAGUAACAGCCCCCUCUCUGCUCCAACCCACAAAUGUCUUCAGCCGCACCACCUGCGACGUCUGAGGCGGUCGGUGAAGCCAAACACGCGCCUGUGGUUGGGCCAGUGUUCGCUGUGCUCAUCGUCGCGGUAGCGCUGCUGUUGAGCUGCCUGGCCAACGACUCGUGCCCAGUGCUGGGCGACCGCGUCGCGCGCCGGUUCCGUUCACUGGGCCGCUGGCUGUCGCGCUACUGCUGCUGUUGCCGCUGCGGAGCUCGGCGUGGCUCUGGCGCGGCGCACUCGCCUUCCCACUCAACCUUCUUCGCCAGCAAUACCCGCUGGGUCCCCAUUGUGACGGCAGCGGCGGCAGCGGGGAAAGCCACCAAACCUGCGGCAGGCGCAGAAGCACCCCUGCCAACGCCAGCGCCAUUCUCACAGCCACUGCCAUCAUCGUCACAGCCGGUGUCCGGAGCGGCGCCGGUCUAUGAGCAUGGCCAUGUGACGCAGCUGAGGUGGGCGGUGCAGCUGCCAGCGGAGGACGAGGAUGCUCAGGGCGGCGGGGGAAAGCUGCCUCACCACGCCGCCUUCUUCAGCAGCCUGCGCGAACCUCCAGGAGCAGGUGCGGGCGCAGCGGUGCACGGGUCGGUGGCAGCAGCUGGAGGCAGCCUUGCCGGCCCUGGCAGCGAGGUAGUGGGCGGCUCAUCCUCCGCGGACGCCGGCAGCCCCGAAGCACACGGCACUGGCGGCUCCAGCCCGCCCGCCAGCAGCUUCACCGGGGCGGGGGGACCCAGCAGCCGCUCCAGUGCAGCCCCACGCUCUGCUGUAGCGCAAAGCUCCCCCUCUCAGCUGGUGGAUGGCAGGAUAUCAGCCGACGACGAAAUGCACGUGCUACAACCGCCCUCGCGCGUCGAUAGGGCAUGGCCAUCAGAGCCAUCCGAGCCGCCGCGGCGGUCGCCGUCGCCAGAGUACGUUUCCGCACGGACCCACUUCUCGACUACCACUCAAAGCCACAGCCGGUGCGGAAGCAGCAACAGCGACAACGCUGGACAGGCGACGCGCGCGGCAGCCCAGUCAGCGGCGGACGGUGGUGGCAGCAGCGCCCCUGCCGGCGGUUCUGGUGCUCCAGCUGCUGCUGCGCUCGCGCCGGCGGGACCUGAGGGUUCACAGCAUAACGCCGCGGUACAGAAGGCACCAUCCUCCAACCAGGGCACAUCCACGCAGCCGCAGCCGCGGCCGUCACCGCAGCCAGUCCCGACAUCUGCAGCCGCGCCGGUGCUGGGCGGGGGGGCCUACGCAGUACGGCCUCGGGAGUUCUGGGCGUUUGAUGUCCUGGACCCAGCCCACCUGGUAGGACUGGCCGCAACAGCAGAUUGGGUGCAGCGGGCGGGCUUGGGCUGCUUUGUAUUGAAGCAGCCGCAAAUGUCAGGCGCCUGCUCCCGGGAGCAGUCAGGAGUACGACGUCCCCAUCGCUUCGCUUCCUCUCUAAACCGGUGCACCUGACCCCGACACAGUCGCUCGCGUCCACCCUCCUUGGCCCCGGCCCCUGACCACUGAACCCUCACGCGCCUCGCUGCCUUCCCGCGUACAGGUGAGCAGCUUCUGGGUGCGGCCCUCCAUGCUGCUGGCGCUGCACGUGCUCACCGCGCUGUACCUGACGGCGGUGCUGCUGCUGGAGCGGUUUGAAGGUGGGGCGGCGUAGCAGUAGGCGUGGCUGCAGCAGCCCGUGCGCUUCGCCGCAAAUUGAACCUUGAUUGGUAUCUAGCAUUCUGCUGAUCCGACAGACCGCGUCACAAUGCCGCCUAGGUUCUCGGGUGUCUGGAUGCGGCUAAGCAGCGAUGCAAGUCCGUCCUCAGUCCUGCACCUCCUCCCCCACCUGACCGUCCUUGCUGUCGCUGUUGCAGAGUCAAACCUGGGCCCCUGGUGGGUCACCUUUUUCACGGACUGGGCCAUCGCCGUGUUCGGCUUCUCCGCUGCCCUGGCCGCGGUCAACACCGCGCGCUGCCUGCCGCUCCUUGCGGCUUCAGCGCCGCGCCCCGACAACUCCCCCUCGCGCACCAACUGGGGCUCCUCCCUUGCCUCAAAGGGAGCUUUCCCGCACGGGCACACGCAGCAGGGCGGUGGAGCGACGGAGGAAGCGGCGGACAUUGAGCAAGGCAGGCGUACAGGCCACGGCCUCAGGCGCAACCCCAGCAGCUCUAGCGGCAGGAGCGGCGGCAGCAGCGGCACGCGGCCGCGAGGACCGCUGGGGGCUGCGGUGCAUGCGCUCAGCCGCGCCGCCGCUAUGGCUGUGGCAGCGACUGCGACCGGUGUGGCCGCCGCCACUGCGCACGGCAAGCCUAGCCGCAGCACGCACAGCGACACCGCGCCCGACCAGCACCAGCAGCAAAUGCGGCGCCAACCAGCCCCAAGCACGAGCGAGGCUGCUGAGCAUACCUCCUCUGCUGGCCUCACACCAGGCGGCGACGACCUGCAGGCUACCGACCAGCACUGCAAGGGCCACGGCGACGGCGCCAGCCGUGCCGCACGCAACAGCAGCCCACAGCGCCGCCGCGCUGAGGGAGGCAGCGCUGAGCCAGCAGAGAGCCCCCACGACCGCUCGUCAUCAGAGCAGGCGCACCCGCAUGCCGCAAUCCUUGAGCGCCUGGCCCGCGCUGCGCCGGUGGGCCCUCUUGCUGCGGCCGCCACGGCCGUCCAACAAAGUGCUGUCGGCGGCGAGGGUGCGAUGGGGCGCGGCGGCGGCGGCGGUGGCAGUGGCGGCCAGCAGGAUUGGCGCGCCGCGUUCCAGCCGCUCGGCUCACACGUGGCUGCGGGCGCCGGCCUCACAGAGCUGCCUCGCAGCAGGUUCAACAGCGCUGGCAGCGCUGACAGCGCCGGCGGCGCCCCGGGCAUGAGCGGGGCGGGUCCAGGGCCGGAGCAACGGCCGCAGGCGGAGGCACGGGCAGGGGCAGGGGCAGGGGCAGACACAAUGGUGGCUGCAGACAGCGCGGAGGCAAACGAAGAGGAGCGCGACGGCGGCAGUGUUGGACACACUGCCCCACAGGAAGGUGGGGCGAAGCCCAGCGCGCGCGCGGCUUCAGGGGUACCGCCAACAACAGGUGCUGCUGAGGCCCAAGACGAGCCCACGGUGCCACGCCUGCAGGUGCGUGAGCGCGGCCCUGGUCUGUGCAUAGCUCUACGGCCACAGGCCCUAUUGAUAGUUCGUAGUCCGUGGUUCCUUUCACUGCGCAUGGUACACACGGUGCUGCAACACCACCGUUCAUGCGCAGGGCAAAUCCCGGGAACAAGCAACCGCGCACACACACCUGUGCUUUCUCCACAGAAUUGCUCCACCAGCAUCGUGUCAAACAUAUGCCACCUCACACACACACACACACUCUCUCUCUCUCUCUCUCUCUCUCUGAUGUGCACCGCCAUCGCUGCUGCUUCCGCAGUGGGACGCGCUGAGCGUGGCGCACUGCUUGGGGCUGGAGGUGUCGGUGGUGACCGCCCUGUUCGUCACCAUCGUGUACUGGGUGAGUCACAGCUCGCGACGGGGGGGGGGGCCGUCUUCCUCCCCUCGUGCUCUUUUGCACACAGCCAGGCCGACAACGGCAGGGCGGCUAGGAUGCAGCUGGGGUGGCUCAUGAACGCAUAUGGCCAAACAGUUCGUGGGUCGUGACUUUAAGGGAAUGACGCAGCUCGCCAAACACGUUGUGCUGUUUGCCAAUGUUGACGUAUACCUGACCGUGCCUGGGCCGCGCCCUCCGCAGGUGGGGCUGGUGGGGCUGGCGGGCGAGUCCUUCAACGCCCGCUCGGCGCCCAACUACAUGAAGCACGCCGCCAACUCCGGCAUGGCGCUGAUGCACGUGAUGUUGACCCGCCUGCCGCUGGUGUCGGUGCACUUCACCGUGAGCCGCCUGCGUGUGCGCGUGCCAGGGUCGCGUGGCCAGGGUGUGUUGCGCGAGUGCGCCAGUGUUUCUUGCGACAUGCCGCGCCGCAAGAUUUCGAGGAGGCCCAACGCCAAGGGUUCAGUCAGCCACCAUGCAUGCUGAAAGCCUGGUAGCGUGGUCGCCCACCGGCUGGCCUUUUCCAUCGCCCCACCUGGCCCCCACGACCCCCCACUCCCUCAGGCCUUCCUGCUGUUCCUGGCUUCCUACUGCGUGUUCCUGUGGAUCUACGGCGAGGUGUCGGGCGUGUGGCGCUACGGCCUCAACUGGACCACCCCGCGCGGCGUGGCGGGCGAGGUGGUGCUGGUGGUGCUGGCGCUGCUGGUGUUCCUGUGCUGGUGAGUGAGAGUGGGUGAGAGAGAGCAGGCCGGGCGGGUGUCAGUCCCCGGGUGGCUUACCCACUGGAUGGCCGCGCGCAAACUCGCGGUCGGGGCCCGGGGGUUGCUGGUUGAGGUGGUCGGUCGGCAAUGCCGGCGGAGAGCAACUGAGCAAGAAAGGGAAGGACGCGGUGCCCGGUAUGACCGCCACGACCGCAUUAUGCCCAUGAGCCCAAUCCAUGUCGGCAUCCCAUUCCUCAAACCCUGCGGUCGCACACAGGUAUGGCAUGGCACGCUUGCGGGAGCACCGUGGGCGGCUUCGGGUCAUCCGAGUGGGGGACUUCGCGUUCGUAGACACGGCGGACGUGCUCGCUGCGGGAGGUGGUACUGCAGGAGCAGGCGGAGCAGGCGGUGACGCGGGUGGAGCAGCGCGCCGGGGUGGAGGCAGGGAUGGCGCGAGGCGCUUGUCUAGCUAGAGGUACAAUGGGCAUUCAUAGAAGCGCCUGAACAGGUCAUCGCGUGUUGUGCGGAUCGUGUUGCAUCGGUGGGGUAGCACUGUAGAUGAACGGCUGGCUUGGGUCGACGUGUGCGCGCAUGCCACAUGAAUGAUAUUUAUAAAGGGAGCGAGGCAGUAUAAGCGCUUUGUGUUGGCGUCUGUGCGUGCAUAGCAUUUUCUGGUGUGACGGGGGAGGAAGGUUUGGAGGGGGUUGGGGGUUGGGUUGGGGGUUGGGGGGGGGGGGGUUGGGGGUUGGGGGGGGGGGGGGGGGAGGGGGGUCNNNNNNNNNNNNNNNNNNNNNNNNNNNNNNNNNNNNNNNNNNNNNNNNNNNNNNNNNNNNNNNNNNNNNNNNNNNNNNNNNNNNNNNNNNNNNNNNNNNNGGGGGGGGGGGGAGGGGGGUCGAGGGUGCAGGCGGUGGCCGCAGGCGUGCCAAGGGGGCGUGCACCCGCUUCACUGUUUAGUUAUGUUGUAAAACUUCAAGUUUAUUGCAUACUUACAGCAGUGCAGCCGGGGCUUUCGUCGCUGGGGCAAAGCUUGCUUGCCGAUUGCGGUUCCAUCGUCGCUGCCCAGGAGAAUAGGCUGAAGCUCUUCAACCUCUUUCAUUCAUAGUGCUUAACGUUUGCUACACACAAUCUUAAAGUCACAGAGGCUAACAAAAUGGCCUCUAUGCUUAUGUCCCGUGUGGCCGCUGCCCCCGUCAAGGCGGUGGCUUGCAUGCGUAGCGCUAUGACCACCCGUGCUAUCGCUCCUAUUACGGCGCGCCCGGCGACCAGCUCCUUCAUGGGCGGUGAGCUUUCCGCAGCGCCGCAUUUGUCUGGCCACUGGCCCCGCCCGCGCCUCUGGAACUGGGUGUCUCCAGUUCCAGAAGAGCACAGCCUGUUUAACUUGUGCCACAGAAGUCGUUGCGAGGCGGUGGCAACCUGGCGCUGAGCCUCGCUCGAUUGUGGUGGUGCGCAGGCUCUUUCGCUGGCAGCAGCAUGACGCGCGUGGCUCCCGCUCGCGGUGGCCUGGUCGUGAUGGCCAACGCCAAGAAGUCGAUUGCUUGCACGAAGGAGGGCACCAACAGGUGUGGCCGCGUGUGGUCGGCAAGUUUGGCCUCGCUGGGCCGCACCGCUUGGGCAGUGCGAAAUAGCAGUGCAAUUCAGAAAAUAUAUGCAUUUUCCUGGUGGAAUUUCGCGUUGCCACCGGGACCCAAACCCACUGACACCCCCGUGCAGUCGCUGGUGCAGUCUGGAGAACAUACGCAGCUGCAACAGGCCAGGCUCUACGCUUGUACUGCCCACAAGUGGUCGAUUUCACUCGACGGCUCUUCUCUUGCCCACGCACGCCACAGGAAGCGCCGGCGGACCUCGGGCUUCAAGGCCCGCAUGGCCACCAAGAACGGCCGCAAAGUGAUCAAGGCCCGCCGUGCUAAGGGCCGCCACAGCCUGUGCCCUGCCUCGGAGGGCAAGUCCGGCGGCAAGAAGUAAACAUCUGGCGAUAGCGGCGUGCUCGUCACAAUGUUUAGAGUUGGCAGAGGAGGCGGGAGCUUGGGAGACAGGCGUGGCAGGGGAGCUGUGGGCGCUCCAAGCGGCGGCAGCGCGGCCGCACGGCGGCAGCAUCAGUAGCAGCAGCGCGGAGCGUGGAGGGCACUCCCGGCAGCGGCAAUUUUGUCUAUAGCUACUGCCGGAUUUUGCCGUCCUCGAUUACGCACGCGCGCGGGCUUGGGGCUGCGCGUGCAGCUGGCGGGUGGCUGCGCCGCAUGGUGGUUGGAGCAACGCGUUAUGCGCGAGGAGGGCUAGCGUAGGUUGCGUAUCUAUUUAAGCGCGCACCAUGGACUUAAUGCGCCGUGUGCUGUAAUGCGACAGGAGCGGGUGGAUGGGUAUCGCAGGGUCAUGUUUGGUUAUGUGCAACGGGUGCUGCCGGUCACUGCACCCGCGGAGCUGAUGGCGGGCGCUAGAGCCGGCAAGCAGCUGGAACAAGAAUUGUGUGUGGCAUUUGUGGUGUCGAUUGGACCGAGGCUUGUAACUGAGCCAAAACAGUACAAGGCUGCUGAUGCUGUCAGCUGAGGACCCCGAGCUGCCAGCGUGCGUACAGAAUCAUACUCCAAUGCGCGAGCGCGACACACCAUGCCUAAGGUUGACAGCCUUCGCCAGGGGAGGUCCUGCCCUGGCCUUUGCUGGACUACAAUGCCUAUAUGUCACCAAUCCGCGUUGGAUGCUUGUGGCGCACGUGCCAUUGCUUGCGCGCUGGUGAAUCAUCUGAAGCAGCCUAACGGAGGGCAACUCCUCUUGCUCGAUAACAUUGCGUGUCUGGGAGUUGCCAGGAAUGUCAGCUCGGAUGGAGAGGGGGCUCCCCAGUCCAAAAGUAACCGGCCUUUAAUCGAAGGGAACCGUGGAGAACAAGAGGAUUCGGGGUUGCGUGCGUGUGCAUUGCCUGGGUGUCCCCAGGUGCCUUGGCGGCCCGAAGGGCGCAUCCCCAUACUAAGUGCACCAUGGGUCUAUGACGGCAUGACCACCAUGACCAGCACUCCAGCAGCAUGCGCGGCGGCUAGGCCGUUAAGAUGCACGGCAAGCCGCACACAUGCCCACGACAGCUUUAAGCUCAGCAGCCGUAUGAGGCAAUUUACAAAAAAAGCUGACGGAAGCAUGUGACGGGCGAUCCGGCGACCGGGUGAACUGAGCGCGCAUUGCCAGCCCAGGAGUGCCGAGAGCCAUGGCUUAACGGCCUUGACCUUGGAUGCAGGGGAGGAUCCCACGAAAGAAUCCCUGAUUGGAUGUGUUCACUCAGCGGCCCCUCACGUACCGGCAAGGGCAUGGGGUGACGCGUGGUACAGCCGUACAGGGCAUUACACUUGCUCUCUCGAGACAUCUGCAUACCGUACUUCUUGUUUGAAACACCAAAAGCCCUUGCUCCAGCAAAUCCAAAGCCCGCCCAGCCAUCGGCGCUCAAUCGCUCAUGUUCCCUGGCAGCCCGCACCAGGCUACCGACUGAGUAGCCUUCCUGCACACCAGCAAAGCAAGCAAUGCCGGGUGACCCAGGUUCACCGACGCCGGUGUCACGCCACGGUGUCACGCCCAUCCGCCGGCUUUGCACGGCACCGCCGCCAUCGGUCACACCGAGUCACACCGGUCACACCGAGCACCACAACGCCACAAACAGGCAGCAAAAGGCAUUCGACUACUUCGACGCCGUGCCCCCGGGGAAGUAAGGGCUCUGACUACUAUUCACACAGUCAACGGCUUGCCAGUACCGUACCAGCACUCGUCCCCUGGCAGGCACAGAGUCCAGGCGCUUGUUCGAGGUUCCACGGCAGCCCAUGCGCAAUCAACUUGCUUGUACACAUGCUGACACACUGACACACACUGCAACACACACACACACACACACACACACACACACACACACACACACACACACACACACACACACACACACACACGCACGCACACACGCACACACACACACACACACACACACACAUGCACACCCGGCACUGGCUGUGCAUACCAGCCACGCCUCCACUCGUCUCGCACAUCCAACCAUUCCUGACCACGUCAAAGCAACCAAGCAAACCCCACUACGUAUGAUUAUGGCAGCAUCAAGCACGAGCCAAGUCCCUUGCAGCCCUAACUGCGAGGCACAUCAAUGCAUUAGAAGUGCAGACAAUGAAACAGUCAGGCGCAGCUUUUCACUUCACCACCAGUGCUGAUGUGUCUUGCAGACCACAACUGUGCAUGCCGACAACACAGCAUACGCGUGCAUAUGUUUAUUGUAAAUCGCAAUACCUUUCUCGCCAGUGAACCAGACGUUGGCUGGCACGUUCAGCCUCGCACACCGCCACAGACAGCAAUUUACCACGCAACGCAAUGCCCCAUGUCCAAUCGGUGCAUUGCAUUGUCUGCUCCGAUGAAAGCGUGACACAGGCUCUCCUUGCGCCGCCUGGCUGUUGCUGUGCCACACGUGAGCUUGCCCAUUGCUGCCGGGCAUUAUUGCUCGAGGAACUCAAGCCAACAGCCAGCUUGAUUUUGCGCAGACUAUGCAUGCAUAGAAAGUGAAGAAGCGACGCCCCCUUCAUGCGUGCCACCAACUGACCCACAGUAGAGGGCAGUACACGCAACAUGUUAUCACACCACAUACGUUCUGACGGACGUCCUAGGCGAGCAGCCCUUCACAUCAGAUACAGCAGCAGAUAUCAGCACUGACGGCAUUGCUUUGUAAUGUGCCAACAUGAAUAUCCUGAUGAAUACACCGGUAUUUCACCGCAAGCAACUUGGGUGUCGCCGGCAGAUUCUUUGUUAUGCUCCACUGCCGCCAUCCGGAUAUCCAUUCAUGUCCAAUCAACCAUCCGCCAACGUUUCCUCAGUAGGGCACCCACGGCUAGCUGGACGCGUCAGCUCGUGCCAACAAUGCUUCAGUGCAUAGAUGGCGCGGUCCAUCUCAGCUUCAAGCCGCAUCCUUUAGAAGUCUCGCCUGCUGCCAUAUUUCAUUCCCGGCACACCAGCAAGAGGCAAGCCUCCAAGAUUGGCUCAAUCUGCCCUGCCCAGCUUCCUUACUUCACCCACUUCAGAAUGAAAGGGUCAUUGUGGUACUGACGUAGUGCCCCAAGUCUCAGCCCCGUCGUUGAACAUGUCCAUGCCGGGCAUUCACAAUCAUCGCAACACACUGUAGUGGUAUGAGUAGCCCAAUAGAUACCCGCGGCUGCAGGCCGCCACAGCCGCGCCGCUGUGCCGCGCCGCAUACACAAUCAGUGCCUUACCACUGUCCCAUCGCACACGACUAGCGGACCCCGUCCACACCCUCGCUUCCCAGCAAACGGCAGUGCACACGGCAGUGCACGCAGUUGCUUGCAGGCAGUUUUGAGGCGCACGAAUGAAAUCAGGAGUACUCCUAACAUGAUGGCGCAACGCGCCAAGCAACGGAUCCAUACAAUCAUCAACUCCCACCCGCCAACCUCCUACAACCUCUGGCCACCCUUCCAUUCCAACUGCUGUACUCCAUAUAAAGGCAACCCAUUUCCAGUGUUCCCCGGUCACGGGAAAAGGGGCUGAGCCCCUCCACAGUCUGAGGCCGAACAACCUCAUCGCCCGGACAGCCCUCAUAGCCGUGGUCGAUUUCCUCAGGCACAUAGCCAAACCAGGAGCAUACACUAACGCACACAUAUGCGAUGAUAAGUCAGUUUCAGGGGAUCUGCGGUGCGCUGUCACCGCGGAUACGGCAUUGAAAGGGGUCCAAGUCGGUUGCCACACAUUGCACCGGCCCGUUACCGGAGGAAAUUAAUGAAUCCAAAGUGUGCGUACGUGUGCGCUGAUGCAAGGGCACAUGCAGCUGCCCCUGAUGCCCCCGGUGUCACUGAGAUGUGCGCAACACCCUACCCAACUUGACACUACCUCUGCUGACAAAGCACAACAGGGGGUAGCGUAUGCAGCAGGAUUCACCGACCCAGUUCGUUGCCAUCACACCAUCCGUCCACGCAAUGCUAGCUUGUGUGCUCCCCUGCACUGACUCGCGGGGGUUCACCUCAUAAUCAAUCAAGUACGGCCGCGCGCAGCUCAUUCAUCGAUCUCAGUACGUAUCAGGCGGCCUCGUGUACGGCCGCAGUUAUCCAUCUCAGUACGUAUCAGGCGGUCUCGUGACCGGACAAAACCAAGUCACCUCUGCAAUGUGCGCCAAGUUAUUGCAAUUAUGCAGUGCGUGAAGGCACCCCCAAACAUCUACAAGCUGCGGCCGAUUGAUCAAGAUGGGGUACCGUUCUGCAAUGCUGGCUUCUACUACUUUUGUCCACCUGCCGCAGCUAGCCUACUGGCGGCUGAAGCUGCGCACCUGCCCCGCCAACGCCACCACCAGCUCCGCGGCGGUGGGGCGCUUGCGCGGGUCUGCGGCCCAGCAUGCGGCCGCCGUCGUCCUGCAGUGGCCAGCACCGGUGGCAAUCAAUCAAAACGACCUUUUGGAUUGGCAAUCCCCAUCCACACGUGUCGACCAGCCGGGAGCGAGGGAAGUGGCGCAGGCAGCUGCGUGCCAUCCCCUUAUGCCGCGCCUACACGCGCCUGCCCCUUAGAUCGGGGCCGAUCUACCAUAUGCACGCAGGCCGAUGCGGCGCACCCACGAACCUGAAUGGCGGCGGCAUGUGGUUCCCAAUGAAGACGGGCCUAGCGCCCGCGAUGACGGCUGUGGGGAUCUGCUCGGGCGUGAUCUCUGGGUAGGGCCGCCGGCCGCAGUGCAGCACCUCCCACCUGCGCAUCCGGGCAGUCGAAGCGGAAAGCGCCGCGCGGGAGUAAUGAAUUUGAGUGAGCGCGCGGGCCGCGCGGGCCACUGCCGCAUGCAUGCACGCAGCUGCGUGCGAGGCAAUGGUGGUGCACGCACGCCCUUGCAUACUCUUGAAGCGCAGUGACGUACGCGCAGCUCGCAUUUGUACGGGCAGUACGAGUUCGCAAAUGUUCGGGCGACACGCACUUACAUGAGCACCCCGAAGGCGUAGAUGUCGGAGCUGCAGGUGAUGCGAGUGCCUGCACGCACGCACGGGUGUGUGAGCUGGGAACAGCGGUGCAAGGCGCAAUAGCGUCAUCAAGUUCAAGUACAUUUCCGUACAGCAGCCGGCCGAGUCCCUGGGCCAAACAAACUACUAUGGGAAGCAGCUACAUCUCCAUUCAACAUGUCGCUGCUACCCACCUGUCUUGAGAAUUUCUGGGGCCAUGUGCGUGACCCUGUGUGAGUUGGGUCAAGGUGGGCACGAGGUCAGUAAGAAGUUGUGGACUUGCACGGUAGCAGUUGCCGUGCAGCCGUGGCCCGGAACCUACCCCAUAAAGGUCAUGCCGCUCCCUCCCUCAAGUACUGUAUUACUCCGCCGGUACUUCCGUCCCGCUCGUACUCACGUGCCGCAGGCCUGGUCAGACACAGCAUAACGAGUGGCCCCAUCCUCCGCCAACUCCGUGAGCCGCAUGGCGAAUCCGAAGUCCGCCAGCUUGACGGUGAAUCCGCGCGGGUCGCUGGUGCUGGACUUGAGCAGCAGGUUGGCAGCCUUGACGUCUGCGGACGUGGAGAGUGGGUGCGUGCGGGGAGUGCAGUGCAGCGGUGAGGUGUGCGUGGCUGGUAGGCAGGGCUGAGUACGUGCGAGCCUGUAUGGGCAUGGGUGCAUGUGCUGAGACAGAGAAGAAACGGGCGAUUGCCUGCUUCAUCACUUGCGCCCCCACCUCUGUGCACUAUGUUCAUGGAGUGCAGGUGCCUCAGCGCCAGCGCCACGUCCAGCAGAACCAUGUACACGCCCUGCGGUAAUCACCACACACAAUCGGCACGGCGCGUAGUCAGUCGCAUCGAGGUCAGCAGUGGCUGCCACUUGGUUAAUGCAGCACACCCACAAAGAGUAAGGGCCAGCCCAAAACAAUCAUGCGGGGCAACCUGCGGAGCCAGCAUGACGUGCUCCCUCACCCUCCCACCCACGCAAGCAAGCGCGCAAGCAAGGCAGCCACCGAGCGCUAUGCGCCCUCUCUGUGCGCACCCCGCUGCCGCACCCUGAGCCCUGAGCUCCGCCACUGUGCACCUACCUGCACGUCCAUCGUCAUCGUGCCCCAGGUGGCCGUACGCGGCGCGGGCAGCGGGCGCGGGAAGAUUUUCUGAACCAGCGCCGAGGACAGCGAGCCCAUGUCCGCCAGCUCAAACACAACUGUGUGUCAUAAAGCAUGGCAUAAGAAAGGGAACACGCAGUGUGUAUGUGUGCGUGUGUAUGUGCGCGCGUGCGCGCGUGCGGAUCACAAGAGCGAGGCAGGGGCGCAAGCACGGGCUGGGCGGAUGGUUGGGCCGGGGGCAUGACCAGCAAGGAUGGUUGUGAGCAGAGGGUGUAAACAGUAGUGCCACAUGAUGGGGUGAUUGUCGCGGCACGUGUGCACGCACGCAUGGUUGCUGGGUGUGACUGACGGUAGGCAAACUGGUUGCAACAGACGCGAGCAUGGAUGGGGGGCUGGCGGCGCAACAAUGGGGCGUUCACGCUGGUAUGCGUUGGGCGCGCUUUACAGUUUAUGAGAGACGCAGCAGCAGGGGCAUGCGCCUAUGACGUGCUGUCUGCUGCAGCGGUGAGCGAAAGUCGCGUAGCGGCACGCACCCGCGGUCGUGAGCGGCGAUACAGCAGCACAGCCUCCGUCCCCAUUGCCUGUGGCAGCGCGGCGGGACGGCAGUUGUGUUUUGCGGGCAGUGAUGUGCAGCAGCAAGAAGGCACACCGGGCCUCAUGCCGCACAUCGAAUGCAGGUCACACACACAUUUGCAUGCGCAGUGUCGACCCUUUUCCCUUUGUGCUUUUCCAGCACACACCACAACACACACGCACAUCACUCGGCGGUCGCCACACGUGCAUACCCAUGCACGUACCUGCGUCCUCUGCCGCCGCCGCCACCUGGGCAUCCGGCACCAGUCGAUAGCGGCUGCCGCACGCCGACCGCAUCAGCCGCAUGUUGCUGAAGCUCGAGUACACCUGUGUGAGGUGCGCGGGCACGUAGAUAGGUGGGUAGGGGUCACAGCAGCACUGAAGCACAGGGCUGGCGGUCGCAGAGAGUUAAAGCGCACGGGGGCGAUCGCCACGGGAACUGGGUACAUGGGUACACGGACACACGGUUGCAGGGUUAGUUGGGGUCGGUGAGGCCGCAGCGCUUUGCCAUGGUGUUGCCGCCGGAACUGCCGGCAAUCCUGUGCAACCCAAACGCGUGGCCCCUGUCUGACCUGGAUAAUACUUGGGUGCGAGCAGUGUUGCAGAAUGCCGCGCUCCACGCCUGCACGCAUCAGGUCGGGUUGCAAAGCGACACGCAUGCAUGUGCGGAUAGUCAGCAAAGCCACGGGUCCAUUCUCGGCGGCCAGCUGUGGCCGCCCGCACUCAUGUGCUAGUCAUGUGCUAGUCAUGCAACACCUAUCAAGUGCAAUGUCGCAACAGCAGAUGCAUGCACGCGGCUGGGUGGGAUCAGCAGGGAGGGCUGCGGUGCGGGCCACCGGCAGCAGGUCUCACCGCGUCUGACGGCGUCGUAGCGCAUGGCAAGAAGCUCUUUGUUGUCUGCGGCGGCGGAGGUGCGCUCCUGCUGCGGCGGCCGUGUCACUACGGCACCUGCUGCCGCCGCGACUGUUCCUGUACCUUCAGCUGGCGAGCCGGCGCCGGCACCGCCGCCGCACGUUUCCACCAGGUCUUCCAGGGUAGGAACCUCCAUGAGCUGUGGAAUUGGAGAUGCAAGCCAUGGGCUAGUCAGUUGGCUAAUGGACCGGGAGCAGAUACGUUAGCCGGGAGCAGAUACGUCAGGGUAGGGACAGGGUCCACCCGGAUCCGGACCGGUCAAUGCAAACAGGGUCGGGAUGGCGUCGGCGGCGGUGCCAGCGGCAGCAGACGUAGAUACGGUAUGGGGCAUGUGCGGCGUUCGCAGUCUACUGUUUACAUCCACCCAACUACGCACGCACGCACGCAAGGCAUGCGCACGCACCUUGACCGCACAGGCCAUGCCGCACCACUGCGCCUUGAACACCACGCCCGCCGCGCCGUAGCCCAGCACCUGGAUCAGCUCCAGGUCCACCAGGUCCUCCGCGAAGCUGUUGUGGAAGCGGCCGCUGUCGUAGAGGCUGCUGGGGUGCGGACGUGCGGGGUGGUGGUGGUUAUAUGCCCGAGCCCAACGAAAUAUGGCGGGUAGAAGGGCAUGCGUGUUGCUUGGAGGCAGGCUUGCAGCAGGAUGUGCAUGGAGGGACGGACGGUCACCAGCUAGCCCGAAAAGGGCCAUGCAGCAGGUGGUUACAGCAUGCAAGAGGCUUUCAAGUUUGCACACGGAGGAGGAGCGUAGCUGUGUAGGCCUACGGCACCGGCCGUGCCGCGUGACUCAGCGGAGGGGGUUCCUCACUCACCCACGGGUGGCACCGCCUUGGGCAACAGCAGAGGCGCUCGCACCGCCGAUGUUGUAGACGGACCCGGUCACCAAGGGGCCGCCGGUCACCGCCGCCGCGGACUGCUGGUGCGCCAUGGACUCCAGCAGCUCGAGCUGCUGCCGCGCUGCCGUCGCGGGGGCCUCCGGCGGCGCCAGGACCAUCAGAUAUGAGGUGCUGUUGCUGGCGCUGGAGAACGACACCCGGCCGGUCGUGGUCGGGAAUCCAGCAGGAGCAGCCGCCGCGCCGCCCUCGCUGGCUCCAAUGCAGUGGCUGUUGCAAUGGCUGCCCUGCCCAGAACCCUCCCCACCAGCAGGAAGCGGAAGCUCGCCCUCCCAGCUAGUUGUAACCAGCGUCAUGGCGCGUGCCGCCGCGUCUGCUGACGCGCCGCCGGCUGUAGAUGCUGUGGCUGCGCCUUGCGGAUACGCGCCCGCCGCCGCCGCCGCCGUGAGCUGCGCAGCAAAGCUGUUGCUGCCAUUCCCGCGUGCCUGCGCGCUGCUGCUGCCAGCCAAGCUGCGCAGGGCAGCGGCGGCUGCAGGUCCCACUGCCGCGAGGCUCUGGGAUAUGGCUCGCCGCAUGGCGGCGGCGGCAGCACCAGUAGUAGGCCCGUCGGCAGCAGCAGUCUGUGCCCGCGGCGAAAGCAGUGCCCUGUCGCCGCCAAAGCUGGAACCGGUGCCAAAGAGGGACCUCGUGACUACAAACGGCUUCAUGGGCAAUGCCGCUGAUGAUGCCCCGCCGUCGCGGCGGCAGGCGGCGGCGGCGGCGGCGGCUAACCGCUGCUGUGGCGGCAGCCGCGGCGCAUUGCUGGACCCGCCAGUCAUCAGCGUCUGUGGGCGUGCAUGGACACGUUUUCGGAUCAGCGAUCAGUGUCAGCCUCCUGCUGGAAAGUGCAAUAAACAAAAAGCAAGUGUCCAAGAACCGCGUGCUUCGUGAGUUUCCAAGUGUGCAAUGAAUCCACAAUCAAAAGCCCAUCUCACCAUCAGCGCGGUGUCGUAGAAACUGGCUGCGCCGGCGGCGGGCGUGUCGGCAGAAGUAAGACCGCAAGGCGCGAACCUGCUGCCUGUCACUGCGUCAGCGUCCGCAGCGGGGGUGUCUGCAGCGGAGGUUGCGGCCAGGAGGCUUUCCUGCCUCAGCAGGUGCUGCUGCUGCUGCAGCUGCUGGGUGGUGCUGGCGGUCUUGAUGACGGCAUAGGUCAUCGGCCCCGCCGCCGCCCCGCCGCCUCCGGGCUUGGCGGUGCACAGAGUGGCGAACUCGGCAGACAGCGGGCCGGCCAGCAGCGCCUCCAGCGCGGGGCCCAGCGCCUGUGUGCGUAUGGGUGGCAAGGUAUGGCGUGUUUAAGGAGUUCCUUGUAAGGUUUGUACCCCACUCCUCAGGUGCCCGUGACAAGUAAAGCAGUGUAAUGGCGUGGAGCCCCCUCAACCGCCUCCAUCGCCAUGACGGUCUGACAAGCGCAUGUGUGGCAUAAAAUCCUAUGUUCGACAUGAUCAGUUUCUAAUCCAACACGUUGAUGAGCGCUGUGCAAAGCACAGGUGGGGGCACGUAUCGUAUGUUUCCAAGCGGUGGACGUUUGGCCCCCGUGGCUAAAUGGCUUGCCCUCGGUUUGCCGCCUCGGUUGCAGGACAAGCCGUGUCGUGUAUUCCAUACCCCGCGCACGAAACCUGUAACUGUUCUACUACGAUAGCUAUGGAACCUGAGCACGCAGCUGCGUGCGGCCUGCGGGAUACGGUAUGUAUGGAAUGGCACGCUCGCGCUCGCUCCAACAAACCUUGCCCCACCCACACGCAACUACCCACCAGGUCGAGCAGCUCCUGGCAGCUGGCCCGCACCGCCUCCAGCAGUGCACGUGGCAGGCAUGUCUCAAAGCACAGGUAAAGCCCCAACGCAGCACCCUCGCCGCCGCCGGCACUUGAGGUCGCGGAAGCACGGCCUCUGCCACCGGCUGCGGCGGCUGCGUCGUCACCGCCGCCGCCGGCUGCCAGGGACGCGUUGUCUUGUCCACCAGCAGGUGGUGACGGCAGCUUGAACGUCAGCAAGGCCACAGAAUGCGGCGGAACAAAGGGCAGCUGCUGGCGUCCUGCAGCCGCCGGCGCAGGUGCCGCAGCGGGGUUGAGACCCGAUGAGAACCCUGCAGCAGUUCCGCCGCCCGCGUUGACAGCCGCAUCACAGGCAGCAGCAGUAGGCAGCAGGAACCGGCGGGUGUCCGAGGGCACACAGGCCGCUCCACGCCGCUGGCUUGCAGCCAGGCCGGCGUCUGCUGCAAAGGCUGUAGCCGUUUGCGGCGGCGGAGGCGGCGGGGGCGGUGCCAUCAGCAUGCACAGGUCGGCGCAGGGCCGGGCCACGUCCUGCAGCCGCUUGUUCACGUCCUCCACAACCAGCACCGCCGCAUCGGUGCUGCCAGCCGCCUUCUGAUGUGGCGGCGGCGGGAAUGGCUGCUGGCGCCCAGCUGGCGGCCGUACGGCCGCGGCAUCCGGGCGUGUGUCAGCGGCUGCAGCAGGUCGCGCCGCCGCGCCGCCGCCAACAGGGGCCGAGACGGCAGCCGCUUUCGCCGCCAGCGCUGCCGCCAGCAGUGUGCCCCUGAGCUCGAAGGCCUGCGCGUGGAUGCCGCCCCGCACGCUGCCGCCGCCCACCAGCAGGCCGCUCAGCGCGGCGCUGCUCGGGAUGGUGCCGCUGUGGUGGAGCUGCGGGCCCGCCGCAUACACGGUGGCGCAGACGAAGUCAUUGUCAAGCAGCGUGGCGUCGCAGUUGGCACCAGCAGGCGCGGUCCGCAGCGGUAGCAGCACGCUUGGAAGGGUUGUGGACUGGGUCGUGGGACCGCCAUCGCCUGCAGCUGCUGCAGCCGAUGCCGCCGGCACACGGGCCAGAUCGCGAGGGGUGGACGCUGCGCCGGCGGCGCAAUCGCGGGCCGCCGCAACGCCGCGUGAUGACGCUCCGCUGUCUAAGUUGCUGCCUUUCUCCCGCUGCUUCGCAGUGCUUUGCUGCUGGACGGUGGCGGUCAGGGGGAUGACGAGCGUCUUGCUCUUGCCGGCAAAGCUACCCUGCGCGGAGCUUGCCAGGCCUGUUAGGUUUCCCGAGAGAGCGCGGCGUGGCAUCCCCUUCUGAUGUGCAGCCGAAGCAGCUAGCUCUUGCACGCGACGGCUGACAUGCAUAGGGCUCUUGAGCUGCAGAGACGACACGCCAGCAGCCCGCCGGCCGCCACCAAGAGGAGAGGCGGCGGCAGCAGCAGCCUGCUGCUGCCGCGGCGGCACCUUGGCAGCAGUGGGCGCCGCCCCCACUGCGUCCACGGUGACGCGUGCCGGGCUUGCAGUGCCGACGUAGUCGUUAGCGGGCCCAGAGGCCGUGUGGCGGCUGUCGGCAGCAAUGCCCAUGCCGGAGGCUGUCAUGGCCGCUACGCCACACUGCGUCGUCACCGGCGCGCCGCCGCCGCUGCUGACGUCGGAGGCCGUGAAGCCCCGCUGCAGCGGCUGCAGCCGCUGUUGCUGCGAACCGCUGCUCGCGUCAUCACGAUCCACAUCGAAGAUGGCGGUCUCGGUCACAGUCUUGGUCGCCUUGGGGGUUGCGGGCGCCGCACGCAUGCCCGACUCCGUGGCCACAGCAAGCAGGCCGCCGGUGGAGUACGGCGGCUCUGCGGAUGGGGCGUGUUCGUGGGGAGCCGAAGCUGCCGUCGGGACGAGGAAGAAGGCCAGGCGGCGGCGUGAGGUGUACGCAUCUCUCGCUGCGUCGGCGGCCACCGAUGGCCGCGGCGGCGGCGGCGGCUGCACCAGCGCCAGGCGCACGCCCGCCUCCACGCCCGGCACCUCGCGGGCCACGUGCUCCUCCACCGCCCCGCACAGCGCCGACGUCAGCUCCUCCAUCUGCACAUAGGGCACACGCGUACCAUGCAUGCACACAUGGGCAGCAGCAUGCUCAGUUCGGUGGUGAAGUGUGGCAAACUAACGGUACGGCAACAGGCCAAAGCCUCGGCCGCAUAACUACUGCCGUACUGGCUGUAGUACAAAUGUACACUCAACCACACCACGUGUGCUCGCUCACCGUGUCGCUGUCGUACAGACGCCGCAGCACGACCGCCAGCCACGCAAUGCGGCUCAUAUCGUUGCCGGCCAGCCAGGCGGACAGUGCAGUGGCCAUGGGCUGUAGCAGCCGCCGCUGCACGGCUAGUUGCAGUUGCGCCGGCGGCUCUUGACCACCCAGUACGCCCCUGGCAUGGGCGCCAGCAGUGCACGGUGCGGUUGGAGGUCCCAUCGGCAUCACCACGGCACCCGCCAUGCGCAGAAGGGUCUGGGCGCUGCCAGUUGCGCCCUCGAGAAGUGCAACCACCGCCAGCAGCCGGGUACCGCCGCCGCUGGCUUUUGCGCUGCAUGGCGCCGAUCCCGCCGUGGCACCAGCGUCAUCACUGCCGCUGCUGCCGCUCGACCGGCCUGGAACGCCAGCCCCACCUGCCGCCGCCACAAACAGCGGCAGAGCCGCAACCGCAGAUGCUCCAUCGGGCAGGUCGUUGCCCAUGGCGGCCUUGGAGGCGCACGUGACGGCGGCGGCUUGCCCAGCAGCUGCUGCGGACGCGGAUGAAGACGAAGGCGAUCGCGGCGGCCGAACCAUCCAAGCAGGCUCCUGCAUGCAAGCAAGCGUGGAAGCGAAAACCAGCAGCGGUAAUGGAGGCAAGAGAAGUAUGUUGUCAGCACGGUUCGCGCCUGCUUGAUUGCAUGCGUGUCGGCCACAAGCCUAUGCCCCGUAAUCCUGUUUCCUCCCGUUGUGCCCCAGCAGCUACGUGCCUGUGUCUCAAUGGCUGUCAGCAGCAGUAGGCCCUCAGCCUCCGUGCUCAGGCCGUAGUCGCAGAAAACACCGGCAAGACACGGGUGGCCGCCACCGGAGGUGCCGUCGCACUCCUGACCAGUGCGCCCGCCGUGCAGCCACGGAGAAGCCGUGGGCACCGCAUUCUUGGGCAGCGGGACAAGCCGCCGCUUGGAAAGGACGGGGCGGCUGGCCGAGCAGCCGCCGCGCAUAAGUUCUGCGGCCACGCCAUCGCCGGCCGUGCACUGUGCAGUCGCAGCAGCGGUCCAUGGCUGGUCGCACUCCACGAGGGCGAAAAGCCUGGAGUACCGUAUGCGCGAACGAUAAGCAAGCGGGGGCGGGUGGAAGGGGGCAGGGGGAUGCACGAGUUUGUCGUUGUAUGCACAAGCACACCUACUAAAGAUGAAGGACGCGCCGCAGUGCGGACAACCAUGCGUGCCUCAGCAACCCGUCGUAGGUGCCGGAAACAGGCGGCCGCUCACCCUGACCACGCACGGUAUGCGCACAAAAACCCGUGGACCAGGGACGACAAGGGGAGGACAAACAAAUGGCAACCCGGUAUAGCCCCAGAAGAAUGGGCCUGCGCGUUACCGAAAGCGACUAAGCUGCCGCUGUCAGUGUUCCUAGCCUCUCGGCGUGCGCCACGAUUGCCUCGCUACUCACCUCGGACGCACGAAUCCACACUUCGCGGUUGCAUCGCCAUUCGCGAUGUCAAGCGGCAUACCAGCACUCAGACGCUCCAGCCAGGUGGAUGCACUCGCCGCGCUCCAAGUGGACGACGCCAUAAUGUAGUUAGGCGACCCGGAGCCCGUUGUUGCAUCUUCAGGCGGGUUUUGUAGCUCAGCUGUCUCAUGGUCUGCGGCAUUUCCUGCAGCAGUAUGACCUCCGGCAGAAAAACAGCAACGAAAGAUGGCAAGCAUUGCUGCUGCGUAUCGCCGCUCAGCUCGUAGCGGUCUCUCCGCGGGACUCAACUAGCUGUUGUGAUUCAUGGGUUGUCUAUGUUUUCGAGCAAAACUGUUAGCGGGGCGCAUAACAAAGUUCGCCUGCUGCCUUUGUCAUACACCGCCAACGCCAAUAUUAUGUAUUUUAGCUAGCGCUACAAGCCUGGAAGGAUAUAAGUAGUGCUGUAUCGGUUUACAGCAACACAUCUUGGCUAACAAGGCAAGAUUGUGUGUCGUGCCCGUCGUUUUGUGCCCCGAAUGGAUCGGAACCCCGGCCCGCUCCCGACUAUGCAGCCAUUUCAGUUCAGCAUGUAGACAUUUACAAGCUAUGCAGUCGUUAUGAGCGUGGACGAUGCGCGGAAAAUGGCUGACAAAUUCUUGGUCAGACUACCGUAUCCAGACCCAAUUCCCCAAUUUUCCCGCCCCCGGUUCACUGCAACAGCUUCAGACCGGGUUCCCCGGCUUGACACGCUGCCGUGACGCAAUCCAACGCCAAGCACUGACGAUUAACGCACCUAUCGCGACUCCGAGCGUGCGUCUGACGCCUGGCUCACCGUACCUCGUGUGCCCCAACAACAUCCUGCUUGCCUCCUGCCCGUGCUCCCAGCUACCAGACACUGUGAUACGGUAGGACUUCAACCCUGCCACUCGCCCCUGCCACACCUGCUUCUUCCACAGAUAGCUUCCACCGAGCUCCAUCCCCAGGUUACACCAUAACGGGUUGGCGUGUUGACACCAGCUGGCAUGCUCUCGUACAGUCUCGCGCAUCAGUUGCGGCCGCUGCAGCCGCUCAAACUGUCCCCAUGUCGCUUGCAUGGGGUUCGAUGUGAAUGUAGAAGCGGGAGGGCUCGGACUUCUUGCCUCAGCCCACCACCCGCAGCCGUGCCUCCCGUGUGUGCUCCAACUGCAGCAGCUGCUGCCAGCGCUCGCGCGUCAGCCGCGUCUCGCCGUGGCUCAACACCAGCAGCCGCGCCAGCUGUGCAGGGCCAUGGGCGACGGGGGCGACACGGGGUCAGGACCGGCGCAAGGCCGCGGGCGGGUUUCAUUGCCUAACAGAGACCGGAUUACCGCGGCAGACACCCAUUACUAAUCACCCUCUCACCGUGAGCUUUAGAUGGAACUCCUCCGGAGUCAUGCCGCCAUCCGCCGCGCCACCCUGCCCCUGCUGCGGCCCCUGCCCCUGCUGAUGCGCCUGCGCCGCGCGGCGCUGGCCCACGAACCACUGCUCCAGCACCUGCGCCAUGCCCUCCGCCAGCUCAUACCCCUGCUCGGCACGCGCCGCCGCCAGGUACGACCGUACCGCCGCCAGAUCCACGUCAGCCGCCGCCGCCGCCGAAGCGGUGGCAGCGCCGUCACCCAUGGACACGUUGGCAGUCGCCACGGGGGUCGCGGCGGGCUCGAUUGCUGCGCCACCGAAGCUGGACGGCGGGCUGGUGGCGGGGCUGGCGGCGGCGGGCGGGCGGCCGCCGGAGGCCAGCACGGCCUCGGCGGAGGGGAAGGGUUGCGUGGCGGUGAGCGGCAGCCGCAGCGGCAAGCAGUCGCGCAGCAGCGACCUGCACAGGAUGGGUGGUGGCGCAAGAGCUCGGUCAGCAUGGUGCAACCACCGUGGAACUGUUGAACCUUGCAGGUGGUGCUGGGUGACGGGCCAACACCCCACACCUCGCAGCUUCCCUCCCAGCAACCACAGGCUAACACCUCGACAGCUUGAUACGGCCAUGCUGCAACCAAAUCGCCAAGCCAUCGCCCCCCUGCUGCGCCCCACACCGCCAUUGCCCCACGACUGCGCUGGGAGUCCGGGGACACAGCUGGUCCUGGUCCCGCACCUGCCCUGCGUGAGCACGAUGAGCGGCAGGUCCAGCGGCACGGGGUGCUGGAAGGUUUCGAAGUCGUACAGCAGCUCCUGCUGCCGAGCUAGCGUCAUCAGCGCCUGGGGGUAGGUGAGGCAGGUGAGGAAGGGCAGCGCCGAAGGGUGAUGUGGACGUAAUGGUGUGCGGGGCGCGUACAGAGUAGUCUUCGGGCAAUGCAGCGCUUGGUACGAAGCAACAGCGGGCAGGGCAGGGCAGGCUGGCAGAGCACACGGAGCCGGCGCAGGGGCGGCGAAGGUGUUACAACUACGUUUCCCAGAAGCACGCAAGCCCAACCCCAGUCCAGGCGUUCUCCGCUGCUGCACACCCGUACCCCCUCUCACCGCCCCACUGUUGCCCACCUGCAUGCUGACCACGCCCUGGCUGCUCAGCUGGCCAGGCGCCAUGACGGUCUCAUCCAGCAGCAGCACAGUGCCCGGAGCCAGCUGCAGCGGCGAGGGCGCGGUGCGCUCACGGGACACGUCGCGCACUGGCGACCAGGACAGGCUGCGCGGAAGGGGCGUAGGGUCCGUUGUUUGAGGGUGAAUGUCAACAUCAAGGCCAUGUCCCUCUCCUCCGCGCUCAUACAGCAUCGCAGUUGCUUCUCAUGUGAACGCCCCUCCGGCCCUCCCAGGCCCUGCCGAGCCGCUUCCCACCUGUUGCAGCCCUCCACGCUGAGCGGCAGCGCCACACUGAGCGGCACCAUGCACGACACAGCCGCCUGCAGCGCCGCCGCGAAGCCGCUCACGCCGCGGCCCGCCAGCAGGUCAGCCGCCAGCGCGGGGGAGCUGUGCGCCGCCGCCGCCGCCACUGCCGAGCCAACAGCACUGGCAGCGGUGGCGGGCGGCGCACUGGCACUGGCGGCGCUAGUGGCGCUGGUGACGGCGCCAGGGCACCUGCAACGCAAGGUUACAUCCGGGACCCGUGUCGUGUCGGCGCAGUACCCUGACAUUCCCGUCCAUUUCCCACACCUAUACGCCCGGCUUUGCCUAUCCUCUUUGCCGAGUUUGCCCCCAUGCACUGCCCCCGCUACCCUAAUACGUGCCUCUCCUCGCCCCACCCCGGAAAAGUGCACAUUGCAGCUCUCCGACGGCGCCCAACCACCCGCCCACCUGCUGAUGUUGAGCGCCAGCUGCCCCAAUGCGUUGGGGUCGCCGCGGUUGACCACGCGCGACAGCAGCUGCAGCAGCACGUACUCGGCAGCCAGGCUGUCGCCGCCCAGAGCCCAGCGCAGCAGCGCCAAAGCGCGCGCCCGCCGCGCCGCCGUGUCAGCGCUGCCGGCGGCAGGCGUCGUGGCGGCGGCAGCCUCGGCGGCUGCGGCAGGUGCAAGCGCAGCGGCGGCUGAGGCUAAGGCAGCGGCGGCGGUGGUGGCAGCCGGAACCAGGUUGGGCUGGCGGCGCACCAGGAUUGCGUGCAGCCGCAUCACCUGCGUGGCGGCAUUGGCAGCAGGAACGCAAGGCGGGCGGACCGGGUUAGCCGUCACCUGCGCUUGGUCCCCGUCACACUUGGACCCCGUCACAAGCUAUGGUGGUAAAAAGCGCUCUUUCAUUGCUGAUCGUGAAGACCGCAGGUGAGGCGCCCAAGCGGACAGGGUCCAAGUAAGUGGGCGUGCAAACAAGCGCGCUGCCUGCCGCAGACCAACCUUGCUGGUGGGCGGGUGGGCGGCCCGAAUAGCCUCAAACGCCAAUCGCUCGCCCUGUGCCGCCAGCACGCCCCGGUCGGCCGCCUCGCCCAUGGCAGCAUCGCCCCCGGUGCCGCUGACGCUGCGGCCGACGCCUUCGCUGCCGAGACCCAGAGACGCCAGCUCCUGCAGAGGCAUGCGGCGUGUAUCUCAUCAUCAGUGACGGCGUGGCUGCAGUCUGGAUGCACGUUCAUCACCAACCGCGCUCCACCAGGAGCCUGGAGUAUGGUACGCGGGGCGUCGCUGAGCCCCCAACCCGCAAACCGCAGGCCUCACUAAGGCCCAGCCAAAGCCAAGCCAAAGCCCUAGCCCAACUGAAAGCCCUACGCCAAGCCCCGGGAACCCACCUGCGCCAGGUGAGGGUCCUGGUUGUCGUACUCGAGCUGCGCCAGCUGCGGCACGUGGCUCAGCACGCCCACCACCUCAACCACCUCGUGCAGUGGCAGCGCAGGCGCGUUGUCGUACAGCUGCAGGUGAGGUAGGGUAGGGCGGGAAGCGUGGGGGUUUACAAAGUGAUGCUGGCCGGGAGGGGUACGGCUUGACUGGUACUGCUUGCACUGUGUGUUGCAUUGGAGCACGCAGUCCCACAUGAGUCACAAACUUGCUCUCGCAUCGGCAAAGUGCGGUUGCUAUCACUGACAUAUUCAAGCUUUGCUCGGCAAGUAACUCACAUACACGAUGCAGCUGCCGGGCACCUCGCUUGGCGUCGCCGCCUGCUGUGCCCCCGCAUUCGCACCGGCCGGGUGCUGCGCGCAACCGUGCCCGCCAGCGCAGGUGUCACAGCCUGUCCCCGCGGGGCCCGCGGGAGCCGACGUCCCGGGGAAAGGUGCGCCGCGGUCGUUUGCGGCCUCGAUGUCGCCAACAACCCUCGCGGCAGUAGGGUCCUCCCGCCGGCGCACACGAGGGCGCGCAGCGCCCUCCGCCUCACCCGGCGACCCGGCGCCUGCAGUGGCCCCGCCCGGUCCCUGGUCCUCACUGAGCCCCGUGUCGUGACUCAUGCUCUCCUCACCCGCAUCCGCGCCGGGAGCCGCAGCGUCGGCAGCUGCCGCAGCGGCAUUGGCGCCGGCGCGCGGAGACAGCACCGCCGCACCACCGGUGCUAGCGACGCGCAGCUCAGCUGCGACGCUGUCGUGCUGCGCGUCGGCAUCAGAGGAACGCUCACGUUUGGCACGGGCGGGCUGCUGUUGGGCCUGCUGCUGCUGAGCUUGCUGGGGCUGGGCCUGAGCCACCAGCGUGGUGGUGUUGGCCAUCGCAGCAGGCGCGUGUACGUCCUUGGCCGGCACCGCCGGCAGCGCGGAAAGGGACCAGCUGCUGAGGCCCGGGACUGGCACCAACACGACCGGGCGGCGCUCCCAAAUGAUGGGCGAGGCGGAUUGGGGCGCGUCAUCAGGCAUGUCCGGGUCACAGAACUUCGAGGUGACCCACUGCCCACUCGGCUGCUGGAAGGCCCCGACGUAGUACUCUGGGUUCAGCAAGUCUUGCACCUGCGGAUGGGUAAGUAAGCUGUUUGUAAUUUUCUCAAACGUAGAUGCCUUUCUGCCCUCGUAAGGUAAUCGCCAGGAAGUUGCCACUGCAGAACCCCGCCAAAACUGCUCACCAUGCCGGUGAAGCGCACGAGGCUGUGGUGGGGGAGGCGGUCCGCCGAUUGCUUGUCAAGACGCGGAAUCUGUAAGAUGUGAGUUCGAGCCGUUGGAAUAAGCGAGCCUAGGCGCGUAGGGAGCUCGCAUGUCUUUUGCGUUGUUUUGGUGGGCACUUUCAACCCACCUCGCCGUGACCCAGCCCAUUGACGGCUUCCUGGAAGUACUUUACCACGCCCCAGUCACCAUCGGCCUCAGCGGGGCAGCCUGCUUGCUGGUAGAGCUUCUGAAUCGCCUCUACAGGACGCACUGCUAUCUCUGGACUUGUCAUUUGCCUAAUUGAUGACGAAGACAAGGCGCAUUUGAGUGUGUAAGCACCUGGAGGAGAGUGGGACUAACAGGAGGGGCUUCGCGCCAAAACGCGAUUGGGAAGUGAAAUCGUGAACAGCUGGGAGUCCCGGCUGGUAAUAAAUUAAUAUGCAGAUACAUGUCAAACAAUUUAAAAGGAUAUGCAUGCAAAUAUGCCAACAAGCCUUUCCCGUCCCGGAGGCUUCUCCGCCAGUCUCCGCCUUUGCUGCCGCCAGCGCCCAGCCGUGCGCCCAGCCACACGUCGCUUGCACACCAUGCACCCGCCCAACCCACCAUCGGUGACGCGCAGGCCGUUCUUGAACACGGCCUCGAUGCUGACCUUGGCCUAGUCACACAGGUCCACCUUCACCUCCUUCACCACCACCACCGCCGGCGCCGCCUGAAAUAGACAGGUCCGUCUUUACAUAGACAGGGCAUGCCGGCAUGCUCAUGAAAUGCUUGCAUGUACACCAGGCUACAUAAUGUGGGUAUGCUUAAGUCCCAAGUGCGCUUGCCCUGGUUGUGCCUGCUUGCCCUGGGCCAGGGGUUCCCCUGCCCUGGGCCACCAAUAAUGACGAGUGUUGCGGAACUAAUGCCACCAGUUGCGGCGUGCAUGUGCGUAGCGGAGGGAGCGAGCACAUGGGGCGAGCAAGGCCACGUGGAGGAGGACAGCACGGCGUCGCCCAAGAAGCGGCGCCGGCGCGCAGGUUGAGGCCGGCCGGUGUCUGGUUAGCGGUCUUUGCUGGCAAGCAUAGCACAGUAUGCGGUAGGCCGUAGGAGUGAGGAGUGUUGCGGCCAGAGGAUUUUGUUCAUUUGGGCUGGUAUUUACAACCCCCCUUGCCCUAGCCAUCGAGUGACGGAGUCACGGACACGCACAGGCUUUGCACACAAAUUCCGUCUUGCAUUCGGAAUCCACCUCAGCAAUCUACCUCAUAUCACGCCGCACGGAUCUGAUCCGUCCGCUUGGCCUUUGGUGCCAGUCAGCAUCCAUUAUGCGCUCCUGUUCUGUACAAUCACAAACAAACAGCCAGGCCAGGAGUGGCCAGGCAACAAUACGAACUCCCGAACCCUAACCGCGGCAUGAGAGAUGGCAAUAACGCACGGAAAUACCCAUUACACAUACCAGGCUACACGCGCGCACCCAUGUGCAUUGCGUCACUUCUUGUCAAAGCGAUUGCAGCCAAAAGCCAACCUUUAGCAUGCGAGGCGGUGGCGUAACACGCAAUGCGCCCUAAGGCCCCACUAGUGCCCUCCCACCGAUUCACCCUGCCAAUUCCACCCACGUCACGCUGAGCGUUCAUGCACCAGCAGGUGUUUUGGAUUUUCGCACAGCCACACACACGACAUGUUUGCCAGGUAGCCAACUUCGGUCCUUCGUCGAGCCACGCUUUAUUACCCGAGGUGGACCCGCGUAUGCACCAGAACUACAUGCGCCACCCGCGUCAUGAUUAGUCUGUUACCACGCGCGCAUUAUACCAGUCACACAGUGCGUACCCUUAUUGCCGCCUGCAUGCGGCACAUUGCUUCGGCUGUCCAUGCAGCUACGCUACCCCAUACGUCAUGUGUGGGGCAGCGGGAGCCAUGCCGCACGUGCUCCCCGCCCGUGGCCUGACUAUGGGUGGACGAAGCGCACCACGACGGCGGUGAUGUCGUCCACUACGCCCUCCUCCUCCGUCAGCCAUCGCUGGUAGGCCUCGUCCACCAACUGUAGCGGCAUGGACAGGGCAGAACAGGGGCAGAGUCAGUCGCAGAUCAUACGAUGGCGACAGCUGGCAACCCCUUUUGAAGUGGAGCUGGCGCCGUCCUCCGGACCGCGCCACGCGCUUCCACAAGUCUUGUUCCAGAUUGUUAAUAUCUCUAUCCUGGGUUGAGACCAUAACGCAGCACUAACUUCAGCGACACGACCAUGGUCACGCUUGCGCACCUGGCGGCACGCCUCCUCUGCGCUCUCGUACUGCGCCACGAUGUCGACCGCCUCCUUGCUCGAGAUGAACUCCCAAACACCGUCCGAGGCAAGUACAAUGAACUUGUCCUGCGGCGUCAGCUCCAUGGUCGAGUGGUCCGGCUCCGACGUCACACCCACCCUGUGAGUCAAAAGAGUUCCACACACCCUGCAUUAACACCUUCCCAACAGGGCACGUCCUGUGCACCAAUCCUGCCGUCUUGGCAUGUGGUAUACUCAUAGAACCGGGCACAUUCUAGCACCUAACAACCGUCUAAUCACUCCCGCAAGGCAAGGGCAACUUUUACAUCCUCCUAACCAUGCAUGGCAGGAAAGCGGUGACGCACAGAACAGGUAUCGAGCAUUGACCACUUGCCCCGGGACUCACUGGUGUGCCAGGACAUCACCAAGCGCCCUGCUCAUGGCCAGGCCCGGAAUCCACGCGUACUGCAGCCACACGCGGUAGGGGCCCAUGGGCUGGCCCAUCUCGUCCACCAGCCUGUACCAGCGCGGGAAGGGCCGUGAUGUUAACAUGGUUGGCCGCUGCCCACCUACGCAUGCUUCAUGCGGGAUUCAUUAUAAAGAGCACAAGGAUAACCUCCGCCAGUCCUUGUACUAGAGAUUAGCUUACCGCUCCACACGGCCGUUCGCUUUGAGAAUCCGCGCCUUCUCCUCCGGCGCCGUGGGUUUGUGGUCGUUGGUAAGGUCCACCGCCUCCCAGCCCUUCUUUGUCUCGCGGCCCAUCACGCCACGAGAGUCACCCACCCACGCUGUCGUCAGGGUCUUGCCCUGUAGGUUGGGACAAUAUGAUCAGGUCAGCGCCAGUCGUGGUCAGUGACCGCUGAACGCAACCCCAGCCGCACACCCGGUAGCUAUACGCCCUCAAAAACCCUUCAAAACUGCUUUACCUACAGCCCUGACCCCAUCACAUGCCCGCGCGCACCUUCAGGUAGCUGACCACGGCCGUGCUGCCGCUGAACUCGCAGUCUAUCCUGCUAUUGCCCAAGGACCGGUCCACCUCGCAGAAGCCCUGAGACAGCGCCUUCUUCACGUCCUUUUCCAACGUUAGGUGGUUAACGAGUAUUAUCGGCAGGUGCUGCUUGACGUAGCCAGACACCAGGUGCCCUGCAAACAUCGAGGGCAUGCUGCGUUGCUUGGCGAACAAUACCUCAAUACCAGUGCCUCCUUACCGUGUGGCCCGUGACCAUCCAUAGCACCGAACAGAGACUGGUCCUCGGUGAUGUACUUCUCAAAAGCAAAGCAAUUGUCCUGGUUGGUCUUCUUGAAACCCGGCUCGCGACCAGCGCGCGACAUGCAUGCAACGUUAACGCGCAGAGUCCUGCGCUCCUGCUCCUGUAAAGACGAAAGCGUUGGGCAUUCAGGCUAAGGGUCCUCAACACCAUGCCAAGGUUGCGCAUCUUUCCCCUUACCUCGGGAGCAAGCUGACCCUGGACAGCGGGUUCGUCCCCUCCCUCCAUGUCCUGCUCGUCGCCACCCUCCCCUUCGCCAUUGAGCUUCAGGUUGCCCGGCGAGGCGUUGGGCUGCAAGCAGAGAGUGACAUGUGAGUCAGAAAGGGGACGAUGCGGAAAAAACAUACUCCGCGUUCUUACAUCGUUUGUCACGUAGGACAGACGCCUGGCUCUCGUGUUGCCAGAUUUGCCACCCGGGUUUGCAGCCGCAGGCGCAGCAGAGCCGGGUGGCGCGUUCACCUGCAAGCCAAAGCGGGCUUAGUAUCGACGUAGCGCGCUGCAGACGGUCGACAAGAGCUUACCGCCGCCCCAUUCGCGUCGUUCGAAAUAUAGCUCAGGCGACGAGCACGAGUCGUCUUUGCCUUUUGUGUCUCAGCGUCGGUCGCGGCCUUGUCGGCAGCCGAGCCUGCGGGCGCCAUCAACAUGCGUCUUAGCUGUGGGGGCCGCAACAGACUCCGCUGCUUAACGCACCAUUCUUGGCAGCCGCUCCGCCCUGCUGUUGUUGCUGCUUCUGCUGGUCACCCUGGUCCACCGCUUCCACAGGCACACUAGACCCGCAGCCCAUUCGUUCAAGCUUUCUUAUCUAACGAUUGCACAUGGGUUUAUAGACACGGGCUGGGCACUGGUGUGGUCGCAGCUUAAAAGCAAACGAGGUCGGGGCGAGCAAUACAGGUCUCGCAAUGACAGUGCCUCCAUCGCGUAGCCCAGGCCCACAACCCGCGAGUGAAUGGUGAACAGUACAGCCAUUCUACUUAUUGUCGACAGCUUAACGCUUGCAGCCGGCUGGAGUCUCUCGGUUGUUGGCAUUUGUUAGAUGCCACCUGCUGCGCGUCCUUUAUUGCAGGAGGCGUGCUACGUCAACGGCUACUGUUUGUGUGUUCAUGAAGCGCAAACUAGACCCUAGUUCGCCCAAAGUGCACACUUGAUGCUGCCGUUGGACAUAUGACGUGGGGUCAACUCCAGCUCGACGCGUGCACCAGUUUGAAUCACUCGGGACAAUGCCGCCAGUGGAAAAUGGGAGGCCCGGGAAAGGGGGGUCUGGCAACAUCGAGGGUCGGCUUGACCCAGGAGACGCGGAAGUACUAAAAUAGUGCAAGCUAGAGCUUGGUGAUUACGAUGGGGUGCAAGAGAAUAAUGGGACUGGCGGGAAGGCCGAGAACGCUAGCUCUCUCAUGGUGGGUGGUGACGACACGCAGGCACGCACAGGGCAGCGAGGGCACCAUUUCGACGCCUCUCCACGGCACCUGGCGACGCCUGGCGCUGCCGUGCUCAAGGUCUUGCUGGACGCAUUUGCACCCGUUCACUUGAAGCCCGGACACGGCAACCACGUGCAACACCUUCAGGUCACUGCUACUGCCACACGUCUCAGUUCACACGUUAAGUUGCUCGGUUGCUGCACAUGGGUCACAAUUACGAAUCGACGAUGCUUUCACGAUAACAAUGCGAAACCGAGAAAGCAAGCGAGCACAAGCCUGGAGAGGCCUGGAGGCUGGCACAGCAGGACAGCAAGCGUGGGACAAGCAGCGACAGCAGUUGCACGUUACCUUUCAUAAGCGCCCCGCAAAGCUGCCCUUGCUACUGCUGGCGUGCAUCGGCCCAGCGGGCCACGCGCCCGCGCGGUGUCAGUACGAUGUACACCAUACGUCCAUACCUGCACAACCAUAACCCUAACCGCUCUCCGACAGUCCGACCUGCCCACUCCUGAUGGUCUAUUACACUCCGUGCAUCACAUCUCUGCACGUGAGGACUGACGUGAGGAAAGGAAGCUCACCUGCCCGACACAUCAUCUACAGUACCAUGUCAAGCAUAUCACCCUUGUGACCUUCUCUAAGUUCUCUAAGUUGUCUACGUCAGGCGCAGCGCCCUCGGAAUAACUUACAUUCGCGCUCCCAAUGACCAGCAUCCCCCCUUCGCAACCCCCCUCCCCCGUAACCAUCCCGCACUAUGGCCAGCGAAACUGUUGCGGCAGCUUUGCCAGGCGGAAUAACUGAGAGCUGUAAUUCGGGGCAGUAACUGAGGGUUGUCUAACUGUGUUUGAACCCCUCCGAGCCUGCUGCUCACGCCUUGGGCGCCACCUUGGCCGCCGCAGCCACCAGCUUCUCAUGCAGCGCCGGUGGCGCCGCGAUGAUGCCCCGGUCCAGGGCAAGGAAGCGCCCUUUGCUGAAGUCCAGGCGCACACCAGCGGCGUCCGUCACGCGUCCUCCCGCCUCCUCCACGAUGACGAAGCCGGCGGCGUGGUCCCAGAUCUUUUCCUUGUAGGUGGCGGGCGGGAAGCGCAUGAAAAUGGUGCCGCAGCCGCGCGACAACAACCCGUACUUGACCUGCACGUGAUCAAUAGGGGCGAGGCAUCAGGCGCAGGGGGCAGACCGCGUGCGCUGUGAUGUGAGCUGUGAGCUGGGCCAGCUGCCCCCAGAAGAUACUUGUGCAUUACACGUCAUCGGCCGCAUGCCUUCACGGGUUUACGCCCGCACCUGCGAGUCCAUUCGCAGAGGCGGCCGCACCACGCCCAGCUCCCGGGCCUGCAACAACAUCAGCAAUUGAAUUGAGCGCUUAAUGUCUCGAUUGUGCAGCAUGACGUUACAGCUGUCGUAACAGAAAGGAACCUGCAAAACGGGCUACUGCAAAAUCCAAAAGAUACCAGCCCGAGAGCAACGCCCUACCGUUUCCCAAGCCGCAGCACAUCCCCAACCCCGCCAUGUCCUGCCCCGCCCCACCAGCGCCGCGUUGAUGCUGUGGCUGGAGUGGCGGCUCUCCACGCUCUCCAUGAACCGAGCCUCCGCGCCUUCCGUCACCUCCGCCACGCGGACCUGCGCCGGCGCCGCGUCGCCAGCGUUCUGUAGCGGCUCCACCCAGGCGCCCUGCCCCCGCUCCGAAAAGAAAAGGCAGCCCACGUCCGCGUCGCCGCUGAGCCGCUGAGCCGAGCCAGUGGCGCCGUCAUCGUCGCCUACGGGCCCCUGCGGCAGGUUGGGGCAGCCCAGCACGCCCAGCACCACCUGCGGCAAAGAGAGGCACCACAGCGUAGGCGGACACACUCCCACAGGCCACAGCGAGUCUGGCCGCACAGCCUGCUGAGUGCGUCAGCUGUGCAGCCGCGCCUCCCCGUGCCAUCCAUCGUCUAGGCUUUACGAGCUUGCAAGCGCCAUCCCCAUGGCGCCUGCUGCGCUGCGCCGGGGUGUACGUUGGCCAAACAAUUGCUGUUGCUACCCCACUGAAUCGGCUUAUGCGUGCCCUGAAGACGCAUGCUGGGCUUCCCCCGCAGAAGUGUGCUACUCCCCGUACUCCCGUGCCAUGCUCCCCGUCCUCGUUUCCCUGGCGCUGGUUUGUCCCUGGUACCACCGUAUGCCUGUUGAGCCGCCUCCCUGCACUCUCCCCGGGCCUUCGCCUCACCUCGCCGUCCUGCAACAUACCCAGGCACACCGAGUACUGGCGCAUGCCGACGAAGCCGCGCGUGCCGUCAAUGGGGUCCAGCACCCAGUGCCGACCGCUGGGGCCGCCCUGGGAGGCGCCCAGGUCUGCAGAGGCGGGCGGGGAGCAGGUCAUGACAUUGACGGGCGUUCGGUGCAGGCCAUGAGAGUGCCUGCACAAAGUUACGGUUCCCUCCCAACACGGUUCCCUCCCAACACCAGGAGCCAUGAAGUUAAUCCUCACGGCCCAGCCAAACCUUUAAGCCCACGCUACCACACCAUGUCCCACCAACCCUUGCAGCCUAGCACGCCCACGCCGUGCUCACCGAUGAUGUCCAGCACCUGCUCCGGGCUCAGCACUUCACCAGGCGCCGCGGCCGCCACCACGCUGUUGACCAGCGCGGUGAUGCGGUCCAGCAUAGGGCGGCCCGCCGGCGUGCGCAGCUCGGUGCUGUCCUCCUCAGCCACCAUGGACAGGCGGGUGGAGGGGUCGGCGCGCUGCAGCGUCCAGGCCACAACCACCUGCGCGCCUGCGGGGUAAGGGUGUGGUUGGGGUCAGCAGGAGGCCUGCGUUGUAGGCAUCUGCUCUUUGUGACGUGGAGUUGAGCACAAUCCUUCGACAUUUUGCUGUGUUGGCGCGCACAGCCCGUCAGCCGCGCGCGUCAGUGCUGGCCGCGUGUGGCAGUGGCGUUACGUGUGGAACGUGCGCCGAAACCCGCACACUCAGCCCCUCACGCACCGUAAUCGGCGACGGUGACGGGCGAGUCGUCCUUCUUGUCUACCCGCUCCUCCGCGCUGAGCUGCCUUUGCACCUCCUGCGAGUAGACAGGUCCCGCAAGUCCGCCCGUAACAUCCCUCGGGACAUCCAAUUUGCACACGCAAGCACUUGCGACCGGCCCGAGCCGCAAUAAUGCUUCCCCGUACCUGGCAGAGGCGAGAUGCCAAACGCACUGCCUCCUUCGCGCUUGCCAUCUCGCGCGCGUACUUUGCUUGAGGGCGAGCAACAGUGGGGGCGUGCGCAGCAGAGCUCGCGCGCGCGCAAAGAGCGCGACGGCAUCGCGCUGCAGAUGUGCGAAGUGCACAGCCUUUUGAUGCGGCUAGUCGCUGGCUCUGCAUCCUUAGCGACAGGGUAAAAUGGCAAGCGACGAUAACGAUGGAUGUGAGCUCGUGCGCGCGCAGUGUCUGCAACGGCCUGGACAGCAAAUUAGUUUACUUUGUGUCAGGUUGAAAUGUUAAGGUCCCUGGACUUAAAUGGGUUGCGAUGAGGCAGUCGGGAUGGCACGCCAAAGGGUUUCACCUUGCAACUCCAGAUGUGUUGAUAAGUUCUCCUGCCCUGCCAAAACAUGUGACGGUACACCUGAUUUAAACGUAGCGCUAUAAACAUGACGAGUCAACUUUGUUCAACAGUAAGAAUCCCUUCGCUUGAGUCGGUCGCAAAGCAAUGCCCUCUCAGGCAAGGUGGUCUAGUAAGUAGAUGUAGGCCUAUAGCGUGUCCAGGCUUUCCGGGCGCGCUGAAGGGCCCAAGAAGCCGGCCAUGUGUCCAUGUGGAAGUCGCGCGCGUACUCGGCUCUGAGGGCCCUCCAGAGCCGGAUGCCGCAUCAAAUCCGGACGUGCAACUCCCUGGAGGCCUACACGAGCCCCAGCGCACAGUGCCGUUCAAGCUGAUCGUAAGUGUUGGGGUUCUGUGGGUCUUGGGCAGGGGAGCCUAGGCAACCCGGCCGUAGCACGGCUGACGUGGCACGGGCAUGCGCUUCCGCGCAACCCCGCGGGCCCCGGUCCAUCAGUGUAGCAGCCCAUGCGACUGAUGCAUGGUGACGGUCCGACGCCACCGCGGAAUGCAAUUCGGGUCGUCCCAGCAUGCGCACUCCAUCCACCCCUCCGCCGCCCCUUACCACCUCACGUCCUCCUCUACCGCUCAGUACACCGGCCACCGCGCUGGCUUCGACUUGCUCGCGGAAGCUUCCUUCCAGGUGGAUAGGCAAUGAUGCCCUCUCAGUGGCUGGGGCCGUUGGCCGGUGCUGCACGCCGCCACCAAGCGGCUUUGUAAAUGCACUCACCGCCCUCGCCGCCCGUCCCUGCUAACCUUCUCUGCCCCAACCCUUGCCCUGCCUCAUGCCUCUGCUGCAUGCGCUGGGACCCGGCCUGGCUCCGAAAACUCCGCGGCAGGCGCUCAUCGGGCUGGUGCUGCUGACGGGCGUGGGCAACCGCGUGCUGUACAAGAUGGCCCUGGUGCCGCUGCGCGACCACAUUUUCUUCCUGGCCCAGCUGCAGAACCUGGGCUACCUGGCCGUGUACUUCACAGCCCUGGCCUGGAGGCGGAGGUGAGGGGGGAGAAGGGAGGGGGGGGAGGGUAGUUCAUGCCAUUCUCAAAAAAACAUUGCUAACCCAGAACCCUUUUAGAGCGGAGGGGAAGGGAGGGGAGGGGAGGGGAGGGGAGGGGAGGGGAGGGGAGGGGAGGGGAGGGGAGGGGAGGGGAGGGGAGGGGGCGGGGCGGCUGGGCGGGCGGGCGGGCGGGCGGGCGGGCGGGCAUGGUCGGAGGGCGUGGUCGGUGGGCGUGGUCGGUGGACGCCGCGAGCGCAAGGACACGGUAACUCUGUCCACAGGUCUGCCAGAAUGCGGGUUAAUGAACUCGGGGACGUUUAGGGGCGUUGAAGGCCUGUAAAGGUCAUAACAAACGAGCUGGACUUACUACCUGCUGCAUCGCAGUACCGGGCAAGUAACUACGGCGAUGAUGAACAUCGACAAGCGGCCGCUGCUGGCAGUGGGCGCGUGCGAGGCGGCGGCGCAGCUGCUGUUCAUGGUGAGGUGGGGGCGGGGUCCAGGGGUGAGGACGGGGGCCGUGCUUAGUUUUGGGGCGCCAGGAUAGCAACCCACCAGGCCUUGCAAGCGGCCAUAGACCAGGGGCGUGCAAGAGUUGGGUUGUGCUGGUGUGGUUCUGGCUUCACGCGUUUUACCCCUGGUGUGUGGUGACAGGUGGGGGCGGCGCACAUACCCGGUGCGCUGCUGCCGGUGGUGAAUCAGACGUAUCUGGUGUGGAGCCUGGUUUUUGCCAGCCUCAUCCUGGGCACACGCUACUCGUGGAUGCAGCUUGCGGGCGCGGGGCUGGUGAUGCUGGGCGUGGUGUGUGCGGCGGUGCAGCCGGGAGUCGUGGCGGGCAUGCUAGGGAUGGGCUCGGGGGCAGCAGCAGCGGCGGCGGCGCAUGCGGCGGUGGACCUGCGCUAUGUGGCGGUGUGCGUGGCGUGCUUUGCCUUCCCCGCCAUCGCCAACUGUAUCAAGGAGAAGGUGUUCAGGUGAGCGCAGCACGCGCGCAUACGCGACAAAUGCUCGGCCUGCUCUGGGCAGGGUAGGGAUGACGCUUGGCGAAUGCAGGCGGCAUGGAGGGCUGACGUGUUGCUUGGUUGUGUGGUUGCCGUGCUGUGUGCAGCUCCGCGGCUCAAAAGCUGGGCCAGCCGCUAGACAUCUUUGUGGUCAACUCCUUCGGGUCUCUGGCGCAGACUUUUUUCGUGCUUCUCUUGCUGCCCAUCACCACCGCACUCAAGGUGCGCGCUGCCGCCGAAGGCAUGCCCGCGGCACAGCUGUUGCGCACGGGACAGAGCCGGUUGGCCAGCUGACAGACUGGACAUGCAUGGGGCCGUGGCCUGCUUCGAACUCAGCUGACAUGGGGUCGACUGCCCUGCCGUCUCUUCGGACCGGGGCCUGUGUGUUGCGCCCGGGCGCAUGACCCCGCCACUCGCCCUCACGCCCUGCACACGGCACACACGCGCAGGGCAUCGCGCUGUCGGACCUGCCCGCCCACCUGAUGGCCUCCUCCCGCGCCUUCCUGGGCGAGCCCAGCGCCGCGGCAUGCGCGGCCUUUGGCGGCGGGGCGGACGCCGGCGGCCUGGUGGGGGUGCUGGCGCGGCACUCCACGCCGCUGCUGGCGCUGUCGUACGUGGCGCUCAACCUGGUGUUCAACGUGGCCAUGCUCAACCUGCUGCGCAGGUGCGUGUGUGGUGGGCUUGGUGGGUGGGCGUGAUGUGCAGAGGGUCACGGUGAGGGCGGAGAGACGGGCAGGUAGACGGAGGCGCGGUAGAUGGAGGCGUGAUGCUGGCGGGAAGUUGGCAGUAGCGCAGAUGCCGGGGCUGAGCCCGGCGCCGCAUCCAACUGAUUGAUGCGACCUUCAGCCGCAUCCGUAUCGAGUAUCGACGCAUCCCCCCCUGCUGUACCUUACCUCACACGUGCGUAUGCCGCCGCCGCUGCAGUGUGGGCUCGGUGACCACAACGCUGGUGGGCUCGUCGCUGGUGCCACUCACCAUCGCCGCCUUCACAUUGCCGCUACCGUACCUGGUGAGUUGUUGCCGUGGCGGUACCGACUGAAUCCUCGACCCGGUGCUGGCCAGUUUGUCCACCUGUGCCGUAUGUGUGACGGCACCUGCUGUGUCCCGCCUGAUGCGCAGGAGCCGGCGGUGAUUGGUCCCAACUUCCUGGUGGGCGCCUCCUUGCUCAUGGGGGGCCUGGUCACCUACAACUGGCAGGGCUGGAUGGUCAUGUUGGGCAUCAGCCCGCCCGCCCCCGCGCCGGCUGCAGCUCCGCAGUCAGCCGCGGUGUCGGCGCCUGCGACGCCGCAGCUGCCGGUGCAGGCGGCGAAGCAGGGGGAAAAAGGAAGUGAUGGGGACAGGAAGAACCGGUAGUAUGGGGGAAGAUGGCCUGCUUUGGCAUUCGUAACAUAUUGUGGGCCAAGGUAUAUGCGACGGCAGUACUGUUGAAGCGGAUUGUGCUAAAUGGGAACGAUGGGACAAGUCGGAUGAGCUUUGUUGCGCACUGCUAGGUCGGAAUGUUUCUGAUCCAGCGGAAAGGUAACAUUUAAGGAGGCCAGGUCACUCUACACACUUUAAGGAGGCCAGGUCACUCUACAUGUGCGUUUGGGGCAAAUGGCUCCGUGUUUCGCUGUGCUCUCGUCCCUGGCCGCGUGAUGGGGUGCUGUAAGAUGCACCCUGGCUGGUUCGUACACAACAAUUUUAUCCGCGGUGUUUGGAAAGGCCAAACGGAGAAUGCCGUGUGGGCGCAAGGGGCAACGGCCCACGUGAAUGCGCUCAUGAUGUUCGUGCCGGGAUGAAGGAGAUGAGGCAGACGCUUGCGGCCUCAGACUAGAGAUGUGGCGUGGGCUCAGCCCACUUUCCCCAUGCGAGGGGAACCACAUAUCUUGUCUACCGCGUGCACAGUUACGUGUUUGUCCAGGGGCACCCCUGGCCUUGUCCUUCGGGGCGAUGGUUCGGGGACCGCGGCGUGGCAGAGUCAGUAUGGAAAGACAUCCUGAAGACGUAAGAGCUAUGACUGAUCGGCGCGCCAUUCAGCACACGAUGUGUAGCGUUGUAAAGGUUGUCCGCCACGCACUACCUGCCCCCGGGAUUAUGGCACGGGGAUACGGCGUCGCCAGGACCCGCAGUGUGGGCGGAACGCCCGCCAAGAUGAGACUUGGGUGACCGCGUAUUCACUAGAAGACUCGUAAUAGGCAUAAGUUAGGGCCCAGCCCUGUCUCGAACAGGGAUCGUAACAGUAGAUCUAUUACAACUGGCCGGAACACUGGGCGUGGUGAUGGCUUAACUCGGCGCCCUCGGCCGUGCCUCUCAUCGUGUCUCAUCUUGGCGGGCGUUCCGCCCACACCGCCACACGCAGCCAGCAGCGUGUGCUGCCCGCACAGCAACUGCCCGGGUCACACAUGCGAAUGUAACAGGACGAAAGGCAUCUCAAGGUGUGAGUACCGCUCCGGCCUCCGAACAGGGGUGACCCUGGGGGCUUCGCCCCACCCCCGUGAAUCGCUCCAAGCCUCUGAGCCUCUGAGCGCUCAGCCCAAAAUCACGCAAAGCGCGGAACGAAGCUGAGGACGACCACAUGUGGUGAUGAGUGCAGAGUACUGCAGGCCAUAUGCGGGACCUGCCAGGGACACGCGGGGACCUUACACGGCGACAUGAUUUCACCCAGGGGUGGUUUUGCCUGACAUAGGGUGCAGUGUCUUGCCAGUUGCCACACACCGCAAUCGUUUGGGUCAAUCUAUCUCUAACAGCCACAACAACACCUGCGCGUGCGAUGCGCAUCAUCGGAAGGGUACUGUAGACUGAGGACUGCUUUCGAUGUACCACCAGGAGCAAUUUAGCCCUUCCUCGCACGGACACAGGGCAUGCCUACGCGAAAGCCAUUGAAUCCUAACAAUGAAUUUCGACUGCGCCUUGCGCCGGGCGUUGCAAGGCGUCACGGCAAUUUUAUGCGGUCUCUGCGGACGCCCAGAAUCCCUACGUCUAGGCUAGCGACGGCAGCACGGCGGGCUGAUGCGUCAAUGACAUAACCCUGACCAGUUCAAUUGAAGUUGCACAAAAGCCCGUGAAACCGAGUACCGUACUGCACCACCAACAGAAAUGACACGUAACCACUAAUUUCACUGACUCUGUAACACACGGCCACGCCUGUACAACGCGCACCACAACGCGUACCAACUCCUCUCGGGGAUAAUAUUAAUCAGCUGGUGCAACAGUGCUGUGCUGCACGCUGCUUUAGCUCUUUAGUUCGUCACAAUGCACGCACGCAUAGCACACAGGCACGGCGCACGCAUACCAUACAGGCACGGCGCAAGCAACACUCCUGUCCGGUCCCGAAAAUAGUACAUGCCGUGCAUUGAAACGGCCAGCAGCAUCAAACACGUCCAACGUCAUGUAAUUAAACAGGUGUUCGGUCUUACCUACACGUGUACGGGCGCUCAAUAGGGAACAUGCCGCUGUUUUCACAACACAAGGGCAUCGCCACGCGGUGAUAGUGAUACAGCAACGCCGCUCGGCGGCGUCAUACCAACGCAUGUUAAGCGUGGCAGGCUAGCUCAAAGGCGAUUAAACUGCACGGUACAUGCCCGGCUGCUGUGCCCAGCCGUGAUCGCGUCAUGGGGCGGCUGCAUGACAACACACCACCCCGCUAGACCCCGCGAGCAAAGUGUUUCUUCAUGCAAACACAACAACCAACAGAAUACUACCGGAGUGACGCAGGUAGCUCGAAUCUCAGCCGCAUGCCACACGCAUGCGCUUGGUCUGUCCCUACGGACACGUGGGCUCGCAGCACCGUUCCCGCCCAUCACGCGGCACCCUUGCCGGGGCCGUCCAGGUCCUCCAUAGACAUGCAGCCGGCGCCGGCACCGCCGCCCACCGGCUCCGUCAGAGACGCCUGCAGCGGAUAUACGCAUCGCGGCACAUAAACACGAAGGCACACCGCUUUACACCCCAGCCCCCAACCCCUCAGUACCGUACAGCGCACCUCAACCCAUCCUCUCCCAAACAGGCAACGUGAUACAGGGCCAGCUGCCGAUGUGGAGCUAACGUAUGAAUGCGGAUGUUACAGAGGGGACAGUCCCAGCACCCGAAGACGCCGAGCCAUCACAUGCUAUCAGGGCCGUAACGUAUGGCGGGUCAGUCAGUCAGGGUAUGAUGUCCUGCCGCCACACCUGCAGGCUGGCCAUGGCCGCCGCGCGCAUGAGGCGUGUGUUGGCCUCGCGCGUCUCGCGGCUGGCCAUCUCCAUGGUCUUUCCCCACUCAAACUCGUCCAGGUAGGCCUCGCGCACCUCCAUCAGGCGCAGGGCUGCAGUAGGCGGGGGGAAGCAACAACCAGAUCGGCGGUGUUUGGCGUCCGGCGGCUGCUGUGAAACGUGCGGCCCAUACGGCCGUGCGAAGGCUCUCUUUCUGCAUGCAAGAUGAACCCUGGCGCGGCUAUGCGUGCCGCAAAACAGCAGCACAUGCUCGGACCAGCGCUGGCGCUGUGCUACACGCACCAGCCAAUCCUGCACGGACUCACCCAAAGCGUGGUUCUUCCUCAUGACAGCGGCCAUCCACUCGUCGCCGCCAUCGCCCUUCAUGGGCGUGCCCAGGAAGUCUGCAGGCACGCAACGGAAGAAAGGAGGGCUGAGCAGGGAAGGACAGGAGAGGCUGUGGGCUAACGUAGGCUGGUGCCUCUCUUCGAUUCUGUGACUGCCCUUUGCCCCACCCUCCAAGCGCCCUCACCCAUCAGGUCUAGGUAUGCCUGCUGGUUGUAGGUGGUCUCAGGGCCGCCGGGGCCCUGCAGCUGCUCCAGCACCACCCUGCGCGGUUCCGGUGUGAGUGGGCAAGGAGCGAGUUGGGUUUGGCCGGUGCCUGCACCAAAGUGACCGUGCGUACUGGAAGCCCGGCCAGUGCACGAAUCGGCAAGCGGUCACUUGACGCCAGGACGACUGGCGCCGUCAUGGCGCUUCGACACUUGCGAGGGCCGUACGGUGCCGUUACGCUACUCGCGAUAGGGGCUCAGGCCAAAUGCUGCGCGCCCAAAAUUUGAACCGACGCGCCCCGACGGUAUGACUUCCAUGUCUCCUUUUUCAAGUCUCGAAGGGCCCCAGCCCCGCAUAUUUCGUGGAAGUUUUAAGUGUUUGAAUGGACAUCAAAUACUCAUAGCCAACUACAUGGUCAGGUCCCGCUCACCGAGCUGCAACAAACGUGAACAGCGACCGCAGGGCUACAGCAGCUUUACGCUCUGGCGAAGCCCCCGAAAAAGAAUCCGCAGGGAUAUGCAUCCUUGCGCACGGCGUGACAACAGCCCGGGGGUAGGCUUGGGGGCGCGGCCGAUGAUGGCUGAGGGGCGCGCGAAAAGCCGCUCUUGCGCUGAGGCUCAUCAUAUUUUGUCACGGUCGACGUCACUGAGGCUUAGCAGCCUGGUAGCGGCGGGUUAAGCUGCGCAGCGCGCAAUCGAGCAAACCCUAAUUGUAGUCCCGAAACAGUCGUCGGUAGCUUGGCAGCCCUUGUGAGGAGUUCGAGGUGAGUAAGUGUAAUUGGUAGUGUUAGUAGUCCACAAGCUGUGCACCUGAAUGGGGAAUUAGGCCAUUCUGGGCACCCGAAGGGCCGGCGCAUCGCAGGCGGCCUGGCGCCCUGCCCGGAUGUUGCCCAGGCCGCUGUAGUCUGGAAUUCAAUAAGCGCCAGAAUAACACUAUCCAAUAUAAACCCUAACCGACAUCCAGCUCACGGGGCGUCUGGCCACGUAGUCACACCGCCAGCAGCCAACGCGGUCACGCGCCCUGCCCGCCCUCGUCCUCCUCCUCCAGCUCUACCACGCUGCACAGCUUGUUCCAGGCGCCCUUCACCAGCAGCAAGUGCGCCAUGCGCCACUGCGCCAGCCACCGCUCCCAGGCCACAACCGCCACAGUCCGCUGCUGGAUCGAGCUGGCGCCGCGGGCUGGCUGGAGAGGCGGGGGCGGUGGGCGCUGGCGCGGCAGCAGCGGCGCCGCCAGCUCACCCUCAAGGUAGAGCUGAAACACAGUUGCCUGCAGCUGCUGCUGCGCCCGCCCAUAUGCCACCGCGUCCUGUGCGCUACCGCACAAAACAGGCGCCGGGAACGGCGCCUGCGUGCCGGGGGCGUGUGAUGCACCGCCGACGACCUUGUGAGUCGGGAGCAGCACCGCCCAAGCAGGACCAGGGCCGGACGCCGCGGCGAGGUCAGUGUCCGGCGCAGCAGUUGAUGCCAGCGCCCACAUCGCAUCCGGCAGCCACAUACCGAGCGGCCGCGGCAUGAGGUGCAUGUUCGAGACCGUUGCGGCGCGGUCCCGCGGCUGGAGCCCGCCGCGGCCGCCCUGACCAGCAGCUUCCGCUUGUGCCGCGGUUUGCCUGCCUCCGCGGCCGGCUGUCCCCGCCCCGCGACCUGCUGGCCCGGCUCCAACUGCAGCUCUCGCCGCCACUGGAGCAGCGUCAGCCAGCAUCGCACGCAGGAACCGGUUCCGCCACAGCGCCGCUGCCUCCGCCAACUCAUAGUCAACCCCCAGAGCGGCCAGCGCUGUGCUUGCCGCCUCCUCCAAGGCUCCUCUGCCUGCGCCAGCUGACCCCACCCUGCCCCGCUGCUGUUGCGCCGCCUGGCUCUGCAGCUGCUCCAGCUGCUCCUCAGCUGCCGCUAGCUCCGCCUGCACCGCCGCCAGCUCGGCACGCAGCUGCUCCACCUCGGGCAGCAGCGCCGCGCAGGCCUCUGCCUGCACCGCGCGCCGGUUGGCUGCGGACACUCCGCCGCCCGCACCGCGCGAGCGUUGCAGGUCUGUAAGCGACUGCACCACAAGAAUGCAUGACGGUGCACAUGCCGUGGCAAACUCUGUAAGUUACAGCACAAGCGCGCUAAAGCUAACAAGCGGCUUGAAGGACAUGGCAAGCUUCCUCAGGUAGUGGCGUACCUGUGUAAGCCAUGUCUGCGCCGCCACCAGAGCCGAGAACUUGACCUGCGCCUCCCGCCGCAGCACCGCCACCGCCUCCUGCUGCAUCUGCAGCCCCGCCGGGACGCGGCCCAGUGACACACGCUGCAGCUGUGCCGCGGCCAUCGAAGCCGACACCGCCAAUGGCGCUGAAGAAGCAGGGUACAAUCGCGCCAACGCCGAGCAGUAGGAGCGACUGGCCGCUGAAACCGUGUCCGCCAGCGUACUCAGGCCCGCGCCUCCACCUGCAGUUGUCCCAGGAAAGGGCGUUCUUAGAUAAGGCACAGGUAACGCUUGGUUGACGAAGAAGCCCAGCCUAACGUGACUGCAAGGCUUUACCUCUCCGCUGCGCCUGCUGCAGCAGCUGCUCGCGUGUAGACAUCGUCUCCCGGUACUGCUGCAUCGCCCGGCGCAGUGCCAGCGGCAAUUGUGGUGGCCCCGCCGGCUUUGUGGCGGCAGCUGCGCUUCCGUCUUGAUGUCCGCCUGACGUUCCCCCGGCCCCGCCACUGUCGUUGCCUGCUGUGGUACCACGGGCAUCGUUGCUGUCACCGCUAUUUGCCGCCAUCGCGGCGGCCGCCGCCAUGGCGCGCUGCGCCGCCAGCGGUAGGUGCGACGGCACGUUGGGGUGCGCCGGGCUUGCGUCCUGCGGCACUGCCGCUGGUGUCCCGCCUGCAAACGGUGCCGUAGGCUGCGAGCGGGGCGUCCCAACCCCGCCCGGGGACGCGGCGCGCAUCAACGGCGCCCCCGGUGACGCCUGCACCGGCGCGCCAGCCCCCGCCCGCUGCGGCGACGCGUCGCGUGUCCGCGCCGCCGCACCGGAUGGGCGGCCCGCUGCAGGCAUGCUGGAAACGUUUCGCACGGAUGGCCCCGGCCCCACCGUGCCGGCUCCCCGGUUGGCUGCGCGUGCCCCAGCUGCCACGCCCCUGCCAGCCCCGGCGGAUGCGAGCGGUGGGCGGUUGGAGGACCCGGGCGCUACAGGCGUGCCCUGCUGCGUCCGAGAUCCGCCAUCCAUUGGAGUGCCGGCGCCUGGGCUGCCGUCACCGCCUGAUUCCCCGAGUGCUGUUGGGAACAUCGGGCCACGCGAGGGCGAGGGGCUCCGGAAGCUGGGCGGCGGCCCUGAGAAGGGCGUCGCCGUGGCGCUGUUGGGCGCGGAGGAUGAGUCCUGUGCGGGGCGGAAUGAAAGGAAACAUUUCGGUGGAGGCGAAUGUGCAAGAGCAACAAGGAGGCCACCUGGAACAGUGCACCAUAUACGCACCGCUGCUGCUGGCGAGCGGCGGCCCGGCGGCGGGGUUGCCGCUGGCGUGCUGGUUGUCGCUGCCGAGCCUCCUGCGGUGAUGUACCAAGGCAUCAUGCGUUCAGUUGCGUGUCACAUGCGUCAGAGCGGCAGGGGCACCAAGGGCGACAGCGUGCAAGAUUGCAGAUUUGCAGGUGUCCACGUGCCAUACCGUAGAUGAGCCGGUCACAAGACAUAUUCCCGCCCACACUCAACCCAGCAGUCCCACCUGAGCGUGAUGAGAGCAGCCAAGGCGCGGGUUGCUGCUCGCCAUGAAGUCUGCGCCACAGCAACACAGGUGCACAGUGCGGUCCGUUGCCCUUAGCGCGCUGCAGUUGCCGCAGGCGUUGCACCUGCUUCUUGCAUACCCACUCGCUCACCGUGUAUUGAGAAACGCCGCACAGCGCCUCAGGUCAGCCACGAUCGCCUGGGUCGCCGCAGUUUGGCCAGACAGCUCGAUGUAAGCCUGCGUAGAGUUCAAUGUGACGUGGGUAUGAAGACCUACGAACUGUUCACCAGGCCUGGCCCGGCCUUGGUAUUAUCCCUUGACCCCAGCGCUGCUGCUGCUGCAUGGCAGUUUUCGGCUCAACGCGCCCGAAGUAGCUGAUUGCUGCCCAGCACUGACCUCUCCCACUCCUGCGAUAAGGCUGUUGAGCGCCUCCAGCAGCUCUUCCGGGUUCGUGGCCGCUUCCAUCGUCCAACCUCCAAACCCGCCCUGCCGCGGGUGCGCUGCGUUGCCCGCAGCCGCUCCGCAGCUCCACGUUAUCCGAAGCGGCUGGUUUCGCGGCACACAUCUACUGGUGGCAUCGCUCAAAAGCACCGAGGGGCCGGCCAAGCAAAGGGGAUGCUUGCAGUCUCCGUUCCUAGCAGCUCCCGCACGCCUAAGAGAUGUCCAAGAAUAUGUAAUUAUCACGUUGGCCGAUGAUGAGCAUGCGGUUGCGUUGAGCUGUGUAUGUGUUCGAUUUUGGCUGCGCCCAUUAAUUCGAAUGUGUGGAACUUGUCCUGGAGCUCAAAGCAAAAGCUGUGUGCGUAAAAUUCAAUCAAUAAAUAUCGCAUUUGCAGACAGGGAGCCAACGUCAGGCGUGCUGCGUGCAACGAUCGAGACCCGGCGCAUGCGCAUUCGGCUCGUGGCUUGUCCGACCAGACAUGCAAGCUUUUAUCAUUAGGCGCUGAAACAUGCCUCGUCCCGCGAAAGGCAAACGCGGCAAGGGAGCGGGUGCGGUCGGGGGCCAUGACGCGGCCGAUCUUCUUGAACGGCUCAACAGCAGCGGCCUUGGUGAAAAAGAGGUGCUUGCGAUUGUAGGGGCCAACAAGGUGCCCUGCGAACACCUCCGGAGCCCUUGCGUGAGGAACCGGAAGGAGAAUGUGGCAUGCUUCUGUCAGCUCGUGCCUGCCGAGACGUCGUACCGCAAAAAGGGGCUGUGGCAAAAGGAGCAGACGUACCUAGGGACGCUGGGGUCGGACCCCAAGGAGAGGCAGCGAGAGGUGCGACGGCGUUAGCAGGGGGGCAGGCCCUGCUGGGUAGGGUUCGUGCCGCGUGCCGGAGGGCCACCGCAUACCUAAUCCGCCCAGGCCCCGCAAAAACAUAUAGCUCAAGACCCCCGACGACAUUUCCGCGCGCCCCCAUGACUGCCAAAGCUCCUCCCUCUGCCUCUCCAGGACGCGGCCACGCCCGCCGGGCUGCGCAACCUGGGCAACACCUGCUACGCCAACGCGGCGCUGCAGUGCCUGUUCUCCAUCCCCUCGCUACGCACCGGCAUCUACACCGCGGAGCCGGCGGUGGCGGGCCACGACAUCCUGCGCCAGCUGCAGGGCCUGUUCCUGCAGAUGCAGUUCGGGCCGCAGCGGUCGGUGGACACGGAGGCGCUGGCCAAGACGUUGGGCCUCAACCACGCCGUUCAGCAGGCACGGCGGCACAGGGGGACUAGGGGCUCCAGGGAAUCAGGGCUCCCGGGGUUUCCGGGGUUUUCCAGGCUUGGGGAUUGGGAAGGCUAGCAGGAGGUCGAUUGCUGUGUGUCUGGAGGGUGGUGGGGUUGCGUGCGUGCUUUGCAAGGGCUUGGAGAUAGGUGCGCGUCAGUGCAGGUGACUGGAUGGGGCAAGUCCACGCGCUGCUGAGGCGCAGCGAAGGGCGGACGCUGGGUCGAAUGCUAUUGAAGCCGACCAUGUGUUGCCGUACUCUGUUCCAACAUGCAGGAUGGUCAGGAGUUCUUGAAGCUGCUGCUCACGCGCGUGGAGCAGCUGAUGAGCAAGUCUAGCGACGGGGUGAGGCAGACGGGCUAGGAGAGGAGGGAGCCGUCGUGGAAAGCCAUCCAUGAUACUGGUAGACAAGAUUCAAUGAAAGUACGGUUGGGGUGGGCUGGGCUACUAACGCAUUGGGGCGGCCUGCUGGGCGUAAAGCAGGAGGUAGAUCCCGUUACUGGUGGCACGAUACUGUAGCAUGCUAACGCGUUGGUGCGAUGCGGUCUGCCGCAGGCGGCACGGCGGCUGGUUCCUCAGCUGUUCCGUGGCGGUCUGUCCUACGUCACCACCUGCCAGGUGCGGCUCUGCCUCAAGCAACGCUCUCGGUCCGCCUGGCUUGAGGGUGUCGUCGCUAGCUCUGCCUUGCCUGCCGCCUGCACCUGUUGAACUGAAAUUUUGCAUCCAUGUGUCACUUCCCUCUUGUGUGCGCACGCAGCGCUGCGGGCGUGACUCGAGCAGCUCUCACGAGGUGCAGGACUUUUACGACCUCAUGCCCCAGGUCCGCGGCUUUGGCUCGCUCACUACCAGCCUGGUAAGAGUGGGCGUGGGGCUGGAGCCAGCUGGGGCUGGGCAUGUGGGAGCACGGCGUAGGGAGGCACAGGGGCCGGCUGGCGGUGUCUCACACAUAGCGUUCGCGCCCCGUUUCGCUGGAAAGACUGUACGUGAGGUGCACCCCGCUCCCUGCCAACGGGCCGCCCCGUCCCCUCCUCCAGGCAUCCUUCCUGCACGCCGAGUCGCUCAGCGGUGACAACCGCUACCUGUGCGACUUCUGCGGCACCAAGGUGGACGCGCUGCGCCGCGUGCGGCUGCGCGCGCUGCCGCCCUACCUGUGCCUUGCGCUGCAGCGCUUCUAUUUUGACCCCCGGGUGAGGCAGGCGCGCAACGCGCGCAACGCGCUCAGGCUAGGAGCGAGGGGCGAAGCAACCCCAAUGCUGCGGCGGGUGUCAGGUGUCACAUGGGUGCGCGCCGCUCGCCGUCGGCUGGAGAGCACUGGAGCCCUGUCUUUGCCCUCACAAACUUUCCCGUUGUCUGUUGUGUUGCACAUGCACAGACUUUCGACAAGGCCAAGGCUCUGGACAAGUUCGCCUUCCCGCUGACGCUGGACUUCAGCCAGGUGCUCGCGGAGGCGGCGGCCGCGGAACAGGCGGCAGCUGGUGCGGCAGCGGCGGCGGUCGCUGCCUCUACUGCAGACGCCGCGGGCGCGGCCUCAGACGCUGUGCCCAAUGCCGACGCGGCGGCGCCGAAGGCGGCAGACGCGGCCGCUGCCGCGGCGGCUGCGGUGUCUCUGGAGACGCCCUCGUACCCGGUGGAGGGCAGCCCCCUGUACGAGCUGGUUGGCAUCCUCAUCCACAAGGGCUCGCAGGCGCACAGCGGACACUACGGUGAGAUGCGCUUUGUGUGUUGCGGCCUACGGUAUGCACAGCGGAGCGGUUAUUCGCGAUUGCGCAAAUUUACGCUGUCGUAUGUAUCGUCAGCCCGGCCUCACCAGCCGCUUCUCCCGUGCCCCAACCGGUGCUCCAAGCCUGCAAUCCCGUCUCCGCGAAUUCUACGCAACCCCCAAAUCUGCAGUCGCGCACAUCAAGGACCAGGCCAGCGGGCAGUGGUGGCGCUUUGACGACGAGGUGGCUGCCUGCAUUGGCCCCGACCCCGCCGCCGCCUUCCAGUCAGACCACGGCGCGGUCGGCGCGGCGGCGGCGGCGGCGGCCGCCGCUGGCGGAACGGCGGCGGACGGCAGCACCAAAGGCGCAGGUGGGUGGCACAACGCCGAUUUGCAGUGAGUAGUUGGGCCUUGGACCUUACAACGUCUCUGCUAGGUACCUGAUUACUGACUCGCACGUUAUGGGGGUUCCAUGCAGGCGCCUCCCGCAAGCGGACGGCCACGCAUGAUGACGUGGACUAUGAGGAGGAGGCAGCCGCGGCGGGAGAGGAGCCAGGCCGCGGUGGCGGUGGUGAGGAGGAGGAGGAGGACGAUGAGGAGGACGGAGGUGCGGGCGGCAAGCGCAGCGGCAGGGGCGGCCGAGGCGGGAAAAAGCGAGCCCGGGCGGGCAGCCGCGCCGGCAGAGGUGGCAGCAGCGGCGGCGGGCGCGGCGGCAAGAAGGGCACGGCGGCUGCGGCAGCCGGUGUUUCUGCCGAGUCAGGGGCGGGCAAGAGCAGGGGUAGAGGCGGGCAGGGCAGGAGAGGCGGGCGGCGUGGGCGCACCAGUGGCGCAGUUGACAUGGAUGGCGACGCCAGCGACGCCGACGGCGAGUUGCGGGCGGCUCUGGCCGCGUCCAUGGCUCUGCAGCAGGAGGACGAGGGGCUGCGGUUUGCCAUGGAGGCUAGCAUGGCCGACGCGGCCGGGCUCGGGGUGGGUGGCGUUGGCGGUGGUGACACCGGGGCUGCGGCGGGCGAAGCCGGCGGCGCCCACGCAGGCGACGCGGAGGAGGCGGCGUUGGUUCAGAUGGCGCUGGAAGAGAGCGAGCGGGAGGCGGAGAUGGCGGCAGUCCUGGCUGGCGCUGGUGGUGCGGGCCGCGGCGGCGGUGGCGGUGGAGGCGCGGCCGGAGGUGGUGGCGGAGGCGGCGACGCCGCUGAGUUGGGGGAGGACGGAGCAGGGCAGCAAGGGGAUGCAACGUCUCCUAUGGAGUCGGACGCGGAGGCGGUGGCGGCUGCGAUGGCGGCGAGCCUGGCGGACGCCGCGGCACCCACGCCGCCGCGGCUUACGCCGCCGCCGUCGCUCAUGAGCGCGCCGCCGCUGCGGCCGUCGCAUCUGCGGCCGCUGGCCCUGAAGUCCGACGAGGCGGGCGAUGACCUGAAGGGCUCGGUGCACAACAGCCCCAAGUCCGGCCCCGCUGCCGCCGCCGCAAUCAAGGGCGAAACAAUCGGCAAGGUGGGGUCAGGGGGCUCCCUGGAAGCAGCCGGCACACUCGUACCGUCGUUCCAUUGAACACCCAAGGCAAUCAUGCUUGCCACGCCUUCUGCUGUACCUGAGCGCGCAUCACCAGCCUGCCUAAUGUACCCAUGCGCCCUUACAUGACGGCGCCUCACACUCACAGGCUGGUGGCGUGGGCGGCAGCGGCUCGCUGGUGUCCGCCAACGCCUACAUGCUGGUGUACCGGGCCGUGGGGCUGCAGGAGCCGCCGCCGGCCCGCACCGUGGAGGAGCUGCCGGCGGCGCUGCAGGCGGCCGUGGCCGAGGUGGCGGCGGCCUACGCGGACGAGUGCGACGUGUACCAGCGGCAGCGCGACGCGCUCAAGACGCAAGUGAGCCGGGGUUACGUAUGUGUCGGGGUACACCCACCUGCGGCUGGCAGCGCUGCGGCGUUGGGGGGACGAAGUGGCUGUGCGCGAUGGAAGCUGUGCGCAGCUGCAGAUGAGUUGCACGGCCUGGUGCCGCGCCUCCUUUCCGGAGGCGCCCAAAGCUCACUAGAGCCUAGAGGUGCUCACUAGAGGUGCUCUUGUCCCGUCCGCAGGUGGAAGAGCGGCGGCGCUCCGUGCGUGAGCUACUCAGCUGCAUCAGCCCGCGGCUGCCGCUGCAGACCUCGAGUCAGCAGCCGCUGCAGCAACAGCAGCCGGAGGUCAUUGGAGACGACGAAGACUCGGCUGAUGCCUCGGCGCCCCAGGAGCAACAGCAGCAGCAGCCCGGCACAGCGGGGUACUGGGUGUCAAUGCCUUGGCUUGAGCAGUGGGCCAACGAUGAGGGCGCGCCGCCGCCCAUUGACAACGGCCCCAUCACGUGCGCCAUACACAGCCGAGCAGGCGCGCGCGGAGGUGCUGCUGCCGGGGCAGCAGGCGGCGCGGGGGACAGUCAAAGCCAAGGUGGAGGAGGCGGGGCCGGCACUGGGAGCUGCUUGGACCCUGCCAAGGUUGCGGCUGCCAAGUUGGUAUCGGCCGAGGCCUGGGAGCGUCUUCACGUGAGCUAGUACUUCCUGUAUGCACUUGUAUGCCCUGGCAUGAUGGGCGCGGGUGGUGUACUACGGCACGGUGCAUAUGUGGGUGCCUGCCCGCACUUGAGGGCACGGACCGGCACUGGCCCACCCGCCGGCCCUCCUCUCCCACCACCGCCUGAAUGCAGGCGGCGCACGGCGGCGGGCCGGUGCUUGCGGCGGGCGACGUGUGCCGGCAGUGCCUUGAGGGCAGCGCCAGCCAGGCACUGCUCGGCAACCAGGCGGAGGAGGUGCGGCGGCGCGUCGCGGCACUGCUGGAGGCGGGGCCGGCGGCGGGCGCCGAGGCAGAGUGGGAGGAGGCUGAGGUAGAGGAGGCGAUGGACGCGGAGGAGGACGCCUCGCCGCGCUCGUUCUGGGUGUCACGCCUGUGGCUGCAGGGUGAGUCGUGCACGUGCGGUAUGGCUGAGGCUGGCUGGCAGGGUACUGUACUGCGAGUGUCGCACGUGUGGUUUGCCGGCAGCCAACGCGCCAAUGGAGCAUCCGCAUCCCAGCUUAUCACCACAGCCGACCCUAACCUUUUCAUCUGUCCAUCCAAACCCCUUGUUGGCGGCUCCACCCCUCCACAUAGGCUGGUCCAAACGCCAGGGCGCCAGCGUCAAGGCCGAGAAGUCGCCCACCGCCGACCUGGCCUGCCCGCACGGCGAGCUGCAGCCGGCGCGCGCCGCCAAGCGUGUGGCCGUGCCCGCCGACAUCUGGCGCUUCCUGCGGGACCUGUGGCGCCGCCAGCGCCUCGCAGAGGCGCAGGACGCCGCCGCAGGCAAGCCGGCGCCGGUGGGCCGCGGCCGCGGCCACAAGGCCAGCAGCGCAGACGCCGGAGGCGUGAACGGUAGCGCAGGCGCGGGUGUGGGAGCGGGAGCGGGGUCGCCGUCGCCUCCUGCAGUGGACUGUAUGGAUUUGACAGGGGAUGACGCGCCGGGGCUGGCGGCGAGCGGGAAGGCCGGGAAGCGCGAGACGGUGGAGAUCGAUCAGGAUGACCGCGUCAUCGGUGACGACGACGACGACGAGGAUGAUAUGCAGAUGAUUGAUGCGCCGUCGGCGCAGGCUGGUGGCGCGCCGGCGGGGGCUGCACCUGAGGCAGCUGGGGCCGGAGGCCUGCGCGAGGACGAAGACGGCUCGGCAAACAGGCGCUCGCGUGAGGCGUCCGCGGUGCCGCCGUCCCGGGAGGGCACCGCAGACGUGGAGGCGCCAGUGCCGCCGUCGGAGCUGGGCGCCGCCGCAGACGCAGCGGCCGGCAAACCGGCGGCUACGGCUGCCGCCGCCGCAGCGCCUGCGCGCAUACCGACGGCGGCGGAGCUGGAGGCCAUGUGUCCGGAGCUGCCGGUGGGGCGCGUGUUCGAGUGCGAGCUGUGCCGCGAGGCGGCGGGGCAGGCGGCGUCGGCGCACGCGGACAGCCGGCGGCAGCUCGACAUGGAGCGCAACGCGCUGAGCGGCCUCAAGAUGGAGGCCUGGCCGCAGCUGACGCCCGGCUGCCAGUACUACAUGGUGCCCACGUGAGUACAGAGGCGCCUGCCUAUGGGUUGACAGGCCGGCUUGACUUGACGGGGUGCUCUUAAUGCUUUGUGCCCCUACCGAUAUCCUGUGUGCGCUAGUGCCCGAUUGCUAUGCUGCCGUUUCUGUGCUGCCGUUGUUCAUGCCAUCUCUCCUCGCUGGCCGCCUGGCGCUCCUUCAGGUCCUGGGUCCGGGAGUGGCAGCAGUACGUGCGCGUGCUGCCCAAGGGAACGCCGGCGGCGCCGCGGCCUAGCUCCCUGUCCGCCGCCAUGCUGCGCGUGCUGUGCCCCUGCCACCCGGACGAGCCACGCCUUGGCGUGCCGCCCCCGCGCCUGACUGUCAGCAAGCGCAGCCGGUAAGGAAGCAUAUGUCCACCUUAUGCGGGCAAGCGUACUUCAUGGCAGAGUCCCAACUUGCUACUCCAUGUAGAAGUCUGAAACAGUUGCAUAAAACGGAGCAUCAAACGCUCUUCGGCACCUGCACGCACAUGCCUCCGCUCCAGGCUCUCGCAGCUGGAUCUGGAGCAGGACCCCAUGCGCCUCAUCACCCAGGAAGACUGGGACCACCUGCGCCACGUCUACCUGCGCGACCUCAACAACGCCUCGUCCGCCGCAGCAGCCGACGCUUACGCGGUCGCAGGCACGAGCACAGGCACAGUAGGCGGACGUGACGUGGGCGGCGGCAAGCGCCGCGCUUUCCAGCGCGCCAGCGCCGCCAUCGCAAACGGCGCGCACGGUGCCGAGGAUGGCGACGCCGGCGCGGGCUAUGCCGUCGGGUCAAACGGUAACGGCAGAGCGCUGCUGCAGGAGGACGGCGCCGCCGAUGUGGUCGUGAAGGACGGGGCCGAUGGAAGCAGCGGCGCGGCGGCGAACGCAGCCCAGCUGGCGGCGGUUGCGCACGGCUUCACCGCUGACGUCGCACAGCUGGUUGAGGAGCAGCAGGACACGGGCGCGGCAGCGACGGUAUCCGCAUCCGCGGCAACAGGGCGCAUCGGCGGUGGCAGCAGCCGGCGGCGAGGCGACGGCGGCGAGGCGGCCGGGGCAGUGCGGGCGCCGGACGUGUUGGUGUGGCCGCCGGUGUGCUGGGCGGCUCUGGCGGAGCAGGGCCGAGCGGCGCGCGAGGCGGCGCUGGUGUAUUCGGAGGCCGAGGUGAUGGUGGAGCUGGUGGCGGCUGAGGACCUGGAGGGCGCGUUCAAGGAUAGCGGUGUCGGACGUAAGUUUAUGAUUGGCAUGGGGGCCAGCAUGAUGGACGCCUGCGCGGCCGCACAGUGGGACCCAGAGCCUUGGGCGGAAAGCUGUUUACGUCGCGAUAAGUGUCUGUUGAGCGUAUGCCGUGCCAAAGCGCUGUUGCUGCUGCUGAUGUAGUUGAGCGGCGCUCACGGCGCACCCGCAAGGGCCGCACCUCCAUCACCGUCAGCAAUACCACCACCCUGGAGCAGCUCAAGCUACAGAUCUUCGAGAGCCUGUCCAUCCACCCCAAGAACCAGACGGUAGGAUAACUAUAGAACUGCACUGCCGUAGUGCACGGCUUUGCAUCCUGUGGGCCAUUGCGGUUUUGUCCAAGCGGGUUUAGUGGGUCAGGCCGGCAGCUGGCAUGACAUGACUUUACCCGCCACCCUCUCCUUGUCUGGUUCGGGGCUCUGGCAUCUAAACCCCUUUCAACCGCUGCUAGCGCAGGUGGCCCCCCCAAAGGGGUCUUUCUGCGUCUCGUUUGGUACCGGAAAUACCCACCCUCCCCUCCCUCCCGCUUCGCCACCUGCUGGCCCGCCCGCCUGCUGCAGCUAUACGUCCGCGGCGACGACGGCUCGCCGCGGCAGCUGCAGGGCGAUGAGCUGAGUCUGGCGCAGCACGAGGUGCUACCGGGCGCGGAGCUGCGGCUGGUGCGGCUGCGGCUGGUGGACGACGACGACGACGUGGCUGGGCUGUUCGGCGAGGGUGCGUGUGGGAGUGGUAGUAAACCAUUCCUAAAGUUACCUGCCCAGAGCCAGCCCAAAGAGGUUAUAUCUGAGGUUGACGAGGCUCAGAUGUGUGCAUUGGUGUGGGGCCGAUCGGGGCGGCCCAGUUGAUUCUGCUGGGAGUGGAUGCCCGGUCCGUGGGCAGGCGAUUGGGAGACCUAGGGGCUAGGAUGGCCAAGCAGCCCAACGCAAAGGCCACCUAGCCGGGCGUAGCUCCUGGCUUGCGCUUGCUUGCAUGACAUGGUGCCUUCGUGCCUCCUGGUGACUGCCGCCACAGGCCGGGCCAAGCGGCGGCAGGUGGAGGAGGGCUUCAAGAACACUGCCUUGCAUGGGGACCUGCCGCUGCAGCAGCAGGAGGCAGCGGCAGGCGCCGAGCAGGGCGCCGAUCAAGGCAGCAGUGGGGCUGCUGGAGUGCAGGAGGCAGUUGAGGACGACUCGCAUGUGGUGUGAUGGCGCAGGCGCUGCAUCCUGGAUGGCGGCCAAACCGGUGACACAUGCAGAGCUCAGGUAGUUGCGGACUGUUGUUGUGGAGGAAGCGAACUGGCAAGGCUUUGCCAGCACCCACAUGUUGCGGUGGCGCAACAUGUGGGUCUCCUGUAGGUGAGACGAAGGGAGCAGGCAAGGCCACGAGGAGGAGAACGUUGUGGCGCACGUACCGUAACCGGCAAAGGCAGCGGCGCUGGCGCACAGGUGUACGGUCAGGGUUUCAUGCGCGCAAGCGUUCUAUUAGGCCAUGCGCCAAUCAAUUGCCACGGUGUGGUGGCUGUCCUGGCAGCGGUGUGGUAUGUUUAUAUGAAUAGGGCUGGACCUGGCUAUGAUGAUCACGGGAUAGGACGCGGCUGCUGGGGGCGGACUUCGUUAAGCUAUGGCGCGUGUUCAGGCUGUGUGGCCGAACUAAUUUGGCAACAAACGACGUGGCAGCUCUUGCGCAGUCGACGGCGCGACGCCAGCCACAAGCCCACAAAACUCUUCCCACUUGUUUACACUGCGACCGUAUGCACGCAUCCUCGCAGCCCUGUCCCAUCGCACACCCACUGCGGCCAGCUGCGGCUCGGCUCUGCGCUGGCGCGCCGUGGGGCCAAGCGUGGGGCCGGCCCUCAGCCUAACCAACCGUGCCGCGAGGUUUACCCCGCCCUACCCCCUCCUUCGGAACUCAAGGAUUACUCAUAGCUUGCGGCUUCCUUGCGCUCGCCAACGCGCAACCUUCGGAGAGCGCAGCGGUCAAUGUGAGUGAUACUAGUUACAGGUUGGCUCGAAGUGCAUGUGCAGACAACCUACAACUAUUUUGUUUGUAAGUUGGGGUUGUGUGCUUCUUUUUGAUGAUUGAAGGGGAACGCAGCCUUUAUGGGGCAGAGGAUUGUCGUGUAACCAAAACCUGCAAAUCAUAUGUAGCCCCUAUGUAUAGAGCUCUGUCAACUCUAUAUGCUCGUAGCAAAUAUAGCGGCGAAGGAGUCAAACUCCAGGUACCAUUGCCAACGCUGGACAGGUUCUUCCUAAGCGACGCCUCGAGAUGUCUUUGUAAAACACUCAACAUUCUAGGAGACGAGCCACUAUUUCGCAAUAUUUCUGAAACUAUUACUUGGCUUGCCAGCGACGCGUCCUACGACCUUGUGACAAGCUUUGCCCCGCGGCCUUCAAUCUGAACUCUUCUGUGACCAAAUAUAGCUGCACAUAGGCAUCUGAGCGCCGAGGCGCAGUCCAGCAGGACUUGUCAGCUUCGAGGCGCAAUGGGACGCGCGCUCCCGUUAGCUAUCGUGCCCUUGUAGGGACCUCCAGGGGCCGCUCAGCGGCCCAGGAGGACCAUGGGGCUAUUCGACUGCAUAUGCGGGCCGCGCGGUGGGGCGAAUGGUGUUCUGCCACUCGAGCCUUCCACGCCUCCGGGCUUGGACUCUUCCGGCAGGGAGCUGCUAGGCCAUGACCAUAUCAGUGGUGGGAAGCAGCCGCUGGCGGAGCGGAAGCAGCAGCUCGGCGAUUCCCCUGCUAUCGGACCAGGCCUGCUCUCCAGCACGGAAACCAGCCUCUCGCCAGCUUCUGGACACGCUGGAGGGUCAUAUCCUCACAGCAGGUCUCGCCAGCGGAGGCAGAGUAUGGAGGCAACGGAAGCUCUGAACACCACGUUGGAAAUGGCCCGGCAGCGGCGAUUGUCUAGCAACUGCUACGAGCAGACCUCCACGUCGGGGCAGUCUCAAAAAGGCUUCAUGAACUGGGGUUGGCUCAAGGGCUCAGGGAAGCAGUCGAAGCGCCUGGUGCCUGGUAACCAGGUCGCUGCGGAGCCGGUGCCUUCGAACCGCUUGCGAGCGGCCGGCCGCGAUGGCUCCAUCAACACUGCAGAGCUGUAAGUUUAGCUUUGUAGGCGCAGGAGAAAUUUUGUGCGCACCUUCGAGCCGCGGGCCCGUUAACGCUGUGUUUCGCCUUUUGCCCGCAGGUUGCAACGCCGCGGCUUCCCUGUGCACUACGCCAAGGACAUCCACAAAUCAGUUUCAACGUCCACGACGAAGCCGAUCGCGGUGCUGGGCUUGGAGCCCUCUAGCGACGGAGGGGGCGAGGGGGGAGGCGUGGCGAUGGAGGCAAAACCGUCCGCGGACGGCUCGCCGGACUCGUUGUCCCGUCGAAACCACAACAAGCUGUUCCCUCUCUACGUCAACGGCGUGGCGAAGUCUUAUUUCAAGAUUAGCGCCAGCCGGGACUAUGCUCAGGUGCUGCGACGUCUCCUUCGGAGGGACCCGCUGCUCACGUUCGCGCUGCAGAAGGCCAUCCGGAAUCUCUCGAUGGGCGACUGCAAGCCGGUCAGCCACGUCACUUCGGACCCCACGGGCGCGUCCGCGUCGCUCUACGGGCUGCGCAUUACGCCCUGCGUUUGGUCGGACACCAAUGGGCACAAGCUGCCGGCGCUAUUGCUGGAGCACAACGUUCCCUAUGACGCCUCCGACGUGAUGCCGCGCCUGCUGCGCGACUACGCGGUGCUGUCGCACGUCCCCUCCAUCCUCACGCUCAUCGACUUCAACGGACACGUCUUGUAUCAGAACGCCGCAAGCAUAGACUACUGUGGCGACCUCACCAGUCACAACGUGGAGACGGGCGACGGGAUGCUGGGCGUGCUCUUCCAGUAUGAGCCGCAGAUGCUGCAAGAAAUGUUGCAGGAGGUCAACGAGGGCAACUACUGGCAGCAGGUUGUCCGGGUGCCAUCGUCGCUGAAGCGGCACAUGAUAUUCGAGACGGAGAGCAGCUGGGGUCACGGCAGUCGCGGCCAUGACCGGAAGAAGCUCAACGUCGCGGUGUCUAAACGCUUCAUCCAGGAUGCGCUUGAACCGGAGUUCCAGCUGGAGAGCUUUACGACGCAGAACGCGCGUAGCCAGCGGAAUAACGCGAGGACUGGGCGGGCGGCGUUCCAGCAGCAGCCCAGCUUGAUGCGGCAAGAGAGCGCGCGGCACCCGCAGCGGCAGGACACGCGCGACAGCGGCGUGGCCAUUGCUGGGCCUGCAGCACUACCGGUGGGGCGGAUGGCUAGCAUUACGGGGGCGGCACCGCGGCUGGGCAGUCACACGCUCGGGCCGGGGGCGUCGCACGUGGUGUUCAACCUGCCCAACCAGUUGGAGGACGGGCACAGCAGCAACCACAUCACGCACGGCGGCUCGUUCUCCACGGGCAUCAGCAAAGCCAGUGCGCCCACGCAGCAUUCGCACCUGACGAAUCAGGGGCAGAACCGGCGCUUCAUGACGCUAAUGCAGUCGGCGGCGGAGCGGCAGCAGCAGCCCAGUUUCACCGGCUCGAUGAACAGCUUCCACACGGAGGGUGAGAAGCCGGACUCGCGGCAGGGCGGGCCGGUGCAGGAGGAGUGCUGGCACGACAUCUCGGCCAUCCCCCUUUUGGACCCGGUGCUGGACAAGCAGGUGCGGACGGCUGCGUUCGCCUGCUGGGGGUGGGGUGGGGCGGUGGCGGGAAGUGGACUACCCCCGGGCUCGGGGCGGCCGUCACGGCAUAGGGGUGUGUAGGGCCCAGGGCCGGAAACCGGGUUGGCAAAGGAGGACGGGCUGGGGGACGGGCCGGAGAUUUGGGGCCCGAGAAGGGGGUAGGUCGUCAUGCGGGACGACCGAUGCGCGCGCGACCUACCCACGAUUGCACUUCACACGGCUUGCUUGUAUCCCUGCCUUGCAGGUGAUCCUUUUGCUCCAAACGAACGUCACUGCGCGCGUGGAGCUGGAGAACCGCCUGGCGGAUCUGACGGACGCACAGCUUGGUAUGCUUGAGCAGCUGUUCCCACGGCACGUGAUUGAGUACAUGCUCUCUCACAAGCACGGCUACAAUUCGCGGAAUCUGACGCACUUGGCCAACCACCACGACGAUGUUAUCGUGCUGUUCACGGACGGUGAGGCACUGCCGGGCGCAAUGGUUGCUUCUAUGUUCGUGUUGAUUGGCGCGUGCAACUAUGGGAGCGUGGGCGCAGCCACAUGCUUUGUUCGCGUGGCUAACGUUAUGCAAACCUUUGUUUUGCAGUGGUGGGCUUUACGUCGAUGAGCAAGGAGGUGGAGCCCAGCGAGGUACGUUCUGUCCUCAAAGCGGAAGUCUGGGCAGUUGCCUUGCGUUGGAAGCAUAGUGCCGGUGUUGCGGACGACUGUAUGUACUGUGGGGGCGAGUGCAGGGAUGGGGGCCCAGCGCUGCUGGGCCCCUGUGCUACUACGCGUUGUGGCGUGCCUUGAUGCUGCUGACGAGUAUCCCCGUAACCCGCCGCAGGUGAUGCACUUCCUCAACGAGCUGUACACCAUUUUCGACGACCUCGUGGACCUGCACGACCUGUACAAACUGGACACCGUGGGCGACUGCUACAUCGUGGUGGCGGGCCUCACCAUGCAGGACGACGACGGCUUCACGUGCACGGUGCAGGGCGACAACGAGCAGCGGCUGCAGCACGCGCAGGUCAUGAUGGACUUUGCAAAAGCCAUCCUGCGCGAGUCGAAGCAGGUGAGGGCAGGCGGUGCAACGGUGCAAGGGCGGAUGGUGGUUGGACCGGCGGUGGGUGCACGACGUCUGGCGUGUGCGUGCGGGUUGGUAUUGACAUGUGUACAGUGUAGCGUGCAGACGCGUAACUUCCGGUUGUUGUUAUGCUUCCACAGGUGCUCAUGCCGCACAAUCACGCGCCGGUGCAAAUCCGCAUCGGCAUCCACACGGGCAGCUUGGCGAGCGGGCUGGUCGGGCCGAAAAUGCCCAAAUUCACGCUGUUUGGUGAGUAACCGCAGCACCAAACAGCGGGCUGCGUGAGCUCUGCAUGUUGUUGCUGCUGCACGGCGCAAGGUGCUCGAGCGCCUGGCGGCGAAUCUCUUCCUUUUUGUGCCCGCUGUUCGACUUCUUGCCUGCUAACCUUAUGCAUUCCCACCAACUGCCAAUGCACAGGCGACACCAUGAACACGGCUUCCCGCAUGGAGAGCACGUGCAAGCCAGGCUGCGUGCAGGUCUCGGAGCUGUUUGCGCAGCUGCUGCCGCUGGAGGACUGGGAGGACACGGGCGGUGUGGAGGUGAAAGGGAAGGGCCACAUGCAGACGUACCUGUGGACACCCAAGCCGGAGGACCUCAUUCCUCUCGGCGUGGGCCCGCGGCCGGCGCUGGGCGGGCCCGAGGACGACAGCUCGCUGGACGACGUGCAGGCGCCAGCGCCCAGCGCCAUCAGCAGCGCAGUCACCACCGCUCCAGACGACUCGGCGGCAGACCGGACGGAAAUUGACGGCACCACGCGCUCGACAGCAGCGUCGCCUGCGCGGCCCAAAUCUGGCCGCGCAUCGUACGCACGGCCGAAGAGCAGCCGGCCCAAGAGCAGCCGCUAUGUACGGCCAACGACCGCGCGGAUGCGGGAGAGCCAGAACGGUGGUGUGCACAGCCGGCCGAGCACAGCCAGCAGCCACGGCGGGCUCACGCGGGCGCCCUCGGCGCGCUUGGGCCGCUCGCUGUCGCGGCGAAACGUCAGCUUUCGCUUCCACGGCGGGGACGAGGGGGGCGAGGGGGACGAGGCGGGCGGCGCCGGCAGUACGCCGUUCAUGGCGAUCCUGAACGCAAUCCGCGGCAGCGGCACGGGCGAGGGCGACGAGGGCACGGACGACGAGCUGGAGGGCGUGCCGCGGCGGCAGCGGGAACCAUCGAUGCCGAUGCGGCGGCCCAGCAAUAACGUAAGCCUGAACGGUGGCGCGGGGCCGACAGGCAGCGGCUCGCUCAGUGGGCCCCAACUCUCGUUGACUGGCGGUCUGGCCAGCGGCAGCGGCGGCAGCCGACAGGGCACCCUAAGCGGCGGCCUGCAGCCGGGCAGCCGGGCUGGAACUGCCGGUGGCCCGUUGGCUAACUCAUCCGGCAGCGGCGCUCUGCAAGCGACCAGCAGCGGUUUAGGUGGCGGCGGGAGCCGGGUGGGUACGGCCAGCGGCGGGCAGCCUAGCGUUGUGCAGCACGUGGACCUAGAUGAGGCCAUGGACGUGCUCAAACCUAGCCCCUCCAACCGGCCAUCGGAUUCAUCCAAGCCGUUGAAGGCCGUGCGGCUGUCGCUGACGCCAGAAGCGGCGGGCGGGCCACCUCCGCGGCCAUCGCAGAACGGCGCGCCUGUGCGGACCGCCAAGUAAUGUGUCGCUGUCCAGCUCGAUUUGCAAUGGAUGUGGGCAUUCGUUGUUAGAGACGUAGCAGGUUGAGAGCAUUGAAUGCGUUGUGCAGUUUGGCUGGUGUCAGCCGGAUGUCGGUGUCCGUCUGUGGGCAGGAGUUGUGGACGGCUUGCUGCGAAGCAGGCGCGCCCUGCCCUGCGAAGUGUUGCUAGGAUGCAUAGGCAUUGGCACGGGGAUCGCACCAUGGCCUGCACACGCCUGUUGGCCGUUGGCACAGGUCAGUCCAUGAAGUAUUGUAGAGCCAUAGCGGUGAUGUUCUUGUGUACUGUUCCCAACUGCCGGUGGCUGUGCAUACGUAUGAUUUGGUUGAGAAACACGGACGAGUGGUGUUUGCUUACAUUGCAGGAGCGCCAGAUCGUGCGCGGCAACCCUGGUGAUCCUGUUCGUGUGAUUAUGCAGUUUUUGGCAACCGUCCGAUGACGGCGUGCAGCAGAAAAUGAAAAGGAAGUCCAGCUUCCGCGGGUGUGGUGUGAAUGCUAGGUAGAAGGACUGAGCGGCUAGUACUAAAGCCAGGGUACAGAUAGCGGAGCAGCAAACCUCUAGGCGAUGAUCAAGUAUGAGGCACUGGAUCAAUGGCUGACAAAGAAGAGGAUAAUGGAAGGCAGUGUAUAGGUAGGAGAAGAGUCUGGCAUGGUGACGCAUGUAGGUCAGGCAGAACAGAUCAGGCAAGCUCGUGGUGAUGGCAGUGAGGCAUAAGUCGAUACCGUAUGCAUGUGUCUAUGUGCGCGCGAGGAAGGCUGUAACGCUUCCUCUCUUGCGAUACGCGUCCAUGUCUUAAGGGGCACUUGUCUUGCACCUGAUACAAAGUGGACGCCUGCACUGCUGGAUUGCUGCAAUGCUGCCAUGACACGGUACUCUUGGGACUUGCACAGCGCUACACCACAUAUCUCACGUCCCCGGCCGGCCUCCAUACACCGGGGCUUCCUCUCACUCUGAGCCGCCCUAGCUCCACACAUGACUGCCCUUCUAGCUUACGCAGACCGGCGGACAGAGUAUGACAGGCACAGCGGAGGAGGAAAGGGUGGGGAUGGAAGGAGCCAUCACCGGCGCCGAUGGGUCGCGGGUUGCGCGGCACCGGUUGCGGUGCAAGUCCUUCGGCCCGGCGCAUGUACAUCGUGCCACUGUAAGCCUGAGCGCAUAAUUUCAUAUUCAGAUGCUGCCGCAAAGUAAUAGCUAGGUUUCAGUCCACGACGCAGUUUCAAGCCCACGCACACACCCGAUCGCAAAUUCGUCUUCAUUUGUGAAGACCGGUUUGCCAGGCGCUGCCCUAGGUCAAACACAAUGGCCAAAUCAUUGAAGUGCGGCGUCUGCGGAGCUCUGUUGAGAAACGUUGCCGAAGCCCAGAACCAUGGCGAGGUGACGGGCCACUCCUCGUUUGAGGAGACGACAGAAGUGGUAAGGGUUUGUGUUGAAGCUAGGGUUCUGUGUUUGCAGUUGGGGUAAGGUGUCUCGAAGGUUCCUGGGGCCAAACCGUAGGGCACCUGGGCCUGCGUCCAGACGUGUGCCCAGCACCUGCGGGGAAUGCUCAGCAACAGCACCGGGCGGAGCCUCAUUUUAGAAUGUCAUGCUAGGUUAAAGCUGUUUGCUGAGGGGAAGCGACAACAAGGCGGUGCCACAAGGGGGAGACACGACGCAGCCUCGAUGGGGCCCAGCCUGGUGCAGCCAGGAUGGGAGUUCACAGGAGUGUCGGGAAUGCCAGCAAGCCGGGACGCGAUCCGCACGGCCACCCGCCGAGGGACGGAGGGGAUUUCUUCAUACAAAACCAAAAGCCAUAACGCCAUUCGCGCGGCGAUGCCAACAAAGAGGCAUCGCUUCACAUCAGUGGAGGCCACAGCAGGCUUGGUAGCGCGGGCCGCAGAGGGACCCGCAGCCCUGUUACCGGCACAGCCCCACUAGCUGUGGAGUACCGGUGCAAAACAUUUGCCAUUGCUACAUGGCGUGCUACAUGGCGUGCGACGCAAGCGCUGCUUGUGUGGUGUCUGUCUUGACGCUAUGACGUCAUGACCACUCGGACCUGCAUAUCACCCGCAGAUCCGCGUGAUGAAGUGCCUCACGUGCGGCAAGCCCUGCCGCACGGACGCGGAAAAAGACAUGCACAAGCGGUUCACGGGGCACGCAGAGUACGCGGAACAGGUAAGCCCGUGAGGGGGGACAGGGUGGUAACGGCGGUUGAACACAGUGCGGGCAGCGUAGGAGCAGCACACGGCACGACCAACGCGCAUGCCGAUGCUACCAUCAGGCCUAGUGUGAAUCCACCUGGCUGCAAUGCCGCAACGCCAAAUGCCCGGCAACGCCAUAACCGCUGAUCCCACUUGCCCGGCAGCCGAAGCCGUCCACAUCUGUUCCUACGUACCGUAGUGCGGUGGCUAACGCCCUUCGACCCUUGAUCAGUUAACAACACGUUCAUUCCUGACAGACGGAGGACGCGGUGAUAAACACGGAGGUGGAGAUGAAGGAGGCGCAGGACGCCAUGGAUGACGACGCCGACAUCCUGAGGGCCUCGCUGGGCAAGCCGCCCAAGGCCAAGCCCAAGACAGAGGCGGGGGCGGAGGGCGGCGGCGCGGCAGGCGGCAGCGGCGAGGCGGGGACCAGCGGCUCGGAGGAGAUGGUGAGGAGGGGCGGUGGCGGGGAGGAGCUCUCGGAGGUCUUGGUAGGGGAGCUGCUACUGGGGCGACAGAGGGCGACUGGGAGCAGGUACGGGUGAUAACCCUAGUUAGGGCGCAUGUACCGUAUGAACGUCGGCUGUGGGGCGCAGUGCAGCCGCAGGGUGCGUGAUGCCCAACUGCUGCGCAAUGCGGUUGCGUUGUCGCGAGUGCCAGCAGCGUGGUUUGACGGGUGGAGUGUGUGCGCCGGGGUGCGCUGCAGGUUCCGGCCGAGGUGCCGGAGAAUCUGCUGAAGGAGAUGGAGGAGAUGGGCUUCGGACGGUGAGGACUGGGCGCUAUAUUCCAUGCUUCCCUUUAUGCGUAGCACCCCGCCGCUGGCCUCUCCUUUUGCACCGCACGCCUCAUGGUCCCUGCCUCGACCCACCGCGUUACGGCCGCAUUCCCCCAUUCGUUACGGGGCGUACUUGCGCCUGCACUCCGCCGUCGGUCUGACCUAUCCAUGCGCUUCCGUUGCGCCCCGCAUUCCCGCAUCUCCCUCCUACCUGCAACCGCCCCUGUCUCCCCACGAAAAUCUGCCCUCAGCAACCGCGCCAUCCGGGCCAUCUGGUUCAGCAAGGCGGUGACGAGUGUGGAGGCGGCUGUGAACUGGCUGAUGGACCACGACACCGACCCUGGCAUUGACGAGCCGCUGCUGGUCAAGAAGGUGCGCGGGGGCACAGGUUUUUUCGGGGGGGGGGGGGGGUAGUUCAUUCCAAUCCCAAAGAAACAAGGCCCAGAACCAGCCACAGAGGGGCACUGCGGUAUGUGGUCGGGAGGAGGAGAGACAGCAGGAGGAGAAGCAGUAGGAAAGAGAGGAAGAGCAAUCGGAUCAUCAAGCAGGGCUAUUUUCCACCUUUUCCAAGGGCGGGGCACUGCCAAUGGGGCUUUGGUCCCAAGCAGUGGGCGACACCGGACAUGCCGCUCUCCUUGCGGCCGCAUCUUUGCAACUGCGCAGGGAGGGGGUCGCACAGCCUGCCGCAGGAGCACGCGCCCAUACACGCGCACGCCCACGCACACGAACAUGCAGCCGUUGCUGAAUCAAAUUUCCAAACCCUGCUCGGCUGCAGUCGGAAGCGGAGGGCUCGGGCCAGGACGGCGGCAGCAAGGAGCCGGUUGACCCGGUGGAGGCGAGGCGUAAGGCGGAGGAGCUAAUGCGCAAGGCCCGUGAGAAGCGCGAGAAGGAGGAGAAGGAGAUGGUGGGUGACACGGGGGCGCCGGCGGUGGGAGGGGGGCUGUGAACGAAUUGGCGGGGCCUGCUGGGUAUCCCCUGCAAUUCAGGUUGGUGCUGGGACGUUGACGUUUGGUCCAGGAGUGGAGCUUGGCUGUGUUCCGCCCGCCUGUGGGAUAUGUUGGACGUGUAUGGGGUCUUGGCAAUGCCAGCGUUGCUAGCUGGCCGUGCGCGGCUGCAGCGCUCCCCUCCCCGGGCUCAACUGCACUGCUAACAAGACAGAAAGCACAGCGUUUGCUUGACUUGGGCCCGCCUUGCUGGUGUGCAGGAGCGGCUGCGCGAGCUGGAGCGCAUCCGGGCGGGCAAGGAGAUGCAGAAGGUGCGCGUGCAUUUAUCGAGUAGUAAUCCCCAUGACCACCGUAACUGGAACUUAGGGAGGGGCAACUGACAAGACGGACUGAUGCUAGGCCUGAGAGGCUGAGCGCUUUGUGAAGUGGGAUUCUGACUUAUGCGGGGCGGAGGUGUGCGCUUCAGCCGUUCUCCACCUAUCGUCCUGUGCCCCUAUGCCACCUCCCUUCACGCUGCCUGUACAGAUUCGAGAGAAGGAUGAUGAGCAGGCGCUGAAGCGCAUUGCCGAGGUGAGCCACACAGGAGGCGCCCCAGUCACUGCCGGCCCCUCUGCAUCUGCUCCACGUCGCGCCGCACCGCUAACCUAUCCGUGACCUCCUUGUGACAUUGUGUUUUCCGAUGGCCGCCGCCGGCUAACGCAGCAACGCAAGCGGGAAAAGGAGGAGGAGGCGCGCGCACGCGAGGAGCUGCGGCGCAAGCUUGAGGAGGACCGCAAGGAGCGCCGCCGCAAGCUGGGGCUGCCGGAGGAGCUGACGGAAGAGGAGAAGGUGCGGGCGCGCGGGCGGGCGGGUCUGCGAGUUUGUGCAUCAAGCCUAGUGCUUUGCAUUGCAACAUGGCUUACACGUGAUGCAUGCGCUGCGUCACAGGCUCGCGAGGCGGAGAAGCGCAAGAAGCAGGAGGAGGAGGAGGCCUCCAAAAAGGCCUUCAACUACGUCAAGCCCAUCUCAUGUGAGUAUGCUCCGAGAGCUCUGAGCGGGGCUCCCAAUAAGGGGGCUCAGGGCCGAGGCACCUGCAGGUCGCCGGCGC